rnacentral:lncRNA from 1 species
CCACAUGAAGAUGGUGCAAAGCGAUGCCGGAACCCUUCUCAAUCAGAAAGCAAUCCGUCUUCCACAGUCACUACAAAACAAGCAAAUGAAGACCGUGUCAAGCGCCAAAAAAAAAAAAAAAAAAAAAAAAAAAAAAAAAAAAAAAAAAAAAAAAAAAGCUUCAUCCAAAAAGCUUUACCCGAAAAGCUUCACCUCCAAAACUUCACCCAAAAAGCUUCAUCCAAAAAGUUUCACCCAAAAAGCUUCACCUAAAAAAAGCUUCACCCAAAAAAAAAACUUCACCCGAAAAGCUUCACUUAAAAAAGCUUCACCUACACAGCUUCACCUAAAAAAGCUUCACCUAGAAAGCUCCCUCUACAUACUUUCACCUACAAAGCUUCACCAUCAAAGCUUCACCUCGAAAGCUUCACCUCGAAAGCUUCAUCUACAAAGCUUCACCAUCAAAGCUUCACCCAAAAAGCUUCACCUAAAAAAGCUUCACCCAAAAACUUCACCUCCAAAAAGCUUCACCCAAAACAAGCUUCACCUAAAAAAGCUUCACCCACAAAGCUUCACCUAAAAAGCUUCACCAAAAAAGCUUCACCCAAAAAACUUCACCCGAAAAGCUUCACUUAAAAAAGCUUCACCUACAAAGCUUCACCUAAAAAAGCUUCACCUAGAAAGCUUCACCUACAUAGCUUUCACCCAGAAAGCUUCACCAUCAAAGCUUCACCUAGAAAGCUUCAACACCAAAGCUUCACCUACAAAGCUUCAACACAAAACCUUGCUCCAAAUAAACAAAUUUUGUUCACAAAACCCAAGAUGCCCUUGAACUUGUACAAAAACACAGGUCAACACAAACAUUUGUUUUGUUCUACACCCACAACAUCCCUGUCAUAACCAAACAAGCAAUUAUGUAUAUGUUUCCAAACAUAUUAUAAUAGAUCCAACAACAAGCCAAAGUCCCAAGUUUCAUAAUGGACAAAAGUACAAGCAAUUCAUCAAUAAUGAAGGUGCUACACAAAACUUGGAAUCUGCCCCAAAAUAGAAAUCCAACCCAAGAGACUUUUUCUCUCUCUCCCUCUUCCGCCUCCUUUCAUCUAUCAAAUUUCUGCAACCUCUGCUCUUCUCCAAUGGAGCUGAAUUUUGGACACCCUAUAGUUUUUGAGCAUAUGAACAACUUUCAAGAAGGAACCAUUUCUGUUUGAGCGACGGAAAUUAAAGUGUUGAAGCUCCAAACAUGACAGUUGGAUUCUUGCAGAUUUCGAAGCUGCUAUGAUGUUUCGAAGAUCUGGAAAUAUUUAACCAUUAGUUCAUUCUGAAUGUUUGAUAUGUUAUGAAAGAGACGAUGAGGCACAACUUCAAUGAAGAAAGCAUGCUGAUCUGAACAAUAGAAAAUGGAGUUUCGAAGCUCACAACAAAUCUGACGGGUUGACAGAAAAAAAAAUAAUAACCAGUCAUUCAUCAUACCUGAAUUUCUUGAGUUAUAUAGCUCCGAGGGAUCUCAAAUUUGGAUAUGUUGUAGUUCACAAGCUGAGGAACAACUUCAAUGAAGAAAGCAUGCUGAUCUGAGCAAGAGAAAAUAUAGUUUCAAAGCUCACAACAAAUCUGACGGGUUGACAGACAAAUGAUAAACAGUCACUCAUCAUACCUGGAUUUCUGGAGUUAUACUGCUCCGAGGGACCUCAAAUUUGGAUAUGUUUUAGUUCACAAGUUAAGGAACAACUUCGAUGAAGAAAGUAUGUUGAUCUGAACAAGAGAAAAUGGAGUUUCGAAGCUCACAACAAGUCUGACAGGUUGACAGAAAAAUGAUGAACAGUCACUCAUCAUACCUGAAUUUCUGGAUUUGUACUGCUCCGAUGGAUCUCAAAUUUGGAUAUGUUGUAGCUGACAAGGUGAGGAACAACUUCAAUGAAGAAAGUAUGUUGAGAUGAACAAGAAAAAAUGGAGUUUAGAAGCUCACAACAAGUCUGACGGGUUAACAGAAAAUUGAUGAACAGUUACUCAUCAUACCUGAAUUUCUGGAGUUGUACUACUCCGAUGGAUCUCAAAUUUGGAGAUGUUGUAGUUCACAAGAUAAGGAACAACUUUCAUGAAGACGACUUUGCGAUCUGAGCUAUAGAGAAUGGUGUUAUCUUGCAUCCACUCAGGCUGAUUAGUGGAAACGAAAAGCAAUUCCACCAAAGAAAAGAUGAAAAAGAGAGAAAAGCUACUAAUUGCACUUGAUCUUGUCUAGUCAAUAGCAUGCAGCAUCAAACACACAAAAGUUGGAAAUAUUUUUAGAUAAGGCAUAUGCGAAUGUGUGACAUCGAAACAAGGAUUCAUUACUUUGACAAAUUAGUAACAAGCGAGACACCUCAUUCGGCAACUCUCUUCGCCUGAAGACUUGGGGGACUCCCACCAUAUGCUACUGCACCUUAAUACUCGGCAGUCUCACAACCACUCAGUGACUUGGAUUUUUCAAGUCUCCAACCGAGAAGUUUUCCUCACUCGGGAAAUUAAGGGAACACUACCUCAAACUAUAUGCUUCACUCACAAAGCUUCAACAAUACAGGCUUCAACAAAAGCAAAAAUUCAAAGAACUUUAUGAAGAAGGCUUUGGUGUAUUUAACACAAUAUAUUGAAAUGAAGCAAAGCUUAUUUAUUAAUAUUUUCGAUAAGCCACAAAUAUGUACAUAUACAUGAGUCAAAAUAAACAAACAAAAGGGAGCCUUCACAAAGGUUGCUUAGGGGAAGUCUCAGCAGUCGGUAGAGCCCCAGAAAGAGAAAGCACCGGAGGGUGGUUAUCCGGAGCCUCAGUACUUGACAAAACCCCAGAAGGAGGAGGCAUUGGAGGUUCAUCAUUUGAAGCUUCAUUACCAGGUACAGCCCCAGAGGACGAAGGCAAUAAAUGCCUUUGGAACAAACCCACAAACCGCUGAUGAUCAAGUAAAACCUUACCAUCAGAUUCCUUCAUCUGGUCAAGCUUCCUCUUCAUGUUUGUAGCAUAGUCAUGGCGAGCCGGUGCAACUGCUUAUUCUCAUGCUUGAGCCCUCUAAUCUCCUGUUUGAGACUCAUCACUUCAGCAGCCAAUGAUUCAACUUGGCGGGUUCUAGCAAAUAGGCGUUGGGCCAUAUUAGACACAGAACCUGCACACUGAACACUAAGAGCCAGAGAGUCCUUAACAGCCAACUCAUCAGACCGUUUGGAAAGUAGUCUGUUAUCUUUGGGAGUGAGAAGGUUCCUGGCCACCACUGCAGCGGUCAUAUCAUUCUUCAUCACAGAAUCCCCAACGGUAAGAGGACCAGUAGGGGAUAUGAAGGAUGGGCGCCAUAUGUUGUCUGGAGAAGGCGUGGCUGUCUCUUCUCCAAGGUUCAGGUCAAAACGACGGUCGGAGGGUCCAGACAUUUUCAAAUGUGUUGAAGAAGGAAGAGGUCAGACAAAUCAAGAUCUUAGAAGUGCAAGAAAUGAGCUUCUACUGGUAGAGAUUCAAGUGUGCUGUGGAACUUAAUGCCAGCCUCUAUAAAAAUCUGCACUCGACGGAGCUUCAGAAAUCGAAGAGGCGUUUGCUUUCUCAAAAGCUGGGCUGCUCAGAGACCACGAGGGCCGAUCUCAGAAAUCGAAGAGGCGUUUGCUUUCUCAAAAGCUGGGCUGCUCAGAGACCACGAGGGCCGAUCUCAGAAAUCGAAGAGGCGUUUGCUUUCUCAAAAGCUGGGCUGCUCAGAGACCACGAGGGCCGAUCUCAGAAAUCGAAGAAGCACCUGCUUUUUCAGCCUCGUCAGCACCUGUCACAUGCACACAAUCAGCUUUGCGAAAAUUACGGGCAAUCUGUCGAAGAUUUCUGGUGAAGUAAAAAGCACGUGAAUCUUACUGUUCAAUCACCGCUCUCCAUAUGCACCAUCAACUCCUCGGGUACCACAUAUAACUUUGUCAAAGAUCUCUGACAAAGUUUAGGCACGAGAAAUUUCGAAGUUCCAGCUACCCUACUAUUACCCAUAAGGGUAAAGGAACAGCACCACUGCUUGACAACUGGAAAGUCCCUAUGUGUGUCGACCUCCGUGUUUUGCGGCAAGACAGGUUGGCAAGAACGUCCAACCUUUACUCACAUUCGAGAAAAGACUCCCAACAUAAUUACUUUCUCAAAAACCGGAGUAGCACCGCUUUCCGAAUCUCGAGAGUCAGAUCCUCGACGGGAUUGCUUGUUCGAAAACCGAAGAGGCACAACUCUCAGAACUUCGAGAGCCAGAUUUCCUUAGAUAAAGCUUGUCUGUAAUCUUCACACGUAAAUAUCAGCUUUCCAGAUACCACAUACCACUUUUUCAAAGUGCUCUGACAAAAUUAAAACACGUGAAGCUGGCAACUCCCACUACAUUGCUGUGACCAAGAAGGGUAAAGGAAUAGCAUUACUACUUGUUAUUGGGAAAUCCCUAUAUACAUUGACCUCCCUCCUCAACGGACAGGCAAACCUGCAAAAAUGCUCAACCCUUUCUCGCAUUCGAAAAGGCACCCUCAACAUAACCUCUCGAAAUACUCAGCUUUAUUUCCCCCCGAUAAUACCUCAGCAAAUAAGCCACACCAAGAACAAGAGUAUCUCAUAUCAUCAGGGUCGAAAGCAAGAGUAUCCCAUAUCAUGCUUUCUCCCUAUCUUUGUCUUUGUCCUUGUCCACACCUGCAGGACAAGGAGAAAGAGAGCAGUCAGUCGGAACCUGAAAUCAAACCUCCAAUUUGGAACUGACUGCCUGGAGCCUUUGCCUGGUUGCUUACUUAGCAUUGCUCUCGAGUACUCAUCCUCAACUGCUGUCAAGGUCACGAAUUCCACCGGCAAAUACCUCAUGACAGUUGAUCAGAUAUUGGCUCUUUACACUGAAGCUGCCAAGCGUGGAUGAGUCACUAUGAAGGAAUGUUCUGAAGGACCAUUUAAAUGCAAAGGUUGCACACCACUUCUGCCAUGCAAAAGAUUGAAGCAGAAGGUUCAACGGUGAGCUGAAACAGAUCACUACAGCACGACACCUUUCCAUACCACAUUCAUUAUUCCGUCAACAGCAAAAGUAUCCCAUAUCAUCAAGGUCGAACGUACUCUAGAUUUGAUGGACUUGUUUUGACCCUCAAAUUUUUGAGUCGGCCUUAUACUCUGAAGGGCACCAGAAAACCCUCCAGCACAGUUCAAGAAUAAGCCUGUGGAAAGUUACUUCUUCAAAAGCAAAAGUAUCUCAUAUCAUCUCUUAUCCAUUUGCUUCUCCUUAUCCUGGCAGUUGAAUGAGAGACAAGGAGAAGGAGAACAAUCAACCGGAAGCCGAAGUCAAACCUCUGAUCCUGGGUUGCUUACUUGGAAGUUUGACUGCUUACCUUGUCUGUCACCUCUUUCGGCAGAUCUCCUAGCUCGGCGACUUGGGGGACUCCUACUAUAGGGUUUGUAUCACACUUGACUAAGCCCGAAACUACAACUAAGCUUCAAGUGAAAUUGAUACAUUACCUUGUGCAUCAACAUCAGCUAAAUACACCAUUCCCGGAUGGAGGAAAGGUACUUCCAGAGAAGGGCAGAUGAAGAUCAGACCACACUUCGGUACUUAGAAGUUUCGUGAUUACUCAAGGGAUUGGAUCUUGCAAGUCCCCAACCGAGGAGUUUCCCUCACUCGGGAACUUAGGGGAGCACUGUUUGUACCAUACUUGACCAAUCUCGAAACUACCGAGCACCGGCCAACGCUAUACUGUCAAGGACCCAGAAGAGUUCCCCUCCGACCAGGAGGCCAAUCACUACUCGACACGUGUCAAGAUUAGAAGCCAAUCAGAGCAAGCACGUGUCGACAUCAAGAACCAAUCAUAACAUGACACAUGUCAAUGUGACAAAGCUACAAGUUUUUCUAUAAAUAGGGGUCAUUCCCCCACAAUAUUGGCUAAUGCCAUUUGUGUUAAAUCAUUCACAAGAACUCACUAAAUUGAGAGCUUGAUCCCUUGUACUUGUGUAAGCCCUUCACUACUAAUAAGAACUCCUCUACUCCGUGGACGUAGCCAAUCUGGGUGAACCACGUACAUCCUGUGUUUGCUUCUCUGUCUCUAUUCAUUUACGUACUUAUCCUCACUAGUGACCGAAGCAACCAAGCGAAGGUCACAAAACCUGACACUUUCUGUUGUACCAAAGUCUUCGCUGAUUUUGUGCAUCAACAAUUAGAAAGAAAAAUUAACUUGUGAAGGAGUGUAGAAUGAGAUUUUUUGAGUCCUAAUAACAGUUCUCUUAAUUUAAACAAAUCAAUUUACUUGAUAAUUUAACCAAUUAACCUUACGUAUUCAUUUUCUGGCCAAUCUCAUUUUUUUGGCCAAUUUCCAUGCUUUGAUAUUAAUUUGAACCAAAUUAACUUACUUGGUAAUAUAACCAAUUAAAUUAAUUGACAUGAUUUAUGUUUGAAUUUAAAUCAGUCAAAUAAAAGGUAAUUCCUCAAUUGUUUCCACCGUCAAUUUAAUCUGGUGAAUUUUUUGCAUUUCGCCAAAUGUUGACACGUCAUUCUCCAUAACUCGUUCGACUUUGGUGAGUCACAUGCUAUGUGUGCAAUUUGUGAGAGCAUGGCAAGCGCCACGUAAGGCUUGCAUGUCAAAACUUAAUUGUCAGUGAAUAUUCAUUUCACCAAAAUUUAUGUGUCUACAGUGUGUUAGGCAAAAAUUGCAUCUUCAUCCUUAUUGUGUAAAAGGUACGUACAUAUUAUAUUAACUGUGUAGCCUAAAAUAAUCCCAAAUAUUCUAGAGGCGACGCGUGAACUUUUCUCAAGAACGACAAGAUUGCCCUCAUUAAAUGGGCAUGCUUCUCAGAUACUCCCAUGCGCAGCUCACACCCUAGAAGGUCCAUGCAACUGAAUACGACUGCCCAUAGCUCAUCUACCAUUGGCAAGGAAAAGUCAAAGCAUUAAGGAUAAGGAUUAAUUACCAAAUCCUAUCUUAAUGUAUUCCAAAUUGAUGACACACCUUGACCUGGAAUGUCCACUUGGACUCCGAAUCGAGUUGUGUUGGCCGACACUCGGAGGGUGACGAAGCCAUAAAGUGUAGUGAUGUGGAAAAUAUGAGUAAAUUUAAACCUAAAAGUGCCUAUAUGCAAGAGUGCGCUAGUGAGCGGGAAUGAACCCAUUUCACACGUGAUGUUAAAGCAUAAGUAAAAUACAAUAAAGUAGAUUGAGAAUUAUAACAUCGAAGGUAACCUCCUAUACCAAGAUUUGCCAAGAAUCCUCAUCGAUACGAAACCUCAGCUAUUAAAACCUGGAGGGGUGAAAAACAAGGGUGAGUGGGCCAAAAAAUAAAGCUUUGUAAAAACCUUUUCGAAAACAUAAUAACCCCUCGCUGUAAAGCAAGUAUAGUUUCAAAAAUAUACAUACUAUGUAUAGUAUGAAAAAACUUACCAUCGCCUACAAUAUCUCAAGAAUUCAACACGUCACAAUAUAUUUCGUAAAUAAACACCUAACGUUCGAUAAUCACAUAAUCUCGCAAAACAAACAUAUCAUAUCAAGGGCUCAUCGACAUAUGUUGACACACGAGUUUAUGCACAUGUAUUCUGACAUGAACAUGACUAGGUGUAAAGAAAUAAUUUAUGCUCUAGUACUACAAUCACAUGAAGACUGGCGCUAUGCGCAUCGCAUACGAGUCCUAAUUGCCUAUAGCAAUCUAGGACAGGAAUGACACCUACAAUGGAUCCAAAGUGAACGGUGCGAUGUGAUGUCAUAGCCCGUCCCGAGAAACAGUUAUCAUUAAUGUGAAAAGACUAGUUUACCCUUGGAUGUAAAAAUGUGUGGUGUGUGAUUUAUUUUGAAUUGGAUUAAUUAAGUUUUUCCUAAGUUUUUGGAACCACUUAGGAACUAAGAAACUUUGGUUGUGAUUGAGUUGUUGGCUAGUUUUGGACCACACAUCACUCCUCCAUCCUCUCACUUCCUCCUCGUGCUCUCUCUCUCAUCCCUCAGACUCUCUCUCUUCCCUCUUUCGUACGGACAAACUUCGAACUCUCCCCUUUUAGGCACGGAUCGAAGCUUUAAAGGUAAGGUUAUUGCUCAUUGUAACCUCCUGAGUAUAUUGAUACCCUUGUUUGGACAUGAAUGCUUCGAAAACCAGAGAAACCUUAACCUCGAUUUUGUGCACUGUUCAUGCACAUGUAAAACCUUGUGUUUCAGGGAAUUCUAAGGACAUAGGAAGCUUAAGGAGGUCCUCACGAGUCUAGGGGUACUUCGUUGGAAGGAUUUGGAUGUUAGAGGAUUGAGAUCGACGUGUUUCCAGGUAAGCCGAGCUUUCGACAUUUCUCAGGAAAAAUCUAAUAGAAUUUAAGCCUUGAAACUUGUAUAACGUGAUUCUACAUGCUAUUAGCUUCAUUUUGGUACCAAUUUCAUGAAAAAUGGUAAAGAAUCGAAGGAGAAUAGUGAUUUUAAAGUUUUACCUAGAAACCGACGAAAUCGCCGACGACUGGCGACUCACCGGAGAAGAGAGGGGAAUAUUCCGUCAGUUUUGACGAAAUAUGCUGACGCCGUCAGUUAGUUUAGACGGUUACCAUUAGACUUAACAGAAUAUUCCGGGGAAUAUUCCUAACGGCAGUUAGGGAAUCCAUCAGGAUCCCCUGCGCAUGGCCGCGCGUAUUAUCGUGCCUUGGCCGUGCGUGGCAGUGCGUACGGGGUCAGAAAAUUAUUUUGAAAAUUUGGGGAUGAUCCUGAGGUUGUGUAGGUCAUUGUGGCAUAUUCAUAUACCCAAUUUGAGCAUUGUAUGAGAAGUUAUUAGCUAGUUUUGCCUAUGUGCUUUAAAAUAAUGUUUUUAUAGUUAAUUCGCAUAUAGGUGAGACUUAUUCCGAGGACGAGCGUAUCCACGGGCGACUAGGGGGUUACGACCUGUCGACAUACCAGUGAGUGGGCUUUUGUUUUCAGUAUAUAUUAAUAUACUUGAUAUAUUUCCCAGAAAUGCAGUUUUUUAAGGAAAGUAUGCUUUGAAAUAAUAUGUCAAAUGCUUUUAUAUUCUGAAUACGCAUUUCAUGGUUGCAUAUAUAUAUAUAAAUAUGGUGCUGUGGGGUCACAGGUAAGUUCAGGUAAGCUAUGUUUGGUUAUGUGAAUCAUCGAUGAUAUGACAUGUGAUUGAAUAAUGUUGAACUCAUAAAAUUGCACCUAGGGUGAUUGUGAUUUAGCUAGAGAUAUGUAGUACAGGCCUGUUUAUUUACGUCACCUCCCGCAUUAUAUGCUCAUAUUGGAUCCAACUUAAGUGCACAGCCUUGUCGUACAUACCUUAUUUAUGGUUCCGACUCGUCGGUGACUAGCGAUUUAUCGCCCGGGUAUUAUGAGAGAAUAGAAUUGAGCAUAAUUAUAUUACACCCAAUCUUGUCGUACAGACCUCUUUUUAGUGGUUCCGACCUAUAUGCAGUAUAUUGCCGUAUAGGACAUUGUAGUGACUCCGGCUAGAUUGACUUUGAGCUAUGAAUUCAGCCGUACAGACUACCGUAGGGGUUCCGGCUAACAUAUAAUAUUUCUAUCAAUUUGUUCUUACCUGAAUUGCUUACUCUGUUAUAUAGCAUGGCAUAUAUUUGAAUAUGAUUAUGUGAAGCAUGAAUUGAAUUGAUAUGAUUUUAUAUAUAUGCAUAUAUAUAUAUAUAUUGUUGGAAAUGUGCUCUAAACCAAUUCAUAUGAUGAUACUUUACGGACAUUUCACAUGUUAAACUAAUAUAGUUUAAUUUAAAGGGCAAAGAUUAUUGUUUGAAACCAUCUCAUAUAAAUGUUAUACGCUUAAACGAUAAGUCCAAGGAAUAUGUAAUUGGGAGAAUGAGAUCUGAAGUUAGAUUCAUGAGACCAUUCUCUUUUGUAUACAUAUCUUAAACAUUCCUGAUCAUAGGAUUGCCAAUCGGGCAUUGACAGUCCGUUAAGAUCAGUACGUGCUAUGUCUUCUCUUAGGGAGAGUGACUGGUCUCGAGUCAUUGGUAUGACUGACACCAAGACAAGUACGUAGGUGCUCAAUAGAGAAUGAGUUCACUAAAUGCAAUCAACAAGGAGUUCUCAUAGUCAUGUCACAUGAGAACUCAUGGUUGGGAUAAUGCAAAGUAGUCCUUUGACCUGAGGCAUCAUAGUUGUCUUGUGGUUAGGUCCUUGAUCUUUGACCAUGUCAAAGUCACUCCAUCCGAGGGUGUUCACGACAUAGUUGGGGUUAAGCCACUUAGCCAUGGAGGCAAGGGAAUGCGCAACAAGGGAUCUCUAACCUUCAAACUGUUUGAGGAAGAAUACUCUAUGAUAUGAUUAAGAAUCUCUGGCCAGAGUAUGAAUGAGAUUUAGGAAGUCAUUCCAAAUCACAUUCAAGGUAAUCAUAUAAGUAAAUGAAUCACAUUGGAUAGUAAACAUGAAUAAACUAUUAAACCAAACAAUGUGGUCAAGAGUAUUGUAUUAGAGAAAGACCGUAUUGCAUUGUAAUCCUAAACUGAAUAGGUUCUCCACCUCUUCUGAUUAGCUUGGGUAACUAUGACAUACUGCUAGGUGUCACUCAUGGUUUGUGGAAGCCCUAAAGGUGUAUAAUCAGUAAAGGGAGAAUUGAAAGUAAGUUUCAAUUCACAAUCGAUUUGAAAGAGUUCUAAUCGCCCACUGCCUCGCUAAAAGGAACCUAAUGGAUCGUACACCAUGUAAGGUAGAGAUUGAAGAAACAAUAGAGAUGAGUAAGGAUAAUUAAAUUGUUUAAUUAUUUAUGGCUAGGAUUAAUUAAUAUGUUAAUUAAUCAAACGAAUAAGUUCAUUAUAGACCUCAGGUUAGUUUUGGGCCGCAAGGCCCAAUGGGAUUUGAAUGUCAAGCCCAUUAACUCAAGUUGUAUGACAACAUGAAACCACAAAGGGCUUGAAAGCCCAAUGAACCCUUAAUGGCCGGCCAUAUAGAGAGGGGUAGUGAACUUGGCUUAAUUGCAAGUUUGCCACUCCAUUGUGAGGUGGUAUAAAGGCAACUUUAUAGCCAUUUCAUCCUUUGGGUUUCUUUUGGAAAAAAGAUGAGAACACAAGCUCCAUUUUCUCUCUAAGAGGUCGGCCAACCUAGAGGAUUUUAACUAGCAAUCGUACUUCCUCUAGGUCACUCAUCUCUUCUUCAAGUCCUACCUUGGUGUGGAGACAUAGAGGUUCUCAACUUUGGGAACUUGGAGAAUCCUUUCAACCAUCCUCAUCCAAGAAAUCCAUGGAGCUAAGAAGCAAGGAAUGAAGGCCUUCUCCUUGGGUGAUUAGCCUUUGCUUAUGCAAAGAGGAAUCAACAAAGGUAUAAAAUUUCUCAACUCACUUUGUUCUUGAGUUGAGUCUUGGUUCACAUAACUACUAGGCUUUGAAUUUCAUGGGUAAUGUUUUGUUUUGAGUGCAUACAAGCAUGAUUCCGCCUUUAAUUGUUAAUUGCAUACCAUAGAUGUUGCUCAAAUGAACAUGUUUUUCACAAAAUUUCCUUCAUAUAUUAUGUAUAUGCUCAUAUUCUGAUUCUGGGAAAAAUUAUACAUGUUUUAAAGCGAGGGGUUAGAUAUGUUGAUAAAGAUAAUGAUUUUGUAAAACAUUUGUUUUUGCCCACUCACGUUUUCUGUUUUGCACCCCUCUAGGUUUUAAGUAAGCUUGCUGUUGGUGGCUUGAGGACGUCGGCAGUUCUGACUUAUCUAAAUAAUAGUAGGACAUUCCUGGUACUAUAUAACUAGUACUUGUCCUACUAGACUGCACCUAAACUUUAUGCUCUGAUUAGGAGUGUUUACUGUUGGAACUAACUCCUAUCACGUUCUUUAGUAGUGCACUCUAGUAAUUUGGUUUUCAACUAUUCAUAUAAUUAUUAUCAUUAUUGCUUCCGCACUGUGCACAUGGCUACGUCACUUUCACGUGACUCAAAAGGAUUUUUCAGUGAUUGCUUUGCCAUUGACGAGGUUGACUUGAAAGGAUGUUAAGUUUGAGUGUGAUAAUAAAUGUGAGCAAAGUUUCCAGCAGCUGAAGUACUACCUCACUCAUGCGCCUGUUCUAGCACUUCCAAAUGAUAGCGGUAAUUGUGAGGUUUAUAGUGAUGUUUCUCUAAAUGGUUUGGGUUGUGUAUUGAUGCAACAUGGUUGGGUAAUUGCUUAUGCUUCGAGACAGUUGAAACCUCACAAAAAGAAUUACCCUACACAUGAUUUGGAAUUAGCAGCUAUCAUCUUUGCUUUGAAGAUUUGGAGACAUUAUCUUUAUGGUGACAAAUGUAAGAUCUUCACAAAUCAUAAGAGUCUUCAGUAUUUGUUUACUCAAAGAGAUCUUAAUCUUCGACAGCGGGGGGUGGAUUGAGUUACUUAGUGCCUAUGAUUGCACGAUUGAGUAUCAUCCUGGUCGUGCAAAUGCAGUGGCGGAUGCACUUAGUAGAAAGACUCCAACCAGACUUAAUGCCAUCUAUGAUUGUCAUAUUCCUCUUCUAGCUGAUUUGAGGUCCACUGGAGUGGAGUUAGGAGUGGAAGAUCAAGAAGAAGCUUUGCUUGCUAAUUUUCAAGUUAGGCCAAUUUUAAUUGAUCGUGUGCUUGAGACUCAGAUGAAUGAUGAAGAGACUCAAGAAAUAGUUCAAGCAAGGAACCAAGGAAAAAAGAAAGAUUUUAGAAUUUGAGAAAUUGAUGGCAUGCUUAUGUAGGAAAGCAGAAUAUGUGCCGAAUAAUGCAAAGUUAAAGAAAGAAAUUUUGGAUGAAGCACAUAUUUCGACAUAUGCAAUGCAUCUAGAAGGCACUAAGAUGUAUCAUACCAUUAGACCAUUUUAUUACUGGCCAGGUAUGAAAAGAGGAAUUGCCAAAUAUGUGAGUAGGUGUGCUAUUUGCCAACAGGUUAAAGCUGAAAGAAAGAAGUCGUUUGGGUUGAUGCAGCCACUUCCCGUUCCAUAAUGGAAAUGGGAAAAUAUUACUAUGGAUUUUGUGUACAAGCUCCCUCGUACACAGAAUGGUUAUGAUGGCAUUUGGGUGGUAGUUGAUCACUUACGAAGUCAGCACAUUUUAUUCCAGUAAGGGAGAAGUAUUCGUUAAGCCAAUUAGCUAAGUUAUUUAUAUCGUAGAUUGUGAAGUAUCAUGGUGUGCCAGUUAAUAUUAUCUCAGAUCGGGAUCCCAGAUUUACUUCCAAGUUCUGGAUAGCAUUCCAAGAAGCUCUUGGUACGACAUUGCUUUAUAGUACGACAUAUCAUCCUCAGACAGAUAGACAAUCUGAGAGGACCAAUCAAACAUUAGAGGAUAUGUUGAGAUCUUCUAUGCUGCAGUUUGGAGAUUGUUGGCAUGAUUGUUUGGAUUUGAUGGAGUUCGCCUACAACAACAGUUAUCAUUCGAGCAUUGGUAUGACACCAUUUGAGGCACUUUAUGGGAAAUCUUGUCGUACGCCUCUAUGCUGGUCAGAGGUUGGCAAAAGAGUUUUAGUGGGCCCUGAGAUUGUGGAUGUGACUACUCAAAAUGUUCAGGUAAUUAAGUCUAACCUGAAAGCGGCCCAAGAUCGACAAAAGAGCUUAGCAGACAAACAUGCCACUGAUCGGAAGUAUGAUGUAGGCGAUUAGGUAUUUUUGAAGCUUUCACCUUGGAAAGGUGCUGUACGAUUUGGAAAGAAAGGAAAGUUAAGUCCUAGGUACGUUGGACCAUAUAUGAUCACUGAGCGAGUCGGUGAAGUUGCUUAUAGGCUUGAGUUGCCUCUAAAGUUGUUCAAGGUGCACAAUGUAUUUCAUGUUUCGAUGCUUCGACAUUAUGUUUCAGAUCCUUCACAUGUGAUUCCUCAUUAACCUUUGGAAAUAAUUCUGGACUUGACUUAUGAUGAGGAACCAAUGACUCUUUUGGAUUGGAAGGAUAAAGAAUAAGGAAUAAGACCAUGCGUUUGGUGAAAGUAUUAUGGAGAAAUCAUUCAGUGGAAGAAGCUACUUAGGAGACAGAGGAUCAGAUGAGAAAGAUGUAUCCACGCUUGUUAUAUGAUUAUUAGUGGAUGUAAUUGUUAUGUACAAUUUCGAGGAUGAAAUUUUAUAAGGUGGGGAGAUUGUCAUAGCCUGUCCCGAGAAACAGUUAUCGUUAAUGGGAAAAGACUAGUUUACCCUUGGACGUUAAAAUGUGUGGUGUGUGAUUUAUUUUGAAAUGGAUUAAUUAAGUUUUUCCUAAGUUUUUGGAACCACUUAGGAACUAAAAAACUUCGGUUGUGACUGAGUUGUUGGCUUGUUUUGGACCGCACAUCACUCCUACAUCCUUUCUCUUCCUCCCCGUGCUCUCUCUCUCAUCUCUUGGACUCUCUCUCUUCCCUCUUUCGUACGGACAAGCUUUGAACUUUCCCUUUCAAGUAUGGAUCGAAGCUUUAAAGGUAAGUUUAUUGCUCAUUUUAACCUCCUGAGUAUAUUGAUACCCUUGUUUGGAUGUGAAUGCUUCGAAAACACAAAGAAACCUUAACCCCGAUUUUGUGCAUUGUUCAUGCACACGUAAAACCUUGUGUUUCAGUGAAUUCUAAGGAAAUAGGAAGCUUAAGGAGGUCCUCACGAGUCUAGGGGUACUUCGUUGGAAGGAUUUGGACGUCGGAAGACUGAGAUCGAUGUGUUUCUAGGUAAGCCAAACUUUCGACAUUUCUCAGAAAAAAUCUAGUAGAAUUUAAGCCUUGAAACUUGUAUAACGUGAUUCUACAUGUUAUUAGCUUCAUUUUGGUACCAAUUUCAUGAAAAAUGGUCAAGAAUCGAAGGAGAAUAGUGAUUUUAAAGUUUUACCCAGAAACCGACGAAGUCGCCGGCGACCGGCGACUCACCGGAGAAGAAAGGGGAAUAUUCCAUCAGUUUUGACGGAAUAUGCUGAUGUAGUCAGUUAGUUUGGAUGGUUACCGUUGGACUUAAAGGAAUAUUCCGGGGAAUAUUCCCAACGGCAGUUAGGGAAUUCAUCAGGAUCCCCUGCGCAUGGCUGCGCGUAUUGCCGUAUCUUGGGCGGCGCGUGGCGGCCCAUGCGGGGUCAGAAAAUUAUUUUGAAAACUUGGGGAUGAUCCUGAGGUUAUGUAGGUCAUUGUGGUAUAUUCAUAUGCCCAAAUUGAGCAUUGUAUAAGAAGUUAUUAGCUAGUUUUGCCUAUGUGCUUUAAAAUAACGUUUUGAUCGUUAAUUCGCAUAUAGGUGAGACUUAUUCCGAGGACGAGCGUAUCCACGGGCGACUCGGGGGUUACUACCCAUCGACAUACUAGUGAGUGGGCUUUUGUUUUCAGUAUAUAUUAAUAUACUUGAUGUAUUUCCCAGAAAUGCAUUUUUUUAAGGAAAGUAUGCUUUGAAAUAAUAUGCCGAAUGCUUUUAUAUUCUGAAUAUGCAUUUCAUGGUUGCAUAUAUAUAUAAAUAUGGUGCUGUGGGGGCACAUGUAAGUUCAGGUAAGUUAUGUUUGGUUAUUUGAAUCAUCGAUGAUAUGACAUGUGAUUGAAUAAUGUUGAGCUUAUAAAACUGCACCUAGGGUGAUUGUGAUUUAGCUAGAGAUAUGAAGUACAAGCCUGUUUCUUUACGUCACCUCCCACACUAUAUGCUCAUAUUGGAUCCAACUUAAGUGCACAGUCUUGUCGUACAUACCUUAUUUAUGGUUUCGACUCAUAGGUGACUAGCGAUUUAUCGCCCAGGUAUUAUGAGAGAAUAGAAUUGAGCAUAAUUAUGUUACACCCAAUCUUGUCGUAUAGACCCCUUUUUAGUGGUUCCGACUUAUGUGCAGUAUAUUGCCAUAUAGGUCAUUAUAGUGACUCCGGCUAGAUUGACUUAGAGCUAUGAAUUCAGUCGUACAGACUACCGCAAGGGUUUCGGCUAACAUAUCAUAUUUCUAUGAAUUUAUUCUUACCUGAAUUGCUUACUCUGUUAUAUAUUGGCAUGGCAUAUAUUUGAAUAUGAUUAUGUGAAGCAUGAAUUGAAUUGAUAUGAUUUCAUAUAUAUAUAUAUAUAUAUAUAUAUAUAUAUAUAUAUAUUAUGUAUAUGCUCAUAUUCUGAUUAUGGGAAAAAUUAUACAUGUUUUACAGCGAGGGGUUAGAUAUGUUGAUAAAGAAAAUGAUUUUGUAAAACAUUUGUUUUUGCCCACUCACAUUUUCUAUUUUGCACCCUUCCAGGUUUUAAGUAAGCUUGCUGUUAGUGGCUUGAGGACGUCGGCAGUUCUGACUUAUCUAAAUAAUAGUAGGACAUUCCUAGUACUGUAAAACUAGUACUUGUCCUACUGGACUGCACCUAAACUUUAUGUUCUGAUUAGGAGUGUUUACUAUUGUAACUAACUCCUAUCACGUUCUGUUUAGUAGUGCACUAUAGUAAUUUGGUUUUCAACUAUUCGUAUAAUUCUUAUCAUUAUCGCUUCCGCACUGUGCACAUGGCUACGUCACUCUCACGUGACGGCCAGCAUGCCUUGAUCUCGGUCGCGGUGUGUCAUGUGAACAUACAUUUGAAGCCUGACCCCGAUUUACGCGGGUACAAACACCAGUUUAACACACGAUGAGCAUAUACCGUAUAUAUAAUCGUGCAACGAGAAAAUGAUAGUUCUAAUCAACAUAAUACUAUUCAUGCCAGUAAAUCUAAUUAAGGCAUCCCCUUAUAGUAAACUUACUUGUGCAUCCCGUAGGAUUAUUUCAUAAUUUCUCAACAGUAAGACAUUUCUUAUAAAUGUUAUUUAAUCAUGACAUCACAUAGAAAAUUCAUUAUUAAGUAUAUAUGGAAACGAAAUGAAUAUAUGUAUACUGUAUAAAAGAAAAGACAUACUCACAAAUACUUGCGAGAUCGCAGCCACUCGAACAAAGAAAGCCGGAGUCUCUGAUAGUAAUCGUACCUAAGCACAAUAUUGGAACCCUUUAGUAAAACUCAACUUAAACGAUCAAAUUUGGGAAAACGGAGUGCAGAUUGAGUAUCAGGGCGUGAAAAUAUGCUAUGAAAGGUUUUGGGCAAAUUCUAUCAAAAGUCAACAAUCAACCCUAAAAAGUCAACCGAGACGCCCCGACGGUCAACUACGUUAAAACUUUGAAAUUUCACUAAAUGAAUGCCAAAAUUGGACUCGGAUCUCAAAAAUAGUCUAGGAAGGUUUCUGAGAAAAUUUCGAAAAAAGUCAACAAAAUUCUUGUUCUUCUGUUAAAGUUAACUGGGAGCUAAUUUCAAAAAGGGAUCUGGGUUAGUUUGGCAAAUCUGGCCCAUAGAUUUGGAUUUGGGGCUUUUUUAUUUUUUAUAUAUCAGGUCGGGUCGACCCGUUGGGCUCACGGGUUGAACCCGUCGGACCCAACGAAGAAGAACAUUGGUAUUUUGGCCGGGAACUUCCCGAGCUCUAAUCGAGUUCGAUUCUUGACUAUUUUUAGAAAAUUUUAAGUCAAUUUGAAGCUAAGGAAAAGAAGAACAAGAAUUUACCAACAUGAGGACCAGCCGUGGUUGAAAAGUGGCUGGAAAAUACCUACAACAACUUGCGAGUUGGUCGAAAUUUGGGAAAAAAUUCCCCGAGUUGAUUUAUGUACUAGAUCGUCACCAAAACACGCGUAUAAUGAGUUGAUCAUGUUUAAAAUAAGACGGGGAAGGCAAAUCGAGUGGUCCAAACCUUUACCUUGGUCGAAAUCAUCGAGAACUCGCUGGUGGUUCGUUGAAGGUAAUAGUGAACGUUCACGGAGACGAGUAGAACUUGAUGCUGUUGUCGGAGCUGAGAGGUGGCGAUAGUGGUGGCCGUCAUUGCUGUGCUGUCGUCAGGAGAGGAGAAGGAUAAUGUAGAGAGAGUCCUAGAUUUUGGUGGAAGAGAGUAAAUGUGGCAAGAAGAAAGUGGAGAGUUUGGGAUGUGUGGCCCCCACGGCCCAAAUAUAAAUUAAUAAAAUAUUUAAAAUAUCCCCCAAAUAAUAUUAAUGACACACCCCGACCCUAAUCAGGACAUGCUGGCCAUCAUGUGAGGGUGACGUAGACAUGUGCACUAUGCGGAAGCAAUAAUGAUAAUAGAGAAUACGAAUAAUUAAAAAUCAACUCAUAUGAGUACUAGUUAAGGUAAGUACUAGAAAAUGUGUGAAUACACAAUCAGAGCAUAAGAAGCCUAAGUUUAGUCCAGAAAAUAAGUACUAACUAAACGACACCUAAAGAUGUCCUACAUUUGUGAUAGUCUAUCAGAACCUCCAGUCAAUCCUCGGGAGCCACCAACGAACAAGCUUAUCUAAAACCUGGAGGGGUGCAAAAUAGAAAACGUGAGUGGGCAAAAACAAAGCUUUUCAAAAUCAUUUCAUUUAUCAAAUGCUCUAACCCCUCACCGUAAAACAUGUAUAAUUUUCCCAGAAAUGAAAUAUAAAUAUAUAUAUAUAUGUGUGUGUGUGUGUAUAUAUAUAUAUAUAUAUAUAUAACAAUUCAUGCUUCACAUAACCAUAUUCAUAUGUAUGCCAUGCCAAAAUAUAAAACAGAAUAAGUAACUCAGGUGAUAACAAUUUCAUAGAAAAAUAACAUAUUAGCCGGAACCCCUACCGAGGUUUGUACGGCUAAAUUCAUAGCUCAUUAUUCUAUACGGCACUACACUGCACAUAAGUCGGCACCACUGUAAUGGUCUGUACGACAAAACUAGGUGAAAUAUAGUUAUGCUCAAUGUUACUAUUUCAUAAUAGCUGUGCGAUAAUUCGCUAGUCACCUAUGAGUCGGAACCACCUAUGAUGGACUGUACGACAAGAUUGUGCACCUAAAUUGGAUCCAAUGUGAGCAUAGGGUGAGGGAGGUGACAUCAUAAAUAGGCCUGUACCUUAUCUCUGGCUAAAUCACAAUCACCCGGGGUGCAGGUUUAUGAGCUCUAUGCUUCUCAAAUAAUCACAACCGUUAUUCACAUUCACAAUUCAUAAACUCACUUGGGCUUACCUGAGCGUCCACAACACCACAAUUAUUUAUUAUGCAUCAUAUACUAUUUCAUAUUCUGAAUAUAAAUUUAUAUGCAUGGCAUUUCAAAGCAUACUUUCAUUUAAACGCAUUUUCUGGGAAAAUAUCGAGUAUAUAAAUAUAUACUAAAAACCAAAAGCCCACUCACUGGUAUGUCGAAGGGUCAUAGCCUCUAAGUCAUCCUUGACUGCGUUCGUCCUUGGGAUAAGUCUCCCCUAUAUGCGAAACAACUAUAAAAACGUUAAUUUAAAGCACAUAACCAAUACUAGCUAAUAACUUCUCAUACAUUGCUCAAAUGGGGUGUUUGAAUAUACCAACGUGAUCUACACAACCUCACGAACAUCCCCAUAUUUUUAGAAAAUUUUUCCGACCACUCACGCGCCGGCCAAGGCACGACCAGACGCACCCGAACGCGCAGGUAACCCUGACAGAAUCCUAACUGCCGUUCGGAAUAUUCCGUUAAAAAGUAACAGAAACCGUUAAUUCUACAUGACGGCAUUAGAAUAUUCCAUCAAGUUUGACGAAAUAUUCUCUGUCUUCUACCUUCGAACUCUGACGACCGUUGUCGUCAUUUCUUAACCAAAACUCAUAAAAUUGGUCUCAAUUUAAAGCUUAUAACUAGAAGAACACAUCCUUACCAAUUUCAAGGCUUGAAAUCCAUGAAAACUCGCCAGAGAAAGCUUGAUAAUUCGGUGAAAACUUAAAACUCGUCGAACUCGAUUUCCCGACAUCCAAAUCGCUUGGUUUUUCUUCUCCGCGCUUCAUGAGGAUGAUUCAAAGCUCCCUAUGUCCUUAAAAACUCCUAAAAACCUCACAUUAAUUAGUGCAUGAAAUUUGGGAUUAGAGUUCUUGGGGUUUUUGAAGCUUUCAAGUUCUAAAAAUAGCAUAUACGAACUUAGAAGCUUGUAAGGAGUUCGAAUCUUACCUUUUUGACGUCAAUUUGUGACUGAAUGAGAGGGUUCGAGAUUUGUCCGUACACUUGUACAGACGUUGCAGAAUAAUCGAAAGGGAGAGGAGAGAGAGAGCAUGGGGAAAGAUUGAGUGUGUGUGUCGGUGUGUGGUGCUCCUACAUGGUCUUUCAAUACACAAAGCAAACACUUUAAGUCUUAAGUGUUCCAAAAACUUAGGAAAAUCUUUGAAUUGGUCCAAAUAAAACUUAACCCACAUAACCACACAAAACGUCCAAGGGUAAAUAAGUAAUUUCACACAAUAAAAAAUAAAUGGGACGGGCUGUGACAAUUAAAAUAAUAAUAUAAUAAUUAUGAGAAAUAUAUAAAAUAAUAAAUAGUAAUUUUUACAAAAGUAAUUUUUGGAUUUGUAGUUCCGUAAAACCUCCGUUGUAAUUCCGAUUCCAAUUUCACUUGCGCCAACGCGUUCGUACCGUCGAGUACUUCAAGAAUACGGUAAAAUAGUAGCUCGUACGCAUCACGAAAUGACGGUCAAUGAAAGUCAACAAUCUCGCCACUAGGGCCAUUUUUUGUCAAUUCACUUUUAAAAUUAUUGAAGCCGGAAAAUUUGGGACAGGUUGUUACAAUCUACCCACCUUAAAAAAGUGUUGUCUUUGAAAUUUGAAAUCACUUGUUAUACAUAAAAUACUCAAAAAAGAUAGGAAACAAAAUAUAUGUAUAUUUAAGGAAAAAAUCAAGUUAGAGCGGUUACAUAAAAGAGAACAUCAUUCCGUUGCGAUCGGAUUGCAAUGAUUCCUCUUGUUGAAAAUGUGCCCUAAAGUCAAUCAUAAGUUGAUACUUUACGGACAUUUCACAUGUUAAACUAAUCUAGUUUAAUAUAAAGGGCAAAGAUUAUUAUUUAACGUUGUCUCAUAUAAAUGUUAUAUGCUUAAACGAUAAGUCCAAGGAAUAUGUAAUUGGGAGAAUGUGUAGAUUCAUGAGACCAUUCUCUUUCGUAUACAUAUCCUAAACAUUCUUGAUCAUAGGAUUGCCAAUUGGGCAUUGACAGUCCAUUAAGAUCAGUACGUGCUAUGUCUUAUCUUAGAGAGAAUGACUAGUCUCGAGUCAUUGGUGUGACUGACACUAAGACAAGCAUGUAGGUGCUCAAUAGAGAAUGAGUCCACUGAACACGAUCAACAAGGACUUCUCAUAGUCAUGUCACAUGAGAACUCAUGAUUGGAUAAUGCAAAGUAGUCAUUUGACCUGAGGCAUCAUAGUUGUCUUGUGGUUAGGUCUUUGAUCUUUGACUAUGUCAAAGUCACUCCGUCAAAGGGUGUCCACGGUAUAGUUGGAGUUAAGCCACUUAGUCAUGGAGGUAAGUGAAUGCACAACAAGGGAUCUCUAACCUUCAAACCAUUUGAGGGAGAAUACUUUAUAAUAUGAUUAAGAAUCUCUGGCUAGAGUAUGAAUGAGAUUUAGGAAGUCAUUCCAAAUCACAUUCAAGAUAAUCAUAUAAGUAAAAGAAUCACAUUGGAUAGUAGACAUGAAUAAACUAUCAAACCAAACAAUAUGGUCAAGAGUAUUGUAUUAGAAAAAUACCGUAUUGCAUUGUAAUCCUAAACUGAAUAGGUUCUCCACCUCUUCUGAUUAGCUUGGGUAGCCAUGAUAUACUGCUAGGUGUCACUCAUGGUUUGUGGAAGCCCUAAAGGUGUAUAAUCAGUAAAGGGAGAAUUGAAAGUAUGUUUCAACUGACAAUCGAUUUAAAGAGUUCUAAUCGUCCUUUGCCUCGCUAAAAGGAACCUAAUGGAUUGUACACCAUGAAGGAUUAUUUUGUGAAAACAUGUUCAUUUGAAUAACAUCUAUAGCAUGCAUUUAACAAUUAAAAGGCGGAAUCAUGCUUGCAUGCAUUCAAAAACAAAACAUUACCCAUGAAAUUCAAAGCCUAGUAGAUUGGUGAACCAUGAAUCAACUCAAAACAAAGUGAGUUGAAAUUUAUACCUUUGUAGAUUUCUCUUUGCAUAAGCAAAGGCAAAUCACCCAAAGAGAGGGCCUUCAUUCAUUGCAUCUUAAAUCUAUGGAUUUGGAUGGAAGAAUAGGUUUCUCCAAGUUCCCAAAAUUGAGAACCUCUAAGUCUCUUCACCAAGGAGAGAUUGGAGAAGAAAAUGAGUGACCUUGGAGUAGUAGUAUGGCUAGAUACACCCUCCAAGGGGGCCUUCCUCCUAGAGAGAAAAAGGAGAGACAUGUUCUCACAAAUUUUCUCCAAAAGAACCUUUAAUGAAUUUUAGGCUAUAAAGUUCUUUAUAUAGUCACUUCUAUAAAUGACCUAAAGAACCAAAAAACCCUAAUUCAACACAUAUGGCUGGCCAGAUUAGGGAUUUGGGCUUUUGGGCCUUUGUGAAUCUUUAUUCAUUAAAUUGUCAUACAACUUAAGUCAAUGGGCUUGACGUUCGAAGCCCAUUGGGCCUUAAGGUCCAAAACUAUCCCGAGGUAUUUAACGAACUUAUUCGUUUGAUUAAUUAACAUAUUAAUUAAUCCUUGCCAUAAAUAAUUAAACCUUUUAAUUAUUCUUACUCAUCUCCAUUGUUUCUUCAAUCUCCACCUUACACGGUGUACGAUCCAUUAGGUUCCUUUUAGCGAGGCAGUGGGCGAUUAAAACUCUUUCAAAUCGAUUGUGAAUUGAAACUUACUUUCAAUUCUCCCUUUAGUGAUUAUACACGUUUAGGGCUUCCACAAACCAUGAGUGACACCUAGCAGCAUAUCAUGGUUACCCAAGCUAAUCAGAAGAGGUGGAGAACCUAUUCAGUUUAGGAUUACAAAUGCAAUACGGUAUUUCUCUAAUACAAUACUCUUGACCACAUUGUUUGGUUUGAUAGUUUAUUCAUGUCUACUAUCCAAUGUGAUUCGUGUGCUUAUAUGAUUACCUUGAAUGUGAUUUGGAACGACUUCCUAAAUCUCAUUCAUACUUUGGCCAAAGAUUCUUAAUCAUAUCAUAGAGUAUUCUCCCUUAAACGGUUUGAAGGUUAGAGAUCCCUUGUUGCGCAUUCACUUGCCUCCAUGGCUAAGUAGCUUAACCCCAACGAUGCCGUGGACACCCGCGGAUGGGGUGACUUUGACAUAAUCAAAGAUCAAGGACUUAGCCACAAGACAGCUGUGAUGCCUCAGGUCAAAGGACUACUUUGCAUUAUCCCAACCAUGAGUUCUCAUGUGACAUGAAUAUCAGAACUCUUCGUUGAUCGUGUUCAGUGAACUCAUUCUUUAUUGAGCACCUACGUACUUGUCUUGAUGUCACACACACCAAUGACUCGAGACUAGUCACUCUCCUUGAGAGAAGACACAUCACGUACUGAUCUUAACGGAGUGUCAAUGCCCAAUUGGCAAUCCUAUGAUCAGGAACGUUUAGGAUGUGUCUACGAAAGAAUGGUCUCAUGAAUCUAACUUCUUUAGAUCGUAUUCUCCCAAUCACAUAUUCCUUGGACUUAUCGUUUAAGCAUAUAACAUUUAUAUGAGACGGCUUAAAACAAUAAUUUAUGCCCUUGAUAUUAAACUAGAUUAGUUUAACAUGUGAAAUGUCCGUAAAGUAUCAUCAUAUGAUUGGUUUUAGGGCACAUUUCCAACAAUCUCCCACUUGCACUAGAGCCAAUCAGCUUGUUCAUCAGUGAUGAUACCUCUUAUGUAGUCAUUUCAUAAAUGGCUGAGUAGUAGGCCUAGACAAUGGAUAUCUAUAUGUUAUCCAUAGAAGCAACCUUGAGAAUAACGACGUCACCAUUAUACAUGAUUCUCUCAAUCAUGUUGGUUCAGUCUCUCAUUUGAGUUCGGACCUUGAUGAGACCUUGAUUCCCUGGCUUGAGCUAUCGCCCCAUUAGUGUCAUACACUUUCUGGUUGGAACCGAAUAGAGAGUUCAUAAAUGAACUUUCCCAUCCAAACAACAUUGUUGUAAACUUCUAUAUGGCAAUAUAUUUUGCAUUCAUAAUGGAACACACUAAAGUCAUUACUUUAAUGUUUCCAUCCAAAUAUCUCUUUAGUCAUAAUAAAGAGAUAUCUGUUUAUCUCUUCAUUCAUAAUGAAGAAACAUCCAAUGAUGGAUUAGAUUCAUAAUCUAAUACAUUUACGCUUCCAUUACGUUACUCUAAUUGUUCCUCGAUCUUUGAGGAAUUUAUCCUUUAGUAUUUCUUAAAUACUUAAGGACUCACUUGACAGUUGCCAUGGUUCUGAUCCUGGGCUUGCACUGAUAUCGUCUUGCACCUUUCUAGGUACAACUCAUAUCAAUGUUUUUCAUACAAUAUGAAAUACAUAAAUCACCUUUCUGCGUAUGCAUAAAGGAUUCUAUUUACACAUUAUUUCUUUGGGAGUCAAAGAGUACGUUCUCUUUGAGAAGAGCAACUCCUUAGUCUUACUAGAGUUGUCCAUUUGAUUGAAGUUCAUCAUCAUAUGAGAAACUUCCUAUCAUCUUUUGUCUAUAUUUAGGGCUUGAUAUAAUCCAAUUAUAUCCUAAAAUCUAUCAAUAUAGAUUUCCAUCCCAUGUAUAUAUACUAUGUCUCCCAUAUACAUUCUAUCUUCAUAUAAUGUUUUAAAGUCAUAACUUUAACGAAGAAGUAUUCUUUUCAUUUCCAAAAUUAAUAUAUCAUAUAUAUAUUUUAAAUUUUAGGAACAUUAUUAACUCCCACUAAUCUUUUGUAAACCUAGUAAACAAAAGAUUCAUUUACAUCUUUAUGAGAAAUCAAACGAUAUGAUCCUUUUCUCAUAAGAUGCUUAUAGCUCCCAUUAGCUUGCUAAGAUCCAUGAUGGAUGGAUCUCUACAACUUACAUGUCUUGUGAUUUAUAGUUUUAGACAUAUAUUAUCAAGACUAUCUUAAUAAUGGUUUCGGAAACCCAUAUAAUGUCCAAACAUUGAAUCACAAUUUAGUUGUAGCUAGCAAUCUUUGAAUUAAUUGAAACCUAGACUAUCUCAAAGAUGGUUUCUUCAUAGUCAACCAUUCUCUUUGAUUGUAGUCACCUUAAGCUACCAAUUAGCUUAUGAAGGUUUCAUUAUUUCGGGUCAAAUGGUACUUUACCAUUUCCUUGAGUAUAUAUCAUAUAUACACUCAAUGUAGUCAAAAGGAUUUUCAUUCUUAUUUCUUUCAAAUUAAGAGGUGUAACUCUAUGACAUAGUCAUAAAGUUCAAACCAUUCAACCGAGACCGUUUAUAAAUCCUCUCGACUACCUUGGAGCCUUUGGUAUAGGAACUAGGUUGUUAUAUUUGUUGAUUACUUUCUUGUCUCUCAAAGAACCCAUCCUUUGAGUUCUAUCUCUCGUUCAUUAGCUCUUAGGCAAAUCACAUUGUAGGAUUACAAUGAACUACUCAACAAAACAACAUUUGUUAGUUGGUUUAUAGAAGCGAUAUCCAAAAGUUAAUUUAAGGAUAUCCCACAAGAUUGUUAUCAAACAAAUAUUGCUAAUUAGCACACAACCCCAAAUCUUAACAUGCUUAAGAUUUGUCUUUCUUUCCAACUACAUCUUAUGGAGUCAUGAAAAUUUUGGAAAGAUCUUCUAAUUUACAAUCAUAUUGUUUUUAGAAGUAUAUAUAUCCUAUAUAUGGGUAAUAGAUAACAUCUAACGAACUAAAUCUUAUUCAAGUUCGUUCUUCUCCUAAUGGAGAAAUUCAUUAUCUUAUGAUGCUUCUUUCCUUGAUAUCUUUCAAGGAAACUCAUCUAAAGUGUUACUUUUCCUUGGAUCAAAUCUAAGGAGGUAAAUACUUUAGACGUCUUACUCAUUAACUUACAUUUCUUGAAUUCUUUGAAACCUUUUGCAAAGUAUUCGGACUUGUGUUUAUUCAAAAUAAACUAUAGUCCAACCGAGAGUGAUCUUCGGUGAACGUCAUACAACAUGAGUAGUGUUAUGUUGUGGACAAGUGCCACUAACAUCUAAGUGAAUUAACCUAAAAAACUUUGUGAUUCUUUCUUCUUUCCAAAAGAAUAAAGAUUCGAACAUUUCGCCUCUAUACAAUUUUAAUAAGAAGGUAUUGGAUCCGGAUCUAACAAUCCAAAGCAUCCAUUUUUCACCAACUCAUAACUUAUGUUUUAGAGGUAUCACAACUCAGUUGGGAUUAGUCACUACCUUGCAACCUUUUGGGUUUUAAGCAUCAUUAUAUUCUAAACAGUUAACACUACCAUAUCAUCUCUAUUAUAGAGACAAUCAAUUAGAUUACUAUAAUCCAAUCAUUGAUUAAUAAAGAACAAUGUUUUGUCAAACAAAGCAUUCAUCCAUCUCGACUAUAGUGACGGAAUUAAGUUCCUUAAAAUUGGAAUGUAAAGACUAUCUUUGGUUUUUCCAAUUUCUUUGGUAGUUCAUAUGAGGAAGUAAGUACUAUCUACUUUCGCAGAGAUCUAUAUUUUAUUCACGUUCACGUUCCGAAUGUGAAGCACCUUUUCUUCUCUCAUAUAUCUUCUACUUCUUAUUAGUCACACUUUUACAACGAUUGUAAAACAUAGUUACUAAUACGGAAUCAAGCAUUCAAGUAGAAGAACCAACUGUUUUGAACUAUUCAAGAACAAUUUACAACACCUUCGAAAGGUGUGUUCUUGACACUUGCAAGACAUUUCUUGCAAAUACCCCUUCCAAUGUCCAUCCUUUUAUAAAGAAAGUUUGUUCCCUUGGAGUUAAUUUUUAUCUUCUUCAUUUGACUUUCACCUUUGACUACAAUAGUCAUGGUCCCUAAACUCCCACUAUCUCUCUUGAAACCUUAUUUCAAUUGUGUUAUACACAUCAAACAAUUUUGGAGAGCAUGUGGUCAUUGUUCACUACAUAGUUUACAAUAAACUUAGUGUACUAUUAGGAAAAGGAAACAAAGGUGAAGUCCUUGCCUAGUUUCCAUCUCGUUAAGUGGUUUUAACACUUCAACACAAUGAUUCAAAAUCAUCAUAAGUCCAUGUUGAUGGACUAUUUUUUUGUCAACCAACCAUUAUGUUCUAAACAUAAUUACAAACUUUCAAGAGUUGUUACAAGGCAACUCUCAUUUCUUCAUACAACAAUUUGGUAAGUGAAGAAUCAUGGCACAUAAAGUGUCCAUGCCCUUGUGCUUUACUUCUCAAGUUCCUUGUUCAUGUAACAAAGUAACAAGCACUAAGUGUUUGCAUUGAUUAAGGGUUGUUCAAAGCAACUCUUAUUUCUUCAUACAACAAUUUGUAAUGGAAGAAUUAUGACAUUAAAAGUGUUGUCCUCUUUAUGAUAGACCUUUUUCUAACAUAUUCUUCUAACUGAUACAUUAUCAAUAGGAAGAUUGUGAGGAUGAGACUACUUAGGUACAUUUACAAGCCAUUAAAGACAAUCUAUGGUUUUGUAGUACCAAGUCCGGAAACUAAAGCUUUCGGCUUUUAUUUGUCAAGUGUUGGAUAGCGUUUGCAAAUAUAUUGGUAAACAAAUACAUAACGAAUAUUAAAUUGAUUUUAAGCCAUUUGAUUCGGGUCUUUAAAUCAAAUAGCACCACCCACUAUUUUUGGAAAAUUCCAUAUCCCUCAUUGGAAUUCGAGAGUUUUUGAGGAAACUCUUAGUAGGGUAUGGGAGGACUCACUAUUACCAAGCCCACCUCAGAAGAAAACUCCAUAUUGGCUAGCAACAAUAAUAAUGAGAGAGUACGCUUACUCAUUUGCAUCUCUAAUGCAAGUACCCAUCUCUAGUUUGGCCUCUAGAGAAUGAUGCCAUCAGAAGAAUACUCCAUAUUGGCACCAUUGCACUUAGUUAAGUCAUUCCCACCAUGCUAGUUCAAGUAGGGGUUCAAGAAUGGCCUCAGAAGAACUCCAUAUUGGCCACACUCGUUGCCUACCUUUCACUUCAUCAUAUGUUUAUAGGCUUCUCCUGAAUGUAAGCACAUACUUUGCAACCCCAGAACUGGACGAAUACAUUGUACGAGUCACAAACGAUUGAAGCCCACCACGGUGGAAGGCCACGAAAGAGUGUUCAAAGCACUCUCUCACGCUUAUCAACUUAAUAAUGGUUUGGUUGAGGGUUUUAGGUCUCAUCUCAUAUAAACAUUACAUUUUAAUCUCUAUUAAAACAAUUUUGGUCCUAUUACAACUAUUGGUCCAUAUGAUUGUUUUAGUUGUACAUAAUACUCCCACUAUGCUUAUAAAACGGUUUUUUAAAGCAAGAGUAUAUGUUACUACUAACAUAAGGUUUGCAUUCAUUUGAUGGAUUAUAUAGUUGCCUUAGGGCCUUAGGAUGACUAUGAACCUUUGUUUAGAUUCAACACGAGCCUUGUGUUGAAUCUCGGUCUAGGGAUGGAGAUUGAUUUUAGUUACGCGUUUAAUCACAUUAAGGCGUGUUGUCUUAGGGGCGUUGGACCCAAUUACUUCAUUUUCAUGCAUAUCAAUAUAAAGCAAGAAAGAAAUACUUCAAAGUAAAGGAUGAGCUUAUGCUCAUUACAACAUUUGCAUAAAACAAAUUACCUUAAAGUAAAGAAGGACUUAUGCCCUUUUACAACAUUUGAUCAAAUCAAAUUACAACCAAAAUCUAAUCUACACAUUCCCAUGGUUCAAACAAAUUUGAAACGCCUUUCACAUAGCUCAAUUAUAUUAGGCUUAGGUUCAUAAUCAUCCUUUAAUUAAUUAACGUUUUAACUAAUUAAUUGAAUGCAACAUUUUCAUUUGGUUUUUGUAUCCAUAAAAUUGAUUUAAGUGGAGCUAAACAAAAUGAAAAUCCAAUUCUCAUUUAAAGAGACAAAAACAAUUUUGUUCUCAUCCUAUUUGGGCCAUCAUGCAAUAACCACAACUUUUUGGGCCAUAUUGCGAAAACAUAAACUUUUAGGGUCACUUUGUAAAAACACAAAAGUCACUACUUCAUGUAAAUACAACUAGAACCCAAAAUUUAAAUAAAUUCAAAAAAACUUCAUUAAAGGAGCAAAAACAAUUUGUCCUUUAGCGUUUUUAGGCCUUAACGUCAAAACGUAAACUUUCGGGUCAAAGUACAAAUACACAAAAGUAUCAAAACUUUAUGUAAUUGCAUAAAAAGCCCCAAAAAUACCCUAUUUUAUUAGGGUGGCCGGUUUUUAGGGAUAAAAAUGAGUGGUGGGUGUUUUGAUUUAUUAGUUUUGUCAAAAACAAUCAAGUAGUGCUUUCACCUUUCAUAAAAUUAAUAUAUGUUUUGAUGAUUGAUGUUUCCAUCAUCAUUUAUACAAAUAUUUAACACUUUAAAUACUUUCAUAAAAUUAAUAUAUGUUUUGAUGAUUGAUGUUUCCAUCAUCAUUUAUUCAAAUAUUUAAACUUUAAAUACUUUCAUAAAAUUAAUAAUAUGUUUUGAUGAUUGAUGUUUCCAUCAUCCAUUUAUUCAAAUUUUUAAAAUACAAAUACAUAAAUCAUUUGAAAAACAUAUAUAAACUUUAUGAAAUAUUCAAAACUUUGAAUCAAAAAACAAAACCUUUUUGUUCUUGGCAAGAACAUCAAGAACAAUGAAGAACAUCCAUGAAAACCCAUAAGAGCUCCAUGAAUGUUUUCAAGCCAUCAAAACUCAAAAUUUUCAUCAUUCAAAAUGAGGCUAACAUCCUAGGGUACUUAGGGGUUCCAAAAGUCACCUUAAAACCAUUUUAACAAGACAAACAUGAACCCAAAAAAUCACCCUUUGGAUUUGGCCGAAAAUUCCCAAAAUCAUGGCACCAAAUUUUAGCUCCAAUAUUCAUCCUCAUAUGAACUACAUCUACAACAUUUGAGAUGGCAAAUUUUCAAACAAAAUUUACAUUCAAAGAAGCAAGAAUAAAGUUUGUAACAAUUACAACUUUUAAAUCAUAAACUUAUGAACUACAAAACCCAAAAGGAUUCACCAACUACUAGACCUAGGCUCUGAUACCACUUGAAGGAUUUAUUUUGAAAAACAUGUUCAUUUGAGCAACAUCAUAUAUAGCAUGCAAUUAACAAUUAAAAGGCGGAAUCAUGCUUGCAUGCACUCAAAAACAAAACAUUACCAUGAAAUUCAAAGCCUAGUAGAUUGGUGAACCAAUAAUCAACUCAAAACAAAGUGAGUUGAAAUUAAUACCUUUGUAGAUUCCUCUUUGCAUAAGCAAAGGCUAAUCACCCAAAGAGAUAGGGCCUUCAUUCCUUGCUUCUUAGAUCCAUGGAUUUGGAUGGAAGAAUAGGUUCUCUAAGUUCCCAAAAUUGAGAACCUCUAAGUCUCUUCACCAAGGUUUGAUUGUAGAAGAAAAUGAGUGACCUUGGAGUAGUAGGAUUGCUAGAUGUACCCCCUCCAAGGUGUUAGCUUCUUUUAGAGAGAAAAUGGAGAGACAAUUCUCUCCCAUUUUCACCCAAAAUAAACCCUUAAUCACAUUAAUGAAUAUUUGGCUAUAAAGUCAUUUAUAUAGUCACUUCUUUAAGUGACCUAAACAACCAAAACCCUAAUUCAUACACAUAUGGCCGGCCAUUUAGGGAGUUUUGGGCUUUUGGGCCUUAAUGAAUCUUUAUUCAUUAAAUUGUCAUACAACUUAAGUUAAUGGGCUUGACGUUCGAAGCCCAUUGGGCCUUAAGGUCCAAAACUAUCCCGAAGUCUUUAACGAACUUAUUCGUUUGAUUAAUUAACAUAUUAAUUAAUCCUUGCCAUAAAUAAAUGAUUAAACCAUUUAAUCAUUCUUACUCAUUUCCGUUUAAUCUUCAAUCUCUACCUUUUAUGGUGUGCGAUCCAUUAGGUUCCUUUUAGCGAGGCAGUGGGUGAUUAAAACAAUUUUACAUCGAUUGUGAAUUGAAACAAUUUUCAAUUCUCCCUUUAGUGGUUAUACACGUAUAGGGCUUCCACAAACCAUGGUUGACGCCUAGCAGCAUGUCAUGGUUACCCAAGCUAAUCAGAAGAGGUUAGAGAACCUAUUCAGUUCGGGAUUACAAAUGCAAUACGGUCCUUCUCUAAUCUAAUACUCUUGACCACAUUGUUUGGUAUGAUAGUUUAUUUACUCAUGUCUACUAUCCAAUGUGAAUCGUUUGCUUAUAUGAUUUUCCUUGAAUGUGAUUUGGAACGCAUUCCCCAAUCUCAUUCAUACUCUGGCCAGAGAUUCCAAAUCAUAUCAUAGAGUAUUCUCCCUCAACUGUUUGAAGGUUAGAGAUCCCUUGUUGCGCAUUUACUUGUCUCCAUAGCUAAGUGGCUUAACCCCAACGAUGUCGUGACACCCCUAGGGGGUGAAUUAGACAUAAUCAAAGAUUAAGGACUUGACCACAAGACAACUGUGAUGCCUCAGGUCAAAGGACUACUUUGCAUUAUCCCAACCAUGAGUUCUCAUGUGACAUGGAAUAUAAGAACUCUUCGUUGAUCACGUUCAGUGAACUCAUUCUCUUAUUGAGCACCUACGUACUUGUCUUGAUGUCACACACACCAAUGACUCGAGACUAGUCACUCUCCCUGAGAGAAGACACAGUACGUACUGAUCUUAACGGACUGUCAAUGCCCAAUUGGUAAUCCUAUGAUCAGGAACAUUUAGGAUGUGUCUACGAAAGAAUGGUCUCAUUAAUCUAACUUCAUUAGAUUGCAUUCUCCCAAUCACAUAUUCCUUGGACUUUAUCGUUUAAGCAUAUAACAUUUAUAUGAGACGGCUCAAACAAUAAUCUUUGCCCUUUAUAUGUUAAACUAGAUUAGUUUAACAUUUGAAAUGUCCGUAAAGUAUCAUCAUAUGAUUGGUUUUAGGGCACAUUUCCAACAUCAACACCUGGCAGAAAUGAUUUAUUUCAUCUGAUUAUUUAAAUCCAAAAAUCAAGUUUUGAAAUUCUAUAAAUAGGAAGCCAAGGCAUUCAUUUUCAGGGAUGAAUUCACAUAACACCAAAACCUUGAAGCUUUGAAACUCUAAAGCUCCCAAACAAAUCCUGACGGAUCAAGAAAACUCUCUUUGUUCUUCGUCAAAUCCUCCUUCAAGAUCAAGCUCCAACGAACCUUGAAGAACUUCCUCCUUCAAGAUCAAGCCCCAACGACCCUUGAAGAACUUCCACAAUUCAAGAUCAAACCUCGACGGCCCCCCUUGAAGAAAACGUUUAUCGUUCAUCACCUGUUCAUCCUAAGAUCAAGCCUCGAAGGCCCUUGGAUCAACGGCACAAUCCACAAAUCUACACAUUAUGAAGAUCGAAUCAGAGGCUAAAUUUGCAGAAGAGAUUGUAACCUCUAAAUCAUUAAUACAAAUAUUAUUUUGUACACGUGUUCUUGUCUCAUUCAUCGCAGGAAAAUUCGUGUUUACAAAUUUGGCACGCCCAGUGGGACCAUCUCUACCUCUCAUCUCUAUCUUCAAAUCCGCAAAAAAAAAAAAAAAAACACAGGAAGGUUCAAGCGAUUCUCGCAACCAAUGCGAAAAACAAGAGCGUCAUCGUCGUAAGUGGUGUCAUUUCAGGAAUCCUAACUCGAAGCAAGGCAAGAGCUCUUUUUGCCGCUUCUUCCACCCCUACAUCAACUCUACCGAUGAAGCAAGAGCACCAGAAGCACGGGCCCAUGAUCACCCUGGCCUUACUAAGAGCAUCAAGGGAGGAAAGUUCGAAAAAGUACUCCGAUUCCAUGCUUUCCGAUGCCGACUCAAGCAGCAGCUCAGCCAUGCAAGUCAUGACCACUGGAGCGACUUCAAUCGAUGAGCAACUGGCUUAAAUGAAUGAAGCAAUCACAAGGCUAACAUGAACUGUGGAAGAAAAAAAUUGCAAAUCGCUGUGCUUAUCAAUCGACUAGAGGCACAGAAAGGCGAGAACCCCGACCCAAAGUUUGAUCCACUAAAGAAAGGAGCCAGCGAAGAAUAUGAGCCUCCAAUGGAGAAAGUUGAUGCGAAGAAAGAGCCAGACCAAGUAGCAGCACUCAUAAGAUCUCUCUCUAUCCAGCAGCUGCAGUUAAUGAUCGCCAGCACCAUCAAGGCGCAGUACAAAGGAAGCUCACAUGACUCUGUACUAUACUCAAAGCCCUACUCCAAGAAGAUUGAAGCUUUGAAGAUGCCGAAGGGUUAUCAGCCACCAAAAUUCAUGCAGUUCGAUGGAAAAAGAAACCCAAAGCAACAUGUCGCCCAUUUCAUUGAAACCUGCAACAAUGCUAAAACGGAGGGAGACUACCUCAUCAAGCAGUUUGUGCGCUCGCUGAAAGGUAACGCCUUUGACUGGUACACUGACCUCUAGCCCGAAUCUGUCAACAGUUAGGAUCAGCUAGAAAGAGAGUUCAUCAACCACUUCUACAAUACUCGCUGCACAGUAAGCAUGCUAGAACUGACCAGUAUGAAACAGUGAAAGGAUGAACCUGUCGUCGACUACAUCAAUAGAUGGCGUUCAUUAAGUCUGGAUUGCAAAGAUUGGCUUUCUGAAACCUUUGCCAUUGAGAUGUGUGUUCAAGGCAUGCAUUGGGGGUUACAUUACAUCCUUUAAGGCAUAAGACCAAGAACAUUUGAGGAGCUGGCAACUCGUUCCCACGACAUAGAGCUGAGUAUCGCCAAUCAAGGGAAGAAGGAGCCGAUCACCGACUUUAAGAAUGAUAAGAUGUUUACCCCGAAUGUUGACAAGACUGGGAAGAAGCCUGCCAAGAAAGCUUUUACUGUCAAUACUACCCCCAUCAAAACCUCAUUUACGCCUAUUAAGAUCUCCUCCAAGAACAAAGCAAAUGAGAUAAAGAGAGGUGAGCCUCCUCUCACCCAAGACAAAUACAAAAACACCUUGAGGGAACUGGAGCAGAAGGCGUACCCUUUUCUUGACUCAGAUAUGGCCGCAAUGUUAGACGACUUACUAGAAAAGAAGGUAAUAGAGCUACCCGAAUGCAAGCGUCCCGAGAAGAUGAAUCGCGUAAACGAUCCUAAUUACUGCAAAUACCAUCGUAUCGUGAGCCAUCAUGUUGGUAAGUGCUUCGUCCUUAAAGAACUCAUCCUGAAGUUAGCACAAUAAGGGCAAAUCGAGCUUGACCUUGAAGACACAGCCGCAACACGUACUACUACAAUUACGUUUGGAUCCUUCGAUCAUAUGCCUCUCCAAGUGACACAUGACCAUUCCCGUUAAUACUCAAGCUGCACGACACCUUCUGCACAACCAUCAUUGGGGGCAAGCAACCAAGAUGCAUUUACCAAUAAUGACGAAUGAUGGACCUUGGUGACCUACAAAAAGACAAGAAAGCCAAAACCACAAGCCACAAGGCCAAAGGCAGAACAAUGGAGAAGGCACCGCCACCGCAACAAUAGGAAACCCAAAGGAAACGUAAGGGCUGCUAAGCCAACAUAUGCUGAGGAACUUAUGGAGCAAGAGCCACGCAUUCCCGUCUCCUUGCACGAGUACUUCCCAAAGAACUUCUUCCAACAAUGCACUACCAUUGCCUGUCACAUGGUGUAUGUGGAGAUAGAAGAGCCCUCGAAAGGCAAUGCUAUCAUAGUAAAAGAGAGGACCCUCACACCCAAAGAAGGCUUACUGACACAUGUCAGCAUCACGGAAGCGUUACGAUUGCCCAAGGGGAUGUGAAAAGCACUAAUAGUGGUCUUGACAAGUCUCGACAACCAUGAGGUGUAAGACAACAAGAAUGAAGGCUUGAAGCUUCGGCCACACGAAUGUGCCACAUGUUGUGCCACCCAUGAUGUAAUCAACUUCACUGACAAAGACUUACUGCUAGGAUCAAGGCCUCACAACUGCCCUAUCUUCAUCUCUGGGUACAUAAGAGAGCACAAAGUCAACCAUAUGCUUAUGGAUGAUGGAUCGGCCAUAAACAUCAUGCCAAAGUCAACAAUGACCAUAAUCGGCAUCAAGGUGGAUGAACUAUCCCUAAGCUGUCUACUAAUCCAGGGUUUUAACCAAGGAGGACAAAGAGCGAUGGGCAUGAUCAGAGUGAAGAUGACUAUUGGUGAAUUCAAAUCAAGCACGAUAUUCCAUGUGAUUGAUGCACGAACUUCCUACAGCUUGCUCCUAGGAAGGCCUUGGAUCCACGGAAAUGGAGUAGUGCCAUCCACCCUCCACCAAUGCUUAAAAUUCUACCGAGAAAGAGUUAAGGUGAUCCAAGGUGAUACCAAGCCAUUCAUAGAAGCUGAAUCACACUUCGCAGACGCCAAGUUCUACAUGGAUGAAAACAUGGUGCCCGAAGCUCUUCCAGAAGACAUCAAAUCCACAGGCAAAGCAUCACUUAAACAGCAGGAAUGGCAAGCCAUGCCCAAGAAGCAAGAAGGGCAAGUCGUGCCAUCUUUAAGCAAAAACGAUUACGAGCCUACUAAACCUGCAAUAACCAAAGAGAGUAGGACGCCUUCAGAAGGAUCAAACACACCCAUUUUCCGAUACAUCCCGAUGUCAAGAAGAAAUAAUGGUCAAUCCAUGUUCAAAACCGGAGCAAGGAUAAUGUGAAGUUGCUCAAGAAGAAUGCAGUUUUGCCUCUGACACAGCCAGGUGAUGCUAAGGUUGCAAGAUUACCACAAGGCUUCAUAAAAGCUCUGCCAAAGGGGGUGGAACCAAGCUUUCUUCCAACCAAAAGGACCGAAGAAGGUUUUGAUCUAAAUGCUUACAAGCUCAUGUCGAAAGCUGGGUACGACUUCGCUUCCUCUUCGAAUCCUGGAAAGAAGGUUUCAAACACCGUCAACGACAAAGAACAUAACCUCACCAAGACUCAAAAGAAGUUAAAGGAGCAUGGUUAUGGAGUUGACAACAACAAAGCUGGGCUCGGCUUCACACCAAAUGCACCCGUGAAGAUUUCAAGCAAAAUGAAAAAUGCUAGCACUCAACACACAUCAGCAUGAGCGUUGAACAAAAUCAAGAGGAGCCUAAGUCUGCUCCUCGAACGUUAGUCUUCGAUAGGAUGAAUCGUUCAAGGCCUAGAAUUUUGGCAUUUAAUAGCAUUGGUGGUUAAGACCGAACCUCCAUCUUUAAGAGGUUUAACACGCCAACAUCCUAAAGCUCUAUUUUUUGAAAGGUUGUCAAAACCUAAGAAACAAAGCAACACGGCUAGCUCUCCUCUGCGCUGGUCAGCUUUGGAAAAACUUGAAGACAAUAAGAAGUGACACACCCCGCCCCGAAGGAGGGUGUGUUGGCCGUCACGUGCGAGUGACGUAACCAUUUGCACAGUGCGGAAGCUAAAAAGAUAAAUAGAAUUACGAAUAAAUAAAAGUCAAAACACUAGCAAUACUAGCUAAGAAAUGAUGAUAGUGCGAAACUCAGUGUAUAAAUACACAUUCAGAGUAAAAAGAAUGUCAAGUUGCAGUCGAGUAGGACAAUUACUAAGAUAUAACACCCGUAGGUAAAUCCUACUUUGGUGAAUUCUGUCAGGACACCGUUGGAUUCUUCAUGGCCACCAAACUCAGCUAAUUAGAACCUGGAGGGGUGAAAAACAAAGUUGAGUGGGUCAGUAAAACAAAUCUUUUCAAAGACAAAACAUUUCUCAAAAUGUGGUAACCCCUCUCCGUAAAACCUGUAACUUUCCCAGGAAUAUAAAAAUAUACUUACUUAUCUCAAAACCAGCUUAGAAAUAGUGAUAUGUAAAGUAUAUGCCAUGUCAAAUAUAUUUCAUCAUAUCAUAUAAGUAUAUUAGUGAAGUAAGUUCAUCAUAAAUAAUAACAUGUCAACCGAGUGAUCAGCCCGGCUGAAACUAUAGCUCAUAAUCAAUCUCAUCAAUCAAUCUAGCCGGAGUCGCCACAAGUGACCUGUACGACACUACACUGCACACGAGUCGGAACCACUGAAAUGGUAUGUACGACAGAACUGGGUGUAAUAUAGUUAUGCUCACGCUAUCUUCUCCUGAUAGCUAUGCGAUAAAUCGCUAGUCACCUACGAGUCGGAACCACCUACGAGUGGUCUGUACAACAAGAUUGGGCACCUAAAUUGGAUCUAAUGUGAGCAUAUGGUGCGGGGGUGACUAAAUAUAUUUACAGGCCUGAAUCACAUCUCUGCUAAAUCAUAAUCACCCUAGUGCAGGUUUAUAAGCUUUCAAUCACAUCAACUCAACAGUCACAUAAUUUUAAUUUAUGAACUUACCUGGCACCUACCAAUGCGUUCGCAAGACCAAUCAUGCAUGUAUGCAAUUACUAAUGCAUAAAUAAAAUAGAUAUAUAUUUUGCAUGGCAUUUCAUAACGCAUUUCAUAUCACAUUUCACUUAAAUUGAUUUUUUGGGAAAAAUCUCAUUUAUAUAGGUAUAUAUGGAAAACAAAACUGCUCACUCACCUGGAGUUCGCGCUACAGCUCCCUAGCACAACACAUCAAGACGUCAUGACGAUCGUCACCUAGAAUAAUCAUCAAGACAUGCCUCAGAAAUCAUAUCGAUAGAAUAUAACUUAUAUAAAACACGUCACUACGUAGUUCGAUCCGGAAGAUCUGCAACUCAGAUUUCCGAUCUGAAACUUCCAGAGAUCUACAAUAUACCUCUAGGACAACAUCCUAAAAUUUCAUUACCAUCCAACGGUCGGAUCUCCGUCAAUUACCAAAAUCAAGUGACAGUUAACAUUCUAUCUUAUGAACUUAAAGCUCCAAUUCCGAAAGAUUCGUAAAUCGGAUUCCCGAUCUGUAAGUUCCUAUAAUACUCAAAUAUUACAUAUUACAAUGUAUCAAAGUUUGGUGACGAUCCAACGAUCAGAUCGUCAAUUCAUAUUUUGGCCUAACCACACAUCGUAACGAAUUUAGGUUCGAAUGAUCAUCAUACGUCAUUCACUCACCAAAACUGAAAUUAGAGAAUGAAUUAUGGCCUAAAAAUAGCUUUGGUGGCUCACUGGCUAUGCACCGCCGUGGGUGGCGGUCGGCAGCCCUGGCUCGCCGGAAAAUCCAACUAUUUCAAAAAAUUACCAAAAUUUAUAGAAAUGAAGAUCUCAAUGAGUAGAGUAAACUUUAUACCUGUGGCCAAUGCCAAUUUGGCCCGGAAAGGCUCCAAUUUCAUCAAACCCGUGAAGAACCCUAGAAAUGGGUGUUUUCAAUUCAAUCUCCAAAACCACUCUGAUGCUCCAACUGCUUGAGCUUUGUUCCAGGUCCUAAGGGAAUGCUAAUAGUGUUAGUAAUUGAAAGAAAACGUUUCAAGAUUUGAAGAAUCUGUACACUAACCGCACACACCGUACGGUUUUAUCCAAUUUCAAAGCCAAAUUCUUUGAUUUUUUGGGUGUAAUAAGAAGAGGGAAGAUCAUAGAGGGUUUUCCAAGUGAUGGUUUGAAGUAACUCACCGGAAAAAUGAAGGAAUUUAGACGGAAACGGGUGGAAAACCCACCGGGUCGCGCGGGUCGUGGGUUGAAAACCCAUUUCUGUUCUUCUUCCUCCGUUUCUCGUCCUCUCUCCUUUCCUCCUUUCCCCUUCUCUGAUUGGCCAGAAACUUCUCUCUCUUCUCCCCAUUCGCCCAGCUUCUCUCCCGAAACUCUCCUAGAGCUAUCUUCUUCUUCCUUCUGGUUGGGCAGUUUUGCCCAAUCCUCUUUCCUCUUUUCUCCACCAGUCACGCACACACACACACAAAAACCUUCCUUCAUCUUUUUAUUUUUAUUUUCUUUCCCUUACAUCCGAGCCAUCCAUUUCAAAUUUUCUUUAAUCUAGGCCAUCCAAAUGGCACACCAAAUUUUUAUAAUAAAAUUUAUAAAAUGCUCAAACUUCAAACUUUAAAAUCUUUUUCGUUAUAACUCCAAAUCACGAACCGUCUGCGCCCACGCUUCCGUAGCGACGAGUACUACAAGGAUAUGUCAAGAAAAAAAAUCUUAGAUGGCACGACACAAUGAUUAACCUCAAAUAAUGCGCGUGCCUCAAAGGGCAUUUUUGUAAAAUCCUUUAUUAAAACUUUAAAAACUCUUAAAAUCAGGGACAGGCUGUCACAAUCUACCCACCUUAAAAAAAAUUUCAUCCUCGAAAUUUACACAAUCUUUACAAUCCAUCAAUAUCAAUAAAACAACCUGAAACACAUCUCUCUUAUUCUAUCUUUUGUCUCCCAAGUAGCUUCUUCUGCUGAAUGAUUCCUCCAUAAAACUUUCACUAAACGCACGAUCUUAAUCCUCAGAACCUUAUCCUUCCAAUCCAAGAUAGUCACUGGUUCCUCAUCAUAAAUCAAAUCCGGAUUAACUUCCAAAGAUUAAGGAGGAAUCAUAUGUGAAGGAUAUGAAACAUAAUGUCGAAGCAUGGAAACAUGGAACACAUUAUGCACUUUCGACAACUCUGAAGGCAACUUAAGUCUGUAAGCAACUUCACCGACUCUCUCGGUGAUCACAUAAGGUCCGAUGUACCUAGGACUUAACUUACCUUUCUUCCCGAACCGAACCCCAUAUUUCCAAGGUUAAAGCUUCAAAAAUACUCAAUCACCUACAUUAUACACCCGAUCAGUGGUAUGUAUAUCGGCAAGGCUCUUCUAUCAAUCCUGGGCCACUUUCAUAAUAGCUUUAAUCACUUAAACAUUUGGAGUAGUCUCCUCUACUAUCUCAGGGCCCACUAAUGUCUUUCACCAACUUUAGACCAACACAAAGGUAUACGAUAAGCUUUCCCUUAAAGUGUCUCAAAUGGUGCCAUCCUGGUGCUAGAAUGAUAGCUGUUAAUAUAGGCAAACUCCAUCAAAUCCAACUUAGCUUGUCAAUCAUCACCAAACUGACGUACCGAAGCUCUCAGCAUGUCCUCUAAAGUCUGAAUGGUUCUCUCUAACUGACCAUCUGUUUGAGGAUGAUAAGCUGUGCUGACUUAGUAAGCCGAUCAACAAUUACCCAAACGCCGUCACACCCGUUCCAUGUACAAGGAAACUUGUACACAAAAUCCAUAGUGAUAUUUUCCCAUUUCCAUUGUGGAACGGAAAAUGGCUGCAUCAAUCCAAAAAGGCUUCUUUCUUUCUGCUUUGACUUGCUGACGACUAAUACACCUAUUCACAAAUUCAACAAUUUCCCUUUUCAUAUCUGGCCAAUAAAAAAAAUGGUCGAAUGGUAUGAUACAUUUUAGUACCUCUAGGAUGCAUUGCAUAAGCUGAACAGUAUGCUUCGUCCAAAAUUUACUUUCUUUAAUUCCAUAUCAUUAAGUACAUACAUCCUGUAUUUUACCACCUAGCAUUUCUAGAGUUGUUUUUCACUGUUUUUAAGUGUUUUUAGUGUGUUUUGAACUAUUUUAGUGUGUCUUGAAAGAAAAAUAUGAAAUUUUGAAAAACAAAUAGACAACGUUUUGAAAACCCCAAAAAGAGUCGUUUUAGAGUCGUUUUUGUGUGUAGAAUUAGGGUACCUUCCAACACAAUGAUGAGGAUUUGGUUUUUAAGUGCAUGACUGUUAAAGAAAAUUACAAACAUGGGUGGAAGUUUGAUAUGCUCUUUGGUUUAUGCUUGGUUGUAGUUGACAUUUACGAAUUCACAUGUAAUCACAAAGAAAAAAAAUCAGUUUUUGUAACAUGUUUGAAGGAAGGAACUCAAAUUAACGCUACAACCCUGAGAGACUUGAGCCUAAACUUUGUUUUGGAGAGUUAUUAAUCUGUGAUUUCUUGUUUUCUAAAGUCGUUACAUGAUCUCAUUAUUAUUUGCUUGGUUGCUACUUAGAAUGUGUUUUAUCAUUUUAGUUCCAAAUACUAGAACUCAUGCUGGUUUCAUUCAAAGCUUAAAAUUGAGUGCAUAACAUAUAACAAGAUGAAGUUGUUUAGUAGUUACCACUAUAGCCAAAAAGCCUUAAUCCCAUGCAUAUGUUUUGUAGGUUUAACCCCUUUGAGCCGUAUUUAGCCUAUUUUCUUUGUUAGCCACAUUAUCCUUACCUAGCCUAGAAUAGGACUAUCGAUACCCUUGUUCUUAAAGUAUAGUGGAGCAUGACUUAGAGGGAAUUCAUUUUAUGUAGAAAACAAGUGUGGGGGAAGGUUAUUUCCAACAAAAGACAGAAAGAAAGAAAAAGAAAAAAACAAAAAGAAAAAAUGUGAAAAAGAGAAAAAAAAAAAAAGAAAGGAAAAGAAUUCAAAAUAAGUGAGAAUGAACUCACAAGUAUUGGUUAUUGAAGAAAGGAUCCAAAAGUUUGAAUUCGGCCGUAAGUGUUUUGUGAAUCUCCCCCUUUGUGUUUAAAGUUAGUUGCUGCAUUCAAAAGUGAAUUCUAAGUGUUGAUUUUAUUGCUUUGCUUACUAUUGCUUUAAGAACCUUUGUCUAUCCUUAACCUUUCUUUGUUAGCCAAUACCCUUAGCCCCGUUACAACCCUUAGACUUCUAUCUUGGUUGUUAUGUAUUUCAAUCUGUGGAGUUUGGGAUUGGUAUGAGCAUAUGGUAUCCCUGGUUCUCGUGUCUAAGUAGUGGCAUUCCGUUCAUGAGAUCAUAUCUAUACAUGAAUUAAUAAUUCCAGAAAAUGCCUUCUUUGAUUAUAACAUAUGUGAGUGCUAGUCUACAUGUUUACAUCAAUCUUCUUACAUAUACCUAGUAUAGGGAGUGUAGUCAGAAAAUUUGUGUGAAAAUAGAGAGUAUAUUCGGUGAGGAAUUGAGGGAAUUCUCUAAGGCAUGUUACUACAUUCAAAACAUUGUUUUAAAUUGAUUAAAUACGAGCUAAUGAGUGGCGACUAUGAUUAAGUAUGUGCUCAAGGGUAAGGAUAGCUAAAAUAUGUGUAAGUAGUGAUUUUUAACAUGUCAUGUUCCAUUGGAAAUCCCAGAGGCAAAUGUUGGAAGGUCUAGGUUAUGUUUUGUUUUGUUUUGUUUUGUUGGUUUUGUUUUGCUCGAGGACUAGCAAAAGCUAAGUGUGGGGGAAUUGGAUAGGAGCAUAUUUAUGCAACUGAGUUAGCUUGUUUUCUUGCAUUUUCAUAGUUAGUUUCUGUUUAUUAUAGUGAUUUAAGCUAUUUUCGUGUGUUCGUAGGUCCAAAUGACAAAGUUGGCAAGAAAGUGCAAUUUGGAGCAUUUUGAAGUAGUUUUUGGCAUCAAAUGGAUAGCUUAUGAGUGGAGCAAUUUGGAUGGACGUUUUUGAAGUUCAAAAGGCUAGGAAUAUGCUAAGGAGAUGAAGAAAAUAAAUCCAAGACAAAGAAGAUAAGGAAUCAGCUCAAAAGAAGGAGACAUUAUCCAAAUUGCCUUAUCUUAUCCAAAACCUUAUCCAACCUUAUUUUAUCCAAACUGACCUUAUCUUAUCUUAUCCUAUCUUAAUCUUAUCCUACCUUAUCUCCAGCUGCAAAAUGAGUCCUUAUCUUAUUCUAUAUCCUUCCCAUUUGAAUUUAGGAGUCCUAAUCCAUCUAAACACAUUAAUUCUUUUCCUCGCUGGAAUAUGAUGAGAAGUGUCCUCUUUCCUUGCUAAUUUGGAGUCCUAAUCCUCUUCUUUCACACCUUUGCCGUGCCUUCCCUCUCCCUAUAAAUACAAGUGUUACGGCACAAUUAAGAACACCACCCACCUUCCAUCACAAAUUCAUCCCCUUCAUCAAUCAUACACAUUCAUCCCUCUGGUGCGGCAACUUUGCAAGGAGAAAGAAGAAGGAGCCCCUGGAGCCGUGCUUGCCAUUCAAGACGUUGGAUUAUUGGAGCGUUUCUAGGUGUAUUCUAUCCGUUGCUUUAAUGUUUAAAUUCAAUUGUCUUUGUUUAUUUGCAAACAUGAAGAACCUUCUAGCUAGCCAUUCACCCAUUAAAUCACCAAUUUCGUCUAAAGUUAUUUAGAGUCUUAAAUCUGUUUAGUUUUACUUUAAAUUCAUCAAAAACCCAAUCCCCUUUACUUUGCUAUGUCAAGUUAGUUAGAAUCUGUCCAAUUUGUGUUUUUAAGUGUUUUGAGUCAAGUUAAAAUCAAUUUUCGUCCAAUUCACCCUCUAGUGUCUAGUUUGAGUCUAUUUGAUUGUUUUAUGCUGUUUUGAGUCUUUUUAGUUUGUUUUGAGUUCAUAAGAGUCUAGGUUAGUGUUUUCAAGCCUAGUUAAGUGUUUUUGAGUUAAAUUUGAGUAGAUUAGCAUCCCUCAUAAUCCCCGGCCUAGAACGAUCCCUACUUACAUCUUUACUACAAUUAUCAAUAAAAGGGUUUAAUGGAGGUCAUCAGUAUGCCAAAAUCGUGCAGACCCUCUAACAAUGGCCCAUCAAGCUUGUAGGAUCCCGAACGCUCUUUCCACAUUCUUCCUGUAAGACUCUUGCCUCUGAGAAAAUAAUUUCUUCUUUGCAUUAUCAGGAUGAGAAAAACUUUUGACAAAGGUAUACCAACUAGGAUAAAUACCAUCAGUUAGGUAGUAACAUAGCUCAUACCUAUUACCAUUUACCUUGUACCGAAAUUCUAGUGCCCAUCCAUUGAUAACAUCAUCGAAUAGAGGUGAACACCAAAGAACGUUGAUAUCGUUGUUUGAUCCAGGAGAUCUGAAGAAUGCCCAUGUGUCGUAAGACGUCACAGCCUCAAACAUGAUGUUUGGCUUGUUAUGACCAAUGACUAAAAUAUCAAUAAUAUCGGCAAAAUAUCACCGAUAUUAUCGUUUUUCGGAGAGACCGAUAUUUUCCCACGUAUCCCCCUAAUUAUCGUUUAAAUAUCGCGAUAUUAUCGCUAAUAUCGAUAAUAUCAUGAUAUAUUUGAUAUUAUCGAAACAAUCGUUGUGGCUCCGUCGUCGGAAAGGCAGCCGAGGCUGCGUCGUCGCAGUUGCCCAGAUCUCCCUCUGCAAUCCAGGCUCAGACCUAAGAUCUGCGCAUCCGUCGUCGGAAAUGAAAAAUCUAUUUUCUCCGGAUCCCAAAACCCGCUCGGGUUCGAUGGAUCCUCCGCUUCGUACGACCUAAACAAUGCCUCCCAUUGCCUGAUGAUGCUCGCCAGGAGGUGAGAAAGGGAGGAUGAACGGUCCACAGGUGGUGAUGGUGCUCGCCGGAGUGUGUGCCAUUGUGGUGGAGGUCACGGUGGGGUGUUGGUGUGGUGUGUUUGUGCUCCGGGAAGGAGAGUUGCAGAGAGAUAGUUAGUUGAAUUGAAGAGGAAAAGCAAAGAACACCAUAUAAUAAAUGAAACCCAGAAGAUAAAAUGUUCGAUUUCUUACCUAAGAUUUCAAAGAAGAAGAGAGAGAGGGGCAAAAAAAAUGCCUAAAACCCUAGAGAGAGAGUGUGUUUAGGAAAUUUCGCUAAGGAGUGAGGAGAUUGCUUUGCUAGAGGUUUCUAGAAAAGAAAGAGAGAGAGAGAGAGAGAGAGAGAGGGAGAAAGAUUUCUGGGAUUUUGUAUUUCAAGGAACUUCUCUCAAGGCAAGAUUUUUAAUGGGUUGAUAGGAAAUAAGAGAGAGAGAGACUUAUGGGAUACGAAAAAGAAAAUGUCAGAUAUAGGAUUGGGAGUCUCAAUUUGGGACCUUGGGUUAUGUAAGGGAGGUGAGGUGGUGGGGUCACCAUGUGGUUUAAAGAAAAUGUUAAACACUAAUUUCAUUCAAAAUAUCUUAUAUUUAUUAUUUUAUUUUUUUAAAUUAAAUUGUUUUAUUUGGGAAAUCCAUCUUUGAGACCUUGAAAGUCUCUUUGAAGAUCAGAUCAUGCUAUAUACUUGAAACUCUAACGUCACAUAUACUACUUUUUUUGUAAAAAAAAUAACAUAUUUUUCAUGUCUUUCUUAUAUUGUAAUAAUUCAUUAUAUAUAAAUGAGUAUGGUGUGUUUAAACUUUUUUCAUUAAUUACUACAUAUUUUCUACACUCACAAUAUUUGUUAGCUCGCUAUAUAAUCAACUUAAACCAGUUAAAUCCAUCAUGCAAUGCAUUUCCUUUCAAUUUUUUGUGAUAAACUAAUAGAUAAUUGACUAAAUAAACAUCCUGCAAAGUUUCAAUAAAAAUUUCCAAGUUUUUCUUACAAUUUCUGUGGGUUUUAUUCAAUUUUUAUCGAUAUCGAUAAUAUCCCGAUAUUUCCAUCGAUAUUUCUGUCUUUUUGGACUACCGAUAUUUCCGAUAUCAUCGAUAUUUAUACCUUGGUUAUGACGGCCCUUGAAUUGGCCAACCCAAGCAGUAGGACAAUUCUUCCACUCCCAAUGCAUACAAUCGAGACUUCCUAUCGUACUAGGAAAGCCUCUUUUGUCUGCCUUAUGUAGAAGCCUCUUCAAGUCUUCACGAUUUGGCUUGCGAAGGUAUGUGGCUCCAUAUACGGCUUGAAUUGCCUGACAAAAACGCUUCAGGUUCUCAAUAGCAGUACUUUCAGCAAGUCGGCAAUACUUGUCAACUAAGUCUGCAGAGUAAUCAUUAGAUAGCAUCUGAAAAUGCAGAAGUGAGCUUCUGAUGAGGUGAUAGACUUUGUCGGCCGACGACAUCUAUCUUCUUUGUAAAGUAGUGGUCAUCAUUGACAACUGCAUUCAAUAUGCUUUGAAAAAGCUUUUUCCUCAUCCGAAACCUCCUCUGAAAAUCAUGAGCAGGAAAUCUCGGAAGCUCGAUGAAAUAAUCUUUCAUCAUUAGGUCAUGACACUCUUCUCUAUCACGCUACACAAAUGAACGUCUCGUGACAGAACCACGAUGGCUAGAUUCGGCAUGGUGCUCAUAUUGCAUAAGCGAGUUUACAAGUUCAGCUUUGGCGUUGAUCAUUUCAGCAUCCUCAAUGUCAAGCCUUGCUUGGUAUUGUGCCAUUUACAUUGCCCUGCUACGCCUUCUUCUAUCACCUAUUGAUGAGAUAUUGAGGAUUUUUAGGAAACAAAAACACUUUGAAAGUUGAAAGAUUGGUGAAUAUAGAGGAUGAUUGAAGGUUGAAAGAUUGUGUGAUCAACUAAUAUUGGACAUGUGUUUAUAUAGAGGAUGAAAGUUGAACAGUUGGUGAAAGUUAAAAGUUUGGUGAAACUUAAACGGUUGGUGAAAGUUGAACGAUUGGUGAAAGUUGAAAGUUACUGAGUUUCAUCUGUCGAUUUAGUGAUUUUUCAAUAUUUAUCGGAACUUAAAUAUUUUUAGAUUAAAAUGUUCAUAAAAUUAAAUUACGAUAGUCUACAUAAUUUUUUAUUUUUUUUUAAAGUUAAUUGAAGAAAAAAAUUAGCCUAAGUUCAUUCUUUAAUAUCCCGGCUAAAAUUUUAGGCCAGAAGGGUUGGAGCAGAAAAGCUAUUUCUGGGAUAAAACCUAAAUUUUCUGAGCUAAAUAUUUUUAUGUUUUAGGCUAGGGUUGGAGAUGGUCUUAAGAUGGUUCAAUUGAAGGAAUGAUGUUGGAUUUUAUUUUUCUUUUUAUUUAUAUAAUUUGGCUUGUUGGCAAUUAGUCAAAAUAACUUUUAGAUUUACUUUGUGUGGAGCCAAAAAUUGUGGAGAUGACACGUGGAUUUUUUGGACAAGAAGGACUAGAUUACUCUUGAGGCACACCGAAAUUCCUACGUGCAUGCAACAAACAAUAAUGGCUCAAUCAAGGAAGAGUCAAAGGUGAUCAAUAAGAAAUUUAUUUCAUAUUCCUCUCAUCACUCCUCAUCAAUCCCUUAUUGAUUUUAUUCAAAAGGUAACUCCCAAAACUUCCUAUUUAAAUUAGGAAUAAUUACCAUGUUAAUUGCAAAACAUUAUUUCACAAAAUAUCUUACAAUUAUUCACCUAUUUUCACCAAAUAUGACCGACCACUUUCCACCCAAAGGGUCAACCACUCUCCUAUAAAUACCCCUCUUAUCCCACCAAAAUGCUAGGCCAUUUGCUACCCACAAACUCCUAAAUACAUUCUUUUCAGAAUUCUAACUUUGGCAUCGGAGACUCUUCAGCCAAAGGCCCCCUCCAACUCAUCAUGGGUGCGUGAGGCUUUUGGCCUUUAUCAAAAGUGUUUUAUUUUGCAGGUGCAUUUUCGUCAAGGCAAGAGAUGACAGAAAUUUGCAUCCACAAAUUGGUACUUUCAUUGAGAGUUUGAUUCACCUAAAAGAAGACUCCCACAUUCAAAGUUUCUCAUUUCUCGUUCAUUCGUAAAUUUUUCAUACGUUCUUAUUCCUAGAAUUUUUUAAUUCUUUGAAUAGAUGUUGGAGAAAAACACAAUUGCGAGAAAUUCGGAAAUCACGACAUACUAAACUUCCUAUGUUCAAAGAUCCAAAUCAAAUGAUGGAGAUAGUGAUAUAGCCCUGCCACGACGAUCCAUGAGGCUCAAGCGGCAGCAAAAGAAGUAACUUUGCCACCACAGAGUACCAUUACCAUAAUAGCCUUGGCAGUGAAGAGUGGGACAGCUCUAUGGCAGCAAGGCCAUGAAGCAACAACAACUGCCACUUUGUAGCAACGAGCCCAGGCCCAUCCCACAAAGCAGCCAACCUGCGAGGCAGCUUAGAUCUAGCAAGCCCACUACGCUACCAUAGCAGCUAAGGCCCAAAGCACGGCCUAAGCAGCUGCAGCAAAUGAAGCAACCCAACACGUACGUACCCAAGGCUAGGAGAGCUCAGUGUGAGCCCAAUGCACCUGUGGCCCAAGGCCAAACAGGCCAGACUGCACCGCGCCCACGCACCCCGCACAUAGCUCGGCCCACUUUCGCGGCCCAACUCGUUCUCGCGGUCCACCUAGUGAUCCAGACUGAUCCAAAACCAAUCAAUUUUCUCGACUUCAUAUUUUUGGAUAGAUAAUUGAACCAAGGAUGUUUUCACCAAGAUUGUCUACAGAUUUGACAUAUCUCGACUCAAAUUUUGCUCCCGGAGUCCACUACACUUCUAUCAUAUAUGGAGAAACUUACCAUCCAAGUUUUCCCAUCUUGUAUGGUAAACAACACUUGUCUUAAUACGUCAUAAAAUUAACGAACGCCCUUGCGCAACAGACGACCUAGGUGAAUCAUCUUUUGCAGCGUACGAAGAUGCAAUGUGCCCCAAGGUGUCCCGAAGCAGGAUAAGAGUAGAUGACGACCCUCUCCAGCAGCGUCCUGGCAAACAGCCUCUCGACCAGCAACGAACCGAGCAUUCUGGGGGUGUACACUCUUGCCUGGGCCCUCGGGAUAGGGUAUACUCUCAUCUUAGAGCGCAGAGGAGCGUACACUUCAAGUUAAGCCCACGAACGAGCAUAUAUUCAUGGUUAGGACCACACUCCGAUAAUCAACAUGGACAACCUUCCAGGUGAAGUGUUCAUUCAUGGCUAGGCUCGCAAUUAGCAUCAUCCACCUUAUAUUAGAGUAGGCAGCACAGCGGACAGAAAGAAGUAGUCAUUCAAUUCAGCUUAAGUUCAACCAACAACCUGCGAGUAACCCGUUUGCCUGUCAGAAACUUACCACAUGCACCGCUGCAACGACAUAGAAGAGCCGAGCAUAGGGAAAGUAACCUAGACCAACAGUUCACGACCAGGGGCAGUCAGAAGCUUUGUUGCACCAGCAAAGACAAAUUCAAGAAGAAGUUGAGAAACUCAUGAUCAAACGAUAGCGUGAUUUUGCAAUACAUCGAAGUUACUGAUGAAAUGCCCUAACGAGACAUGACCAAUAUAAGUAGGUCACUUUUCUUUGACAAGAUCAAGUCGACAGAAACAUCCCACAUACACUGGUGGAUACAAAGAUUACUUAUGUUCUAACAAACGUAGGAACUUAGCCUAAUGGCGCACUGGGGGUAGACGGGUACCAGAAGAGCACAUCAGCCCAACCAUCAGGAACUGGGGGCAGGUCUUGUUCUUAACACUCCAGAUGAUUUAAUACUGGAGCAGUACAUCACUAGUAGCCUAGAACCGCGAACCUAGUGGUCCAAUUCCUCCUACUGCGCAUAACUUGGCCCAAGCUGGCCCCAGCUCCGCACUCACAGCCGUGCCUACCUGUUCCACAAAACCCGACAACCCUAAAUUUGUCACCAUGACUCCUAACCGUGUCGAUCUUGCACCACGACUCCCAACUGUGUUGAUCUUGCACCACGACUCCCAGCCAUGCUGAUCUUGCGGUUUUUAACCGCGCCAACCAUACCCACGACACUUCAAACCGAUAAAGUAGAAUAUGAGGCUUUACUAGCAACCUCUACUAGCAAAAGACUUAGCGAUAAAAAUUUUACAAUCCAUUUAGAUUCUCAGCUGACCACCAACCAAGCUGCAAAAGAACACACGAUGAAACAUUUAAAGAUGGCAUAAUACUAGGAGAAGGUUUAGAAGCAUUUCACUGCGCUUCCCACUUACACCCUUACGUGGGUUCCACAAGCCCACUUUCCUCAGCUGUGCUUAAGACAACAACUUCCAUGCUCUCCAGUGUGAUAGGGUAAACCAAUCCCUUUUACACCCAUCUGGGUAAGCUCUCCAGUGCAAGAGGGUAAACUAAUUACUUACUAGUGCGAAAGGGUUAUCUAAUUCCUCGACACCCGUCUAGGUAAGCUCUCCAAUGCGAGAAGGUAAACUAAUUGCUUUCCAAUGCGAGAGGGUAAACUAAUUCCCUGACACUUUUAUGGGUAAGCUCUCCAAUGCGAGAGGGUAAACUAAUUUCCUGACACCCAUCUAGGUUUGCUCUACAACGGAAGAGGGCAAACUGCCCAUUAAUUUUCACACAACUACUCAUUUUGAUGUGAUUGGUUAACGAUUUUCAUAUUCCAUAGAUCUUUAUCAUGUUGUGAUGCAGGGAAAACUAGUUAAGCAACAAAUGGUUAGAGGGCAGCAACCGACUACGAACUCAAUGGUUCGACACCCAAGAAGCCAAAACUCAUGGUCAUAGUAACUCUAUGGGAUUGUUAUCUUUUUUCGAAGUAGCGUGCCUAACCGACGAUUCUAUGGUUAAAAGUUUUGCAAGAUGCUUCAAGCAAGCAAAGUUUCAGGAAAAACAAAGAUGGAGUAAAGCGAAGAAAGCAGUUUAUUAAAUUUCUAGUAAACUGAUAAACUUAUAUGAAGGUCGCCAAAAUCUGACACAAGUUAAACAGAGUAGACUACUCAUUUAGCAGUUUGGAUGACCUUGGGCUCUCAAGUAGCCAUCCUUCCCUCAACAACUACUUCCCACUCAGCAGUUUGCUCAUCCGAAACUUCAUCUUUAGCAGCUCCAUCCUCAUUUGCUCUAUCUACGACAUCUGAGAAAUCAAACUCAAGCAGUUUCUUUCUUCUUGGCAAACAACACAUACAUGGCAGCAUCAGAAUGAGCAUGCUUUGAGGCUUAUUUAGCAGUCGAAUGAUUUCUUCUCAACUGAAGGUCCAGUAAGCAAGCUAACAACUAGCACUGCGCCUUAGUGCCUCAAGUUGUGACCUCAGUCACACAGCUGCCUUUGGCUCCAGCCAAGCCGAGCAAGCUUUUGGUUUCAGCCAAGUCUUGGCCCUUGCCACACCACCUUCUCAACCCAUACCAAGCCGACUCUUAGCCCCUGCUAGCUGAUGUGCCGCACCACCUCAAUGGCUGCCCCGUGGCAGCACCACUUAAGAAGAAGACAAAGAAAAUUAAGGGCCUGUUUGGUACUCUGCUUGAAUCCAACUUUUUAAACUCAAAAACAAUUUUCAAGUUUUAGGCUUUAAAAACUUGUUUGGUAGGACUAUUUUCAAAAACUGAACUCAAGACUAACUAAAAAAUAUAGUUUAUUCUCUAAAAACAUAAAAAGUGAGUCUUUAGAGUUUUUAAACUUAAACUCACUCAUUUCUUUUCUCUCCCUCCUCCCCUCCCACUCCAAAUCUCUCUCUCUCUCUCUCUCUCUCUCUCUCUCUCUAUCUCUCUCUCUCUCUCUCUCUCUUUCUUUCUCUCUUCUUCUUCUUCUUUCUCUUUCCUUUUUUUUUAUACCUUUUUCGUCUCUCCUCCAAUCCACUAUUUUCAUUCUCUUGGUUCUUUCUCUUACUCUUCUUCCUCUCUAUCUCGUUCAAUCCUCUCCCUUCUUUCUCUUUCCUUCAAUCAUCUUUUACUUUCUUUCCUCAUCUCUCCUUUUUCUCCCUCUGUUGCGACCCUCUCUUUUUAGAUUUUUUUUGUCUAGUUUAAGUCGUAAGAUUUAAAAUUUUUAAAUCGCAAACCAAUCACCUUUUGAAGUCUUAAAGAAAAUUGUUUUCAAGAAAUGUUCUUAAGAAAUGUUUUGAGAAACGAUAAAAAAAUUUCAAAUAGGAUACCAAACAGGCCCUAAGUUUUUCUUACCUUGGUGUAGCGCAGAGAAGACAAGGAAAUCAACGGAAGAAGGUUCUUUGCACAGGUAAGCGAAGAAGAAUGCUAGUGGAGGGGGAACAAAUAUCCUAGCCUUCUCUCUUUCUUGUAGGGAUAAAUAAUUGCCUUCCAAAGUUGAUUUAAUCCCCUACUUAAGGUAGGCUUAUAUAAGCUUUGGUGGCACUUUAUUUCCCUUUCCUAGAAGAAUCUAAUUCCAAGUUCAAGUGGGAAUCUGCAUCAAAGUUGAAGAUCUCUACACCUACUACCCUUUCCUGCGAGCAAGACAGCUGGUAUGGGGGCAUUUGUGAAGAAAAAAAUAAUCCCAAAAAUCGUGGAGAUGACACAUGAAUUUUUGGACAAGAAGGACGAGAUUAUCCUCAGGGCACAUCAGAAUUCCCACACGCAUGCAACGAACAGUAAUGACUCAAUCAAGAAAGAGUCAAAGGUGAUCAAUAUGGAAUUUGUUUCACAUUCCUCUCAUCGCUCCUCAUCAAUCCCUUAUUGAUUUUAUUCAAAAUAUAACUUCCAAAACUUUCUAUUUAAAUUAGAAAUAAUUGUCAUGUUAAUUACAAUAUAUUAUUUCACAUAAUAUUUUACAAUUAUUUCCCUAUUCUCACCAAAUAUGACCGAACACUCUCCACCCAAGGGGCCGGCCACUCGUGAGUAAGGAAGAAAAUAUCGGUAAUAUCGGAAAUAUCGGUAGUCUGAAAACACGGAAAUAUCGAUGGAAAUAUCGGGAUAAUAUCGAUAUCGAUAAAAAUUACAUGGAAACCACGGAAAUUGUAAGAAAAACUUGGAAAUUUUUAUUGAAACUUUGCAGGAUAUUUAUUUAGUCAAUUAUCUAUUAGUUUAUCACAAAAAUUUGAAAGGAAAUGCAUUGCAUGAUGAAUUUAACAUUAUCAAGUUGAUUAUAUAGCAAGGUGACAAACAUUGUGAGUGUAGAAAAUAUGUAGUAAUUAAUGAAAGAAGUCUAAACACACCAUAAUAUAGCGAGCUAGAGACAGGUUUUGAAUUAUUUGGAUCAUUGGAUGCUUUUUUUUUCUCACACGCCACCACACACACAAAGAGUCAGAGAGUGAGUCACACUCACACCCCACCACACACGCACACAGAGAUCGAGAUUCGAGACCCCCCACACCACACACGCACACAGAGACUAAGCUCAGUCUCUCGAUCCUUCCUUCUCUCUCUUCUGAGUUAUGAGUCUUCUCCCUUCCUUCUCUCUUCUGAGUCUUCUCCCUUCCCUUCUCCCUGCUCCAGUUCUCCCACACACACACACAGACAUCAUCGACAUUUCACAAAAAUUUCGUCUUCUAAAACGCACAAAAACAGAUCCCCCACUCCCCACCCUUCUGGUAUCCAAUCAACCCUCCAGGUACAUAAACGUCUUCAAAUAAUCAAUGCUCUAAUCAGAUUUCGAUAAUUGAUAUCUGUAAUUUAUGUGGCUCGGUUUCAAUCUGCUUCUUUGUUGAUUGAAUUUUGGGAUGCAAUGAAUUUUUGCUUAUUUUGUAGGGUUUGGGAAAUUGGUACAUUGAAAUCAUAUAUUGUUUUCAGGGAAUUCUUCGCGACACGAAUGGAAGGAUGCCUGUGCACCCCCUCCCCACCCUCUAUAUCCACCCCCACCCUCCUUCUCCUCCCUCCGCAUUACCCACCCCCUCCCCACCCUCUAUAUCCACCCCCACCCUCCUCCUCCUCCCUCCGCAUUACCCACCCCCUUCUCUCCACACACCCCCACAACUCAUACAAUUUGGGCUUUGGGUUUUCCGAUUACCCACCAAAUUUCCCUACUUUGGAUAUGUAAUUCUUGUUAGAUCUUGAAGUUUUUGUGUAAAUUAAGGUAAUUUUUGAAUCAUUAUGCACUGUAAUUCCAUAAUUUGAUCUAUUGGAAUUUGGGUUUGCUUCAACUUCGUGUUUGUUUCUGGGGAUUUGGGGGAAUUUCGGCGGUGGUGAUUGUGAUUGGCGGUCCGGAGGAGUCCUCGCGCUCGGCGGAUUCCGGCGGCUCCACUCCCUUUCCACCGUUCAGUAAGCCCUCCUCCGCCUCUUCCAGCUUUGCUCCUUCUUCUUCCUCGUCGGGAGCAUCCUCCUCGCCAAAAUAUCGCGAUAUUAUCGAUAAUAUCACGAUAUUUGGAUGAUAAUAUCCAUAUGUAAAAAUAUUGUUAUCUCAAAAAAAUGAUAUUAUCGGCGAAAUAUCACCGAUAAUAUCGAUAUUUCAAUCCUUGCUCGUGAGCGGGUGCAGUAUGGCUAGAUAACAAAUCAACGGCGCGAAAUGGGAGACAAAAAUUAGUAAAAACAAAAAAGGAAUUUUCAACUCUUUUUCAAAAUUCCCCCGUCUUAAAAAAUGAAAACCCUCCCGCUUCCGCUCUUGGACUCAGAGACGCGGAAGGUCUUCUUUCAGCUCCAGUCCACCAUUUCCAAAUGGCGGUUCUGAGAAAUCGAGGCGGAGGAAACUCCGGAGAGAACGGCGGAGCAACCGUAGAGACUGAAAGCGCAGGUGCUUCAGGGUACGAGCAGUUCAGGGACCAAAGGAUCAGAGAGAACAAGGAGAGAUUGCAAAAGCUGGGCAUUUUGGACCUUGCCCUGAAGCUCAAGACCGAAGCUGCCGCCCCAAAACGUCCCCACCGGCCUAAAACCCACAGCCCACUUCCUGGUUCCGGAUCCCCCAGGCGCUCUUCUAGGUAACCUAUCUUUCCUCCUGUUUGGAUUCCGAGAAAAUGGAAAAUGUGGGAAUGUUUGCAUCUUUGACGGGUUUUGAUGUUUUUAAAAAAAAAGGCGUUUUUGUUUUUUUGGGGUUUUGUUAGGUUGAAGAGCGUGGCUCCAGUAGAUUAUGUGCAAAAGAAGAGGCCUAUGAAGAAAGACGAGAACCCAAAGAGCCCAAAGAGGAGUGUUGAAAUUUUUAUAAAGGAAGGUUCAAGGCCAGAGAUCUAUACAGAGGAGCAUGAGAAGCUGUUAGGGGAUUGCGUUGAAAGCUGGGAGUUGGGUGUUGAUGGCUAUGGGGAAGAUGGGAGGCGCAUUUAUGAUCCGGUUAAGGGAGAAUUUUGCCACCAAUGCAGGUAGGUUAUCAUGCAUUUGAUGGGUUUCUAAAUUAUGUCGAAGUAUACAAUUUUUACGUAUAGGCAUAGUUAUGACCUUUGCAAAUUUCUUCGAAACCCUGAAAAGGUCUCUUACUAUACUGAUUAGUUGAGCUAACUUAAUUGACUAGCUGGUAAUGUUGUUCUUGACAACGAGAUCGAAUUUUAACAUGCCAAGUUUAGUCAAGUCAUGUUGCAUGGACCAGCAAUGUUCUAUCAAUUGGCCUGUUUGGCAUUUUGAAUCAUUGUCGUUAAAGGAUUGCCUGAGUGCCAGCGGAUUUCAUUCUGAUUCUAACGAGAAUCUGAAACUGAUGUAUAUCACUGUCUUAGCUGUUUCGUUGUUUUUUAUUUGUGAAUAUGCUAAGCUUUACAUUUUUUCUGUCCAUUUACUCCAGGACAACUUUAGAAGUUGGAACCCUUUCAAGUAUGUUGUCUGUUUCGGCUUUAGGCUUUCAUUUCAACAGAUUGCUUAUACGGAUAAUUGACAAUGUAGCACUUAAAAAAGUCUUCUCAUCGUCACACAAAGUAUGCUUCCAAUUGAAAAGUUUCAGUCAAAUGCUCUUUUAUUAUAUUCUUCUUGAGUUUUGUAUGUUUCUUGCACCGUUCUUAUUCAUUCAUGUACUAUCAUUAUAUACUUGUAGGUAGUAUUUUUUGUUUUUUUUUUUUCUGAAUCUAAAUUGGAAAAAAUAAUUUAGGGACCGGUGAUGAUCAAGGAAGCUUAUACAUAUGAUUAAUAACCCUAUGGAAGAGGUUACGAGCUUACUGUUGUCAAGUGUAUAGCAGAAGUUCUUAAAUCAACUGCUAUACCGGGUUCACUAUGUACUCGUACAGAACAUUCAUACAACCAUGUAAACUAUGUUUCUUAGUUGUCCUUUCACUUGGCAAACUAUGUUUCAAGAUGACAUAAUUCCUUGCAGGCAUAAAACUCUUGGUCAUCAUACACAGUGCUGGAAAUGUGACUGGGUCCAAGGGCAGUUUUGUGGAGAUUGCUUAUACAUGAGGUAAAUUUUUUCACAAGUUACCUGUUAAAGGUAACACCUUUUUUAUGCUCCAAUUUGUAUCGAAAACAUGCUAUGAAUGAAAAGAUGCUACAUGCACCAUGUACCUUGAGGUCAACAAGACCACAUCCAAAUUAAGCACGUCAAUAAUUUUGAUGUUGCCUGAAGCAAAUUUUUCAUCUUUUUUAAUCAAUGCUAUGGUCUUAUGCAUUGAAUUUUACCAUCUUCCAUAGAUAUGGAGAGAAUGUUAUGGAAGCCAGCGAAAAUCCUGAUUGGACAUGUCCUGUUUGUCGGGGCAUCUGUAACUGCAAUUGCUGCCGUCAAGUGAAGGGGUGGGAACCCACUGGUAAUGUGUAUAGAAAGGUAAACGUUCUCAACCUUAAUGAGCUACUCCCGUGAAGAGAAAAGCUUGCAAUACAGUAGAACACAGGCACAAACAACAACAACAACAACAACAGAGCUUUUUUCCACUAAGUGGGGUCGGCACAGUAGAAUGCAGGCACAAACACACAAAAUCACGCACCCACAUACACUUAAGGCAUAUAUAUACAUAUAUUUGUUCAUAACAUAGUUUGGGCACCGUGAUUUUGGUACAUAAUGGAAACAAAAGACCAAGGCAACAAAUUAACAUCAACUAAUGGCAAAAUUUUGUUUACUUAUCAGGUCGUAAAAUUGGGUUACAAAUCUGUGGCACAUUAUCUCAUUCAAAGCCGCCAUCCCUCAACAAACACAGAAACCACAGGUGAAGAGGUUCUUGCAGAGGGAUCAACUCCUUCAGCAGAGAGCUUUUCACAUGAUGAAUCUUCAGGAAUUGGCAGUGGCUCUGAUACUAGCAAGCAUGUUGGUGACAACGAUGUGGGUAAUGCAGAUGCUGUUGCUGCUGAUGUUGCUGUUAACAGUGAGGCAAAGAAAAAGCUGAGAAGGAGUACAAGGCUGAGUGGGAAUUAAACUUUUGUGGAUUAUGGCCUGCUCAUACUGCAGACUAGUCCCUGAUCAAGUUGUGAAAGGCUGGGAGACACCAAACGCUUAUUUUUGCGCACAUAAAAUUCCUCUUUUGUGGCGACUAAUCUAGUGCAGCUAUAAUUUUAUUUUAUUUAUUUUAUUUUUUUAUUUUUUGUGUGUGUGUGUGUAGUUUCUGCUCACAAGGUCAAAAGUACAUGUAUCGCUGGUCUUGAUUUUGUUAGCAUAUACGAAUUUACACCACCCUGCGGUGAAGCAGUGUGAUUCGUUGCAAGGAAUAACUUUCACUGUCCUUGUCUUUCCCUCUGCAUUUUGCAGGGUGACCCUAAAAUAUAUGCCUUGAGUAAAAUGCAGAGGGGACGAACAGAAAACUGAUUGGGAGGAAUUUACACCACCCUGCGGUGAAGCAGUGUGAUUCGUCGCAAGGAAUAACUUUCUGUUUUGAGUUGUCUUGGUAAGAUGCUAGUUUUCUGUUUUAGAGUCUAGAGAAGGCUAAGGGGACGAACUGCACGAGCAACGUGAUCCAAUAUAAGAUGCUCCACUUGUUGCAUUUUGAUGUUAGUUUCAUUACAUGAAAGAGGACUGAUUGGGAGGAAUGCAGUGAUAAAGACUUGGAUGAAGUUACUUCACAACUAGCUUCUGAAUUCUCAAAUGCGUUGUCCCCGCAAUCUUCUUCCUUGUCUGUAAACUUUUUGAAUCCACUCCCCUCAACACUUGGAAGGUUUUCACCUACAGUUUCACAUCUAAAAUAAAACAUAGCAGAGCAAUGAGUUACAUGAAAUCCAGUAGAGACAUGUACAUCGCGACAUCUGACCACAUACCUGAAUUAUCGCUGGAAGAACUUGGUAGGAGGGGAUGCUUAGAACUCACGGGAGGGUACUUUCUUGGUCUACCACGAGGUCUUUUAGAAGUGCUAGCAUAGGCGGGAUUUUGAUUUGAUCCAAUGUUGGUAGGAUCUAGACCUGUAAAUGGGUCGGGUUUAUUGGGUUUGGGUUGGGUUCAACAUGACCCGUUAAGUUAACAGGUUAUCCGAAUCCAACCCGUUAAGCUAACGGGUCAUCCGAACCCGACCCGUUAAGCUAACAGGUCACCCGUUUCACCCGUUAACAAUUAUUAUUAUUAUUUUUUUGCAUAAAGUUUAUUUUUCGUUAUUAAGACUUUACUAAAAUUACUAAAAUAUCCUCAACUAACGGAUGCUAACGGGUCCUAACGAGUUGACCCAAAGUGACCCGUUAUUUAACGGGUUCAUCUGUUAGCGACCCGACCCGUUAAGCAUCCACUCGCUUACAUGCAUUCUUAAAAACCCGUUUUGCUGAAAUGCAUUCUUCCUUCGUAGCUGAAUACCAAUAUCUCCCCGUUAACCAAAGAGUUAUCCUUUAAGAACUCCGGGCAGCCAUCCUUGAAAUACACACCACCGGUUGUUGCGCUAUGCACUUUGACAGUCCAUGAGUAAUCUGAAGAAUCCUCCAGUUUCAAACUUGCUCUGUCAGUCAGUUCCUCCAGCAUAUGUUUCCCAACGUUUGGUGGGAUACGCUGACGCAGAAAAUUCAAAAUUAUGUACAGAAUUUAAACAUGUUUCUGAUCUAACAUUAAGCACCAAAAUACAGCUUCUAAAUAAAACAGUUGCAGUGAGUAACAACACCGUUCCAAGAAGAAAAUGCACAAAAUUAAAUACGAGGAAUUAGUUGAGACUAAUUACCAAUUCUUCGGUGUUGUAACAAUAAAAAACAAUCUUGUAGAAUGAAGGCUUCUUCUCCUCAGUCUUGGAUGUUAUUCUCACAAUUUUCUGCGAAGUCAAACUCCAUUGGUAAGGUUUGGAAGAAUCUUUAAGAAGAAAAAGAAGAGAUAAAAGGGAAAAUACCAGCCUGGAACACAAGCAACCGGCAAAUCAAACAUGAAAUUAAAUGGAUCGUCUAAUGCAGCCUGUGCUACGCAACAGCGUUAUAAGUUCAUGCAAUGCAGCAAAGAUAAGGACAUAAGUAGGAAUUGACUACAAAAACAACGCGAGCUUUCGAAAUACAGUUCAUUCGAGAGAAAACAAAGGGCUCAGCUUAGAUCAGGCUGCAACGCAACAGUCCAGAACAAGAGAGACUAAUCGAAUUAAUAUAUACACCAAAUGUUAAGAGAACCCCCAACACAACAGAAAGCAUGUAAACCAAGAUUAAAUCGAUAAAUGUUCCAUUGCAGCCUAGAGUUCUCAGCAUUUUUCUUCUCAGUAGCAGCAUGAGACUCUAAUCUAAUUAAUAAACAAGAAGGUAGCAACAGAACGAUCAACAAAAAAGGAAAUGAACACAUUCUUGGUCACUUUUUAAUAGUUCUCAGCAUUCCCCCCCCUGUUUAAGUUAGUUAUUAUCGACAAAUGACAAGUAAAGAAGAGUUUUAAAGAAGAACAAAAUGAGAUGCAUAGCGGAGAACUGCAAUCGCAAAAAUUUGGGAAGAACUUAUAAAGCAUAAAAACUAGAUGUACAAAAGGGAAACCCCAAAUCUAGAACACAAACACACAACCAAGCAAAAAAUGUCCAACAGAGCUUCUGCUAUGUUACACCAAGAAGUUAAGAACAACAAAUUAAAACACUAAACAAAAACAGAAGACUGAAAGUCCAGUUAAACAAACCAAUUGAACACAAAGAAACUUCCAAACAAACAUGAAAUUAAAAAAGAAGAGCACCUGAAAAAUACAAAGAAAAUGGCCUUGUCCCAAACAGCCAUUUGUUCUUGUAUGAUUCAAUAUUACUUAGUAUUGAAGAAAAUUCUGAAAUACAGAGAAACAAAUGUUUGAGACACAGAAACACAAGGCAGUAAAAAGUAAAUGGAGAAGUCAAAGUAACUCCUUGUACUCACUGCAAAAGGACACUGCAGGCAUGGAUAGGGUUGGUGAAUUCCUUAACUACUGUACAAGUUACGACUCAAUGCUAUGGAAGAGGAUUCCCUCCCCUCCUAAUCUCUCUCCACUAGGGUUCUCAAUUGAGUUGGCUGUUUAAUGGUUGUGUCAAGUAAAUAUAUGUACUUCCCUUAAAUACAACAUUCCUCUUGUUUGUUUGUAAUACUAAGUUUAAUAAGUCAUAUGGCACGUCAAUGUGGUGUUGCGGUCACACGUUAACAUAUCAACCAUGUCUAUUAUUCAUAUAAUAACAUGCGGGAUAGUAACAUUACAACGGUGCGACCAUCACUUUGAAACUUUCUCCUAGACUUGAUACAAGAUUAAUAAUAGAAGAAAUUCUAAAGUUUAUUAAGAUAUUCGAUCAAUUGUAGUUGUUGAUGCUUACACGCACUAUUUAUGGAGUAUUUAGAUGAAGGAAAUCUUCCAUGCCGAAUACCAACAUGGUGUUACAAACAUAUGAAUCAUGUUUAAACGAUGUAUAGCUGUAUAGAUCGAUUGUGAGAAUUUGUGACAAAUUGUGAUGGACUAUUGAUUUGAGUGAGGGUUCUGUUGUUCAAUCUAAAGUAUGGGCAAAUUUUCCUUGCCCUAAAAUUUGCUUCUCUGCACAAUUGUUUCCUCAUAUGAUUGAAUCCGACUUUAAGCUUGCCGUGGACUUAUUGAACAAGAAAAAGAACUUGCACCAACAUCAAACUAAUUAAUCUGAAACACAACUAUUUAGAGUACAACCAACGUCCACUACAGCGUUCAGAAAAUACGAGUACAGCCAAGUGCACUACUUAAAGCAUGCUCUACUUAAAUUGCCAUAUUGUUAACAGCUUAAUUGAUUCUGUCUAAACAAUGUGAACCAUCAUUGUGUUAGCCCUCAAAAGCUCGAAUAUGCAAGUACUGUCGAUAAUGAUCUUAUUAGCAGAUGCAAAUUCAGGCCACCCUUUCAACAAAAAGUGUGAUCCAUUGGCAGGGUAGGCUUUAACUUCCCAUUUCUUUCCCUCUGCAUUUUUCAGGAUCACCUCAAAACUUUUCCCUUGGGGGAAAUGCUUCCUGGAGAAGGCUGAAGGGACGAACUGCAUGAGUGAAAUCCAAUUUUCCGUGAGUAGAAUUGAUGGCAUUAAACAUUCAAAUUAGUGUUUCUUAACAAUUGAGCAUACUAUGUGUCAUUGUAAUGAGGAAAGUUAGAUUUGAAAGAUUCAGUCCGUGUAGCUUCUGAAUCCUCAGAUAUGUUGUCUUCACAGGUAGCUUCCGAGUCCUUGCAACUGUCAUCUUCUUCCUCUUCUAUACUCUCAUCAAACUCACUGGAUUCGGAACUUGAAAGGUUUUGAACUGCAUCCGUAUCAAAAUAAAAACAUAGCGGAGACAUGAGUUACAAGAGAUCAAAAAGAGACAUGCAUAUUGCGACAUCAGACUGCAUACAUACCCGAAGCGUCACCAGAAGAGCUGUUUGAAUUGGGGUUGAUCUUGUCAUCGAUUCUGUGACAUGCAGUGUUGUCGAAUAUAUCUAUGCUGAAUUGCAUCUUUCCAUCAUAAGUGAACACCAAAAAGUCGCCGUGACCCAAGGAGUUAUCCUUCAAGAACUCCUGCCAGCCACCAUUGAAACGCACCGCACCUUUUGGUGUUUUAGUCACAUUGACAGUCCAUGAGUAAUCUGAAGAACCUUUCAGUUUCAAACUUGCUCUCUCGGACAGCUCCUUCAGUAUAUGUGUCAAGAACUUUCGUGGGACAGUCUUCAAGAAACAAACAAAAAGAAUGGACAAACUAAAAUUUCAUAUCAUGGUAAAGAAUUUAAACAUGCUUCUAGCUUUAAUCACCCCUAACACAGAUUCUAACUAAUCAGUUAUAGAUUAACGAGCAACAUGGUUCAAAGAAACAAAUAAAUUCAGGUAAUUAAAGACGCGACAUUAGUUGAAAGCAUUUACCAAUUUUUCAGUGUUGAAACCUUUGCAAAUAAUCUGAAAGAAGGUAGGCUUCUUCUCCUCCUUGGGCAUUCUUGCCAUUUUCUCCGUUGUUGAACCGAUAGCGAUGCUCUGUAAAGGAAAACUCAUUGAGCAGGAAAGAAUACAAACAUAAGCCUGUGAUACGUAAGAGUGUGAAUCUAUUAGAGCACAUGUAAUACAAAAGCAUAAGCAGAAACUAGAUACAUAAAUGGGGUUGACCUGAAGACCUCUCGAUUUUUCUUGACAUUUUUCAUCUUCCCAUCAAGGGAAACAAAAACUGGAUGAUAAUUCGAAAACUUGGGACCGAAAUUUCCAACCUUCAACGUUUGAAAGCAUGGGAAAAUGUCUAAAAUAUCCUACUAAAUUAACAAUUAGAACAAGAAAUAAGAUUAGAUGAGGAGUCGGGAUCAUCGUUCGUUUAAAUUUGCUUUAAGACCCGGAUAUCAACAAAAUCAAAGUAGAGGUUUUGUAGGCUGACUUCAAACAUGAACUACUCUACCUAACAACAUGAUUGGUUACUUUUUCUGAGUUUUUUUUACCAUUUUUCUCGCCUGUUAAUUCAGUAUUUUUCACCAAUAUUUUAUUUGUUUUUUGUCAAACGAUCAAUUUUGUUAGAUUAGUCAGCGACGAGGUUCGAAUCCACAAGUAUUUUUCACAAAUAUUGACUAGUUAAGGAAGAUAAGCAGAAAAACAGACAUACACAAAAGAGAGUGAAAAACAAGUCAUAUACAAACAACCUAUCAACUAUCUGCACUCCAGCAGACUUGAAAUGUAAAUUCACAACAUAAAAUAAAUAAUCAAAAUUAACAUGAAAAUUAAUAAAUAAAAAGGUAAAAGAAGAAAGAAGAGAAACAAGAACAUACUAGUUGAGAGUUGCACAAGAUCCAACAAGGAGGGCAACCGAGAUGAAAUUCCACAAGCCAGCUGAGAAAGCACAAGUCCCACUUUAAGAUGAAUGAAUAAAUAAAUAAUAAACUCAGUCGUCCUGCAUUCCGAAGGAAAGGGUUCUCUUCAGAUCCCUUUCACAAAAUCCACACAAUCAAUCGAUCUGGAUCUUUGAAAUUUGAUCAAACGACUAUAAAUAGAAGUUCUUUUAAAAAUUAUAAUAUCUUUAAUCGUUAGAUCAAAUUUCAAUAACCCAAAUUAAAUAAUUUGAUAGAUUUGGUAGAAGGGAUCCGGAGAGGAUCCCUUUCCCAUUCUAAAGUACUCACUGCCGAAUAAAGGACAUGGUUGGUAAAUUCUUUUAAUAUUUACACUCAUUUUCACUGUUGUACAAACUAACAAUCAAUGCCAUUGGGUUUGCAUAAUGAUUAAUGCUAGAGAGACUUUUUAUUUUAAAUUAUAUUUUAUAAAAUUAUGUAACUGUAAUUAUUGAUAAUUGAAUUAUUACUUAAAUAUUUAUUAAUACAUUUAUUUUCUAUUUAUGACACAUCAUACAAUUUAUAAAUAUGAUCUAAAAAACUAUUGUACCUAGCAUUACUACUAGACCUGGCAUUCCUGUUGUGUUUCCCGUGUUCGUGUCAUACCCGAUAUCUUAACGGAUCGUGUCGUGUAACACUUGUUAAAAUAAACGAGUAAAAUGACCCGACUCGAAAUCGACCCGAUAAUAUUAACAAGUAAUAUGACACGAUUCGUUACUUGUUAAGGAAAAUAUAUUUUAAACCAAUGAAUAAUCAAAUGAAAAAUAUAAUACUAAAUAAGUAUAUACAUACUAUAUUAUCACAUUCAAACAUAAAAACGCAUUUAUCUUUCAAGUAUUACAUAUUCACAUACCCAAAAUAAGAGCAUAAUAAUAAAAUAAAAUAAAAUAAAACAUUAGAACAUUAUAAAAUAGCAAAUGUUCAAAAGAUUUGCAAAAUUAAGGGAGUUAUGUUCCAAGGUUUGGAGCCUUGCACAUUUUCUUACAAUCAAACUCUUCAAUUUUCAUCAAUCACCAUGGGAAAUAGUAUUGGAACUUUGACUUGAUAUAUUGUCUUCAAGAGUUAUAUUGAUGAUAUUUUCAGUGAGGCUUUCUACAUUAGCACUCUCUUCUCACGUAUCCUAUGGCUAUUCUUUAAGUAAAAUCUUUAGUAGUUUUUUAAUUAAUGUAGAAGUGUGAAAAAUAUAGAAAAUAUAUAUAAACGCUUGUAAUGACAAGUUUUACAACUUUCGUGAAGGGCUUAACUUUGAAAUGUGCCACUAUAAUCAUAUAAAUUAUAGAUCAAAAUUUAACUGUCGAUUGUUGUUUACAUCUAUGCUUCAUUUUUCUCACCAAUUUUUUUUUUCAGAUUUGUUUUUUUGAAAACAUGAUCUAUUAGAGGAUACAGGAAGAUGAACGUUUGGAUCGUUGAUAUUAUGUUCAGAGUUUUACUGUUAGUGAAAAUAUUGCUUGGUGUUUAUAAAGUCUCUACAAACUAUAUAACAUCGACUCAUAUUUCAAUUAGCCGUAAAUAUUGGGACGUGAUAUCCAAGAUCCGAACCGUACAUCUUCCUACAUCCCCUAAAAGAUCAUGUUUUCAAAAAAGAAAAUUUUAAAAAUGAAAUUCAAUAUCUCUAAUAUUAGAAAGCCAGAAGCACACUUUGGUGUCUCAAGGCUUCACAAAAAAUAAUUGGACUAAAAAGCCCCUAAAACAAAAAAAAAACUAAAACUGACCGACUUUGAUACAUAAAAAACACAAGGGAAAUUUUGUCAGAAAACAAAAUAUUUAAAAACACACUUAGAAAUUUAAAAUUGUUAAAAAAAAAAUAAAAAUAAAAAUAAAAAUUAACGUGGGUUUAGGAUCACCACGUUCUGUUCAGUUUUGCAACUGCUAUCAACAUGUUGCCGUGCAGUUUUAAGACUCCAACGUGGGAUAAAACGAGUAGCACCAAUGUCUGAUCACCUCGAUCUCGAUCUCGACUAGACCUCUCCAAGUAUGUCUUCCCGAUUCAUCGAUUCAUCUUUUUUCAAUUGUUUCGAUUUUUUGCUUUGCCAUUUGUUGAUGGAGGUGUGCGAUUCUGAAUAUGGUGGAAUUUGCAGUGAUAUCAAAGUAAUUAUGUUAGGUAAUCAAAACUUCUGCCCACUAAGGUAUGUGCUUUAGCUUUUGCAAUUUGCAUUUUUGUGCUUGGAUUAUUAGAUUGUUUGACUUACAAAUCUAUUUUCUAAUAGUCGAAAGGCCUAAAUGUGUAGGUUCGGUUGCCUCAAAUUGUUAUUGGUACAUGUACAAUUCGAUAUGGAAUUUGCUAAAAGAAGGGAAUCAGUUUUUAGACAUGUGAAUUGGAAUUUAUUCACUUAUGCUCGAUUCAAGCACAAGAGACAGAUUGAUGUAUAUGAUGAAUAUUUUGAAGUGUUAAUUCUCUGUAUUUGUGCUGCUUCACUUUGUUUAGCAGCAUGUGGUUAGUUCUUAUAAUGUGUAUCAGUGCAUGAGUUCCUCUUACUUAGCAACAAGAAUGUACUAUAGUUUUUCAGGGUGUUGUAGCCUCGAGGUUAUCUUUUCUCUCUAGAUCUCUCUUUUUAUUCAUUGACUCAUAUUCUUCAAAGUAAUGAAGUUAAUUUGGUCUUCACUGUUAUGUGUUUUCUGUGGUUAAUUUUUUUACUCACUCACUCUCUUCUUUUUCUCUCUUUGUCCAACUAGAAGAGUUUAGUAUAAAACGAAGCUACCGCCGACUUUUUGCUUUUUGGUUACGGUUUAGGUGAGGGGUGAGUGUGACGAGAGGCUAGCUCUUAGGUUUUGGCUUGUAGAUAACCCUAUGUGGAAUAGUUGAAAGAUCAAACAGGUUGCAAAAGAAGUUUCCAUCAAUGGCUCCCCUUGGACAGAAAUAAUAACAUCUAGGAACAAUUCCGGCUUAGCAUACUCACUUAAUACCUCGAAUCUUGCCACGCGGGAUUAACUUCAAGGUGUGGAAUGACCAAAGGGGCAUUCAAAAUUUUAGCAACAACAAUUGCAUCAAAAAACCUUUUGAUGAAAAAAAGACCAAUUACAAUAAAUUAGACAAUCUCAUUUUGCACACCAACAACUUGCUCUGUUGAUCCACAUGCUACACAAAUUCAAAACCAGUAUGUAAAUACUUGUGAUCAACUAAGGCAUCACAUUUUCAUGCACUAUAGACUUGGAUUUGCUGGUUGAAUUAUGAAUUGAUGUUGUAUUAUGGAGAAGUGUCCUCACACCAUGAAUAUUAGAGUGAAAAGUAGCGGUGCUAUUAAAUGUAUCUUUAUCCUCUAACCUCACAACAUUAACAUAAAUGGUAAUGUACUAAAUAUGUGACAUGAAUUUUUAUUAUUCAUCACUUUCAUAUGUUACUUAACUAUUAUAGUAAUUUUCCUCUCAUGUCGUCUUUUCUUUUGUCAAAUAAAUUAUAUUGUGUCCAUUUUUUUUAAAUGUAUGAAUCCAAAAGAAUUUAAAGUGGACUUCAACAGAUCAAGUAUGUAGGGAAAUGAUAGGAGCAACAUAUAAGAGAUCGUCACCUUAUCUGCGUUAUUCCUUUUUUGUAUUGAUUAAAAUUUUAGUGUGUUUCAAUUACUGGUUCAAUUUAUAUUUUAUUUAUAUUAGUAUGGUUCAUUUGCCUUCAUAAAAACAAAAAUAAAACACUUUUCCACUCAAACCAAAUGUGGAAGGGAAAAAAAACAUUGACUGCCGUGCGUAGCGCGCCGUGAUGUAAAAAAGGCCAUACUUUCCUAUGUGUGUGUGAGAGAGCGAGAGAGGAGAGAUGACAAUUUUCCAUGGGGCUUACAUUACAGUAAUUAAGCAGGGACCAUUUACAUGCAUCGGUUUUAUAUGUCCAUAAUUUCCUUUAAUUUUGCAUGAGAUGGACUAAUUAUUAAAGAAAAGGUAACAAAUAUAAAUUGUACUGUAGAAAGAUUCUACACAACAAUUGUACGUACCUUUACAUUAUGAGACACAACUCUUGCUAAUUCCAAGAGAUAAAAGAAUAGCUAUGGAAUUCAUUUGAGAUCUCCUUCUUUGUCAGCAUUUAACUACAAAAACAGAAAAGAAAGGAAAAGAAAUAUGACAAUUGGUAGAUACUAAAAUUAGAACUAUAUUGCGUAUUCAUUAAUUAGUUGCAGGACGAAUCAAGGAAACGAAAAACCAAGGGAUUUAAAUAAUUCAUAAAAAAUUAGACUAAUAUUAGAACUAUAUUGUAUAUUCAUUAAUUAGUUGCUAAUUCAUCAUGACUUUAAAACGUUGUGUGACUACAGAUUACAUGUAUAUUUGUAAAAAAUGAAGAAAAAAAAAAUUAAUGAAGGCAAAUCGAACAAUAACAUUCAAAAUAGAAGGCAAAUCGAACAAUCCUAGAUUCCUCCUAAAUCCCCUCUUAUUGAAGGAACUUGGUGAACUCACAACAAAGACAGUGAACAAAAGAAAUUCAAAUAAGUCAUUCUUAAUUUGACCUGUAAAAAAUCAAGUAACAGAUUGAAUUAAAUGAUCGUACGAAUUAUAAAACUUCGUGAAAACUUUAAAAUGAUAAUUUAUUUUUCUUAAUGGGUCGAAACGGGUUACCCACGUGUUACCCGCGUGUAUACCCGUUAAGAACCCGUUAUUAACAGGUUACCCGAUAAUGAUCCGAUUGGUUAUCGUGUUGACCCGAAAUCCGUUAUUUUCGUAUCGUUUUCAUGUCGUAUAAGAAACUGCCGGGUCUAAUUACUACCAUUGAGUUGGCAACUGGAUGCAUGUCACACCACAUCUGUGGUCGGAGGCAAAUUCUCUACCCUCCCACUUCCCGUGCCCUCCUGUUUGUGUGAUCAUGGUUAAGUCACGUCAAUAUUUUAUAUUAUUAUUCCUUUUUGUCUUAUUAUCGCUAUAAAAAAAUAAUAUAAAAUAUUGAUGUGAUUUAACCGUGACCAUACAAAACAGGAGGGUACUGAAGGGCACGGAAAGUGGGAGGGCAGAGAGUAAAAUAUUUGGGAAUUUGGGAUCGGGCAAAAAACAUUCUCCUUGAUAUGCGAAAAGUUAAACACUAAGUACGUGGUGGGUUGCUCUCUUGGGUUGCUCUCUUGGCAAAAUAUAUAUCUUCAAUUCAUUAUGUUUUGAAAACAUUCUCCUUGAUAUGCGAAAAGUUAAACACUAAUGAUUUAUUAUGUACUGGUGGGUUGCUCUCUUGGCAAAAUAUCUAUCUUCAAUUCAUUAUGUUUUGAAUUCAAACAUUCGUUUUAAUUUAACUUAUAAUAAAAAAUAAAGAACUUUAACGAAAAGCUGUACUGUUUAUUUUAACGAAAAAUUAUAUUUUUAUACUAAAAAAUCAAUCAUGUUACUAUUUAUUUUACCGUUUAUUUUGUCCUUAUCGUUAAAACUUAAAGUUUUCAAGACUUUUUCAUUAGUUUUUCUGAAAAAAUAUAGUUUGUAUUGUACGCAAUUUUUUUAAUAUAAUGAUGCCGGGUGGCUUCUUUUUUCUCCUAUUUCUUGAAAACAGAAGACUAAAUCAACAGUAAUAAUACAAUAAUGGGACGGACGACUCUAUUGGGUGAUAGAGAGAGUGGCAUUUUCGGAUCUCAAAAUUCUUACGAAUAGAAGAUAUGAUAUGUUACUGAUUAAUAUUGAUUAACUAAUAUUAUAUUAAACAAAUGAUAACUUUUCACAUUUUACAGUGAAUAGUAUGAGUUAUCGUAUUACUACAUUAUAUAUUUAUCUUUUUCACGUUGAUCUAUUUGUUGACACGAACACAAUAUUGAUAUAAAUGAGUAUAUCCAAACACCCAAAUUGCCACCACAUUGUCAGUUAUGUGUCAACAACACAUUGUAAGUUAUGUGCCACCGCAUUGUGAGUAUAUCCAACGGUUCAAUAGUGUAGUAAUUUUUUUUCUUUUAUUUCAUGACUGCAUCUAACCUCUGUGUUACAUUGCCUACGUAUCCUUUGGGAUCAAGCUAUUCGUAAUUCAUCCUUAGUGAUCCAACUUUUCUGAUAUAACUUUCAAGCAAAAAAACAUAGAGUUUCAAAAUCACUCAAUAGAACUUGACUUGACUAGCAUGAAUCACUAAAUUCCAAACUACAUAACAAAACCAUAUGCCAGCCACGAUUAUCAUUUCGUCAUUUACAUAUAUCACAAUAUUUACUAACACAAUUCCACAAUUACAACAAAUAAUCGAUUCCAUGAACCGAAAAUGCACAACAUUAACAUUUGACUAUGUUGAUCAACUAAGAAGAUCAAAUAUUACUUCAAUAUUUUUAAUAAAGUCAACCUUCCAUAAGGUUUGCUGUAUUCUCUACUUGAAAUCCAAUUAUCUAGCAUUAUAACCCUAAGUUACAACCACAAGCGUAAACUUGAGCAACUUCUAUACACAAGAAUAUAGGUUCUGGACCACACUCAACAGAAUCGAAUAGGGAAAGGGAUUCUGGAACACUGAACAGAAUCGAACAGAGAAAGGGAUUCUAGACCACUUAACGAAAUCCAAAGAAGAUAGGGUUCCAGACCAUUCAACGGAACCAAAUAGAAAAAGGGAUUCCUGAUUACUCAAUGGAAUCCAACUCUAGAAUGCGUAUGGUCCCCCAAUGCAGAUUAACCAAGCAGAACCAUAGUCACCCAUUCUAUAGCGUGGCCUACCGAUGCAAAUUAACCAGGCAGGACCACCUAUGGAUCAAAUGUGACCAAUUAGGCAAUGACCACACAAUGCAGAUUAACCAGGCUGAGUCACCCUAGGAUGUGUGUCACACCCCGAUCUUGAGAUACGUUCAUGAUUGACAUGUGGCGUCACCACGACCACGUUCUUGUUCAUAUAUCAUGCCUCGCUUCUGAGACAUGACUAAGAACAAACCAAUGGUUCAACAACACAUUAACUUUUCUUUAUAUCAUGGUUACAUCUAACCUUCCUGUUAGACUGCCUACGUACCUAAAGACGGAUCAAACCAUUUGCAGUUCACCAUUUUCCCGACAUUUCUCAUGUUACCUCUUAGUAGGAAAAUAACAUAAAGUUCCAAAAUCACUCCAUGGAACACAACGAGCAUAAUUCAUUAGAUUCCAUACUACUUACCAUAUAUAAUAACCAAGAAUUCCAUCAAAUCCAUCACACUAUUUUCCCAUGAAAAGUCAAUAAUUACAAGAGAAUAAUUGAUCCAAAAAAUAAGGGAAGCACCAUAUUAACACUUAACUACGUUAAUCAUCCAUUAAGAUCAAAUAUCACUUCACUAAAAUUAAUGAAGUCAACCACCGUAAGGUCUACUGUAUUUCAAUUCUUCCCCCACUACUGGUCAAGAUCUGGUUUCUCAUCUUGUCAGAUGGGUGAAGCCAGGGCCAGGAUCUUUGAAAUUAAAUGUGGACGACGCCAGGAAUGCGGACCAAUUGGUUGGUGGGGUUGCGGUGGUUGUUCAGAACGCAAUAAUGGUUAUUUUGUGGCUGGUUUGUCGAAAUCGUCUGCUAUUGUUUCUUCUCCCCUCUUCGCUGAGGCUUUAGCGGUUAGAGAGGGUUUAGCUUUGGUGUCUUCAAGGGAUUUUCUGAAUAUUAUUGUCGAGAGCUAUUCGCCCCAGAUCACCCAAGCGUUAAGAGCUUCUUUUAUUCAUUUGUCUCCCCUUAGACUUACAGUGGAAUACUAAAGGGACCACUAGAGUUCUAUUCACCUAUAUCAGACGCCAAGCUAAUGAAGUCGCUCAUCACCUUGUUUGGUUCAGUCAUUCUUCUAGUAGCCCUUGCUCAUGGUUUUAAGAACCACCUUUUAUUGUAGAUGUUCUGUUUGAAGACUGUAACUCUGAGCAGAGGCUUGCCUCUUCUUUUGUACCUCUUCUCCUAUCAAGGAAAGUUUAUCGCUAUGCUUCAAAAAGGAUGAACUAAAACGAAUUUAGGUACCGAUUCUAAAUCUAUAUAUAUAAAGGGAGAAGACCAGUUUGGUGAAGCAUUCAGAAAUGCCAAGAAUGCCCUCACUUCGUACACAAAAAACCAAAAAAUAAUUGUCUAAAAAAUAGGGUUAAAAACGUAAUAAUUCUGAAUUCUCAACGACAUUAAUUCACAACCAUUGGAUAAGAUACUCACACUUUAAGUUCAUUUUCAGCCUUUAGAUCAAUUAUUCCACAACUGCUACAUCACAUCUGGAUUUGGAUCACAUCCUGUGUGAAGAAACACUCACAGAUAGAAAGACGGAAACCAUGUAUCGCACGAUCAAAGCAGCAACUGUUGCGGUUGACAGACCCGACAUGGAACCGCCAUUUAUCACACGUUCUCGAUCCCCACAGAGCAUACAAAAGGGAAAAUUGGAUGAUUUUCUCAAACUCAUUUUUGUCUUCCGUACAAAACACCCUCCUCCACGCCUUUUCUGUAUGAUUUCUUCAUCUGAAACUAGCAAUCCUGAAAAUAAAUGUUAGGAUUUACACAAAUCGGUUAGUAUUAUCCCUCUUUAUUCAAUAUCCAUUUUUUUUUGUCCCAUCGUCUGCACACUGUUUUUUCUAUCUAUUCAUUCUGUGGUAUUUUUCUAGCUAUUCAUUUUGUGGCCUUAGGUACCUUCCAUCACUCUCUCUCUCAAACAUUGCACUGAGGAAGAAUGCGCACUCAUUCUUUUAGACUAAAAACCCAGAAAUCCUAACUUUCAAGGACGAUCCGGUAAGCAUUUUCUCUAAUACUCACUCUCAUAUUUUCUGUGCUUUCCUUGGUUUUUUGCUUUUGUUCAAGUUUUUUAUGGGUUUUAAGUUUAUUGUAGUCAAUUUCGGGUUUUGUGGAGUCGGAAAAUCGAAGACUAAGAAGCAGAGGAGGAGAUCGGUGAAGAAAAAAAGGAGAGAAAGUAAAAGGAAAAAAUGUGAGUUAUUUUUUAUUAUUCUCUUUUUCCAAAAAGCAAUUUUUGGAUAUUUUAUCAUUAUUGUUUGGUUGCUAGGAAAUUGGGUUACUGAGUAGCAAAUAAAUUUGAUUGUUUUGUGGUUUUUGAGUAGUUGCAGGAAGUAAAUUUAAUUAUAUUGUGUCUACUGGAAGGUUGGAAGAACUGAUAUGCUUAUGUAUAUGUAUACAUAUGUUCUGAUUCCUGUUAAACUUUGUAUUAUUUUUGUGUUUGUCAUUGGCAGGUAGCUUUGAAAACAUUAGAUAAAUUGGAUAAUUUUCUCGAACAAUAUUAUCCUUAUCUUGGCCAGAUUUUUGAAAUGGGUUUUCGCUAGAGAUUUUCACUUUCUGCUUCAAUCUAGGUACUCUAUGCUUAAUUGAAUUGUUCAUCACGACCUUAUUUUCAUAUAUAUAGUAAUUUGGAGUAUUUAACUCGAUUGUCAUUUGAACUAUUCGAAAUUAUUUAUAUUUACCAGAUUUUUUAAAUGGGUUUUGGACCAAUUUGUAGAAACCUCUCUGUUUUGUGUAAUGUACUACUACGAUUAGUAGUUUGUUUUUGGGCGGUGAAUUUAUAAGAUUUGGAAUCUUUAUGGAAGAACAAGGAAAGAAAAUCUGCAAAAAAGACAAGAUUAGUCAAAUUCUCCCACCGUUUCAUUUUAAAGAUGUUUACAGCUUUAGGAACCUACUUUUCAUCCUGAGUUUUCAUCCCACUGGAGAUUGGCGGCUUCAGCUUCAUUGUCGCUGAGACUGGUGGCCCAUUGGUGUUGGGUACAGUUUAUUGAUACGUAGGAGUUUUAUAGGUAGGUUGGUUUUUGUAUACCUUUGUGUCGAAAGAAAUAUGUGUAUGUUGUUUGCUGCAAAUGAAUUGAUUUCAUUGCAUUUCAGGCUUCAUGACUUGAAUCAACUUGGUGAGUUUUAUGCUCUUCGUUCGAUUAUAGUAUAUUCUUUUACAAUGACAUUAAGUAUUUACAUAGACAGUUUUGCAAUCUGAUUUUUUUUUUUUUUUUUUAAGUUUUUGCUAAAGAUGCACGAUUCAAUGUGGAUGUGGCCUUACAAUUUUUUUAUUAGAAUAUGAUAUAUUUUAAUUGUUCUCUUAUUGAGUAAAGUUUUGGACAGUUUGGCAAUGUGUAAUUGAAGUUCUGUUUGUCAUUGUAUCGAUGUUGCAGUUUGCUUACUUGCCAAAGCUUUUAACAUGUUUCGGGAGUGAUACACAUGGAGAAUACAAGUGGUUACACAUUCCAGGUUUGAGCAUUCGCUUGCUGUCUAUUUGCCAUACAUGACGAUAAAGAAAGCCAACAAAUUUUCAAGUCAUGUUUGCUGAUUAGGAUUGGAUUAGUCUUGGGUUAAGUAGAAUUUGAUUGAAGAGGCUAGCAUUAAGUAUUUGUGGAUUAAUUUUCCCAUCGUUAGAUUUUUUUGUAUGUAGAGAAAGGUUUAUGGCUCUUGUAUACCUAACUAUUAGCCAUUUAUUCGUAUUAUUGCUUUGUUCCAAAUAAGUAAUGCUUUCAAUGCCAUUUACAGAUAAUAAACAAUUAAAUUACAAGCAUCUAUUUGCAUUUUUGGACAUAUAUUAUGCACUGAAUUUACUAUGUCAUUUUGGUUUUGGCUUUUACUUUGCCUUACUAAAUUACAUUAAUUUUAGAGCAUAUUAAGCAACUUUUAACUAUCACAAUAGUUAUGUAAAUAGAUGAAGACCUAUCCAGAAAAAUGCACAUUUUGACAUAAAACCGUGAACAUCAUUAAGGUAUCUUAUCCAUGAAUAUUUAUUCUAUCUAUAUCCUCAUGAACUUAGUUUAUCUUUUCCACUUUCUUCAUAACACUACAUUAGGGGAGCCUCAUGUUCCUUAUUAUCAUUAAAAACAUAUGUGUGAUACAUGUAAUGAGCCUUAUUAUCAAUAAGACUUAGAUCUUAUCCAACAAUUAUACAUUCAAAUUCCAGCCAAAAAUUGGAAUCCCCAAUCUAACCAACUCAACAUACAGGUCUACAAAAAUAGAACAAAUUAUAGUUUUAAUUAACUCAUCUUUAACAGAUUUUGGUAAAAUAAAGUGUUCAAAGAGAAUCCAAUAUGUAGUGAGCUGUAUUUUGUGGUAUUGUGAGGAUAAGAUGAUAUAUAUGCCUCCGUUUUUUCUCAACAGGAAACUGAGAUUGUAUGAUGCUGUUGAAGACGCCAACAUAAAUGCAAAGAAAGAAGAGGGACAAAUAAAGAAUAGAGGGUAAAUACAUUAGCUCCCUUCGAUUCUGUUAGUUGGUACUUUUCUCCUAUUUUUCAUUUUUUUAUGGACGAAUACAUAUUCAUCAUUCCUAUAUACAAUCAGAAUAACUAUGUAUUUCGUGUAUCACCAUUCUCUUUGCCUGAAAUCUUAUUUGGAUGGUCCUGCUUAAGUACGAAGUUCUUUCUUAUAUGAUGAAUGAUUUCCUAGCCUAUUUUGUGUUUCAUUGCACUUUAGCAUUAGGUGUAAGAAAACACACAACUUUUUUUUUCUUUCCACCUCAAGUGACAAAUUUGUGAACAACCAUUAAUUAAAAAAAAAGAGGCUAUUUUCAUGGCCUGACCUCAAAUGAAUUUGUAUUAAAUUAAAAGCCAAAAUUUGCACACCACUUAAAUUGGCACAAAUUCAGCAUUUGUACUUGGCUCCAAGAACCUACUUUGGCCUAAUUUUUUAGAAAUACCCCGUGUUUUUACAUACGCAAAACAUCUUAAAGCAAAACCAUUUUUAGGGGUGCGUACCAAACAUCUUAACAAUAGAUAAGAUCCCAAUAUAUUUUAACUAUCACAAUAGUUAGGUAAAUAGAUGAAGACCUAUACACGAAAUGUAGUAUACAAAGAAGUCUUGCUUCAUUCCAGCUAAUUAUGGUGAUUCCUAAUAGGUAACAACUUUAUUAACGAUAACCUUUCAAUAUGCAUUUCUCACUUAUGAAUUAACUCUUUUUAUUUGAUUUUUAAUUUUCUCACAAUUGUUUGUAGAUUGGCAAUGAAAAUUUGAAGCAUCAAUUAGGAACAAAUGGGUGGAAAUUGCAGCAUUGAAGUCAAUUUUCUUUUCAAAAUAAACAAUGACAUAUAGACUUUAUGGGUAUUGUGAAUAAUGUAAAUAUUGUGAUCUAGGUUUUAUAUUUUGACAUUUAAGUUGUUUUGUAUUUUGCUACGAGUACUUAAUGUUUUCAUAUACUCUUUUUUUAUUCACAUCUACAUACUAUUGUUCAUGAACUUUAGGUAGGAACUUGCAUCCAAAAUCCCAUGUUGUUUGACAAUUACAUAAAUAACAUUUAAAUAAUUACUUUACGAAAAGUGAAAACGAAAAACAUGACAACUUUUUAGGACGUGCAUGAUAAAAAAAAAAAGUUCCUCUUUGCACAAUACAUUUAAAAUAUAUCUUGACAAUUACAAUGGAAAAAAAUAACACAAUACACCUUUAGGGGCGCAUAGCGCCUGUGAUGCAAAAAUGCCUCUCGCACGCAUGUUAGUGCGUGCGGAGAGGCUAGUUUUGAGUUAAAGUGGGAACCUAUCACAACAGAAAAUUUAUUAACUCACCAAACUACACAUUAUUGUUUAAUCCAUUAUUAAUAACUCAUCACACUACCUGUCACUCAGUACCACGGUCUGGUAGUAUUUCUCUUCAAUUGGAAGUGAGAGGUCUUAGGUUCGAAUCUCGUGGAUGGCGAAUUUGAUACUAAAUUAGGCUGCCCAUUGUGUGGCUUAGCCGAACUCCUCAUUUCCUUAGUGUAAAAAUAUCAAUGUACUCAAAAAAAAAAAAAAAAAAAAAAAAAACUCACCACACUUCCUAUUAUUGUUAAAUCCAUUAUUUGUAGGGAGUUUUAUCGAAAAUGGCCUAACACUAUUCAUUCUUAAUCAAAAUGACAUUUUGUGUAUGAAAAGUCCAUAAUGGAUCAAACUCUUUUCUUUAUUUACUCUUAUGCCAUUUUUAUUUUUGUAACGGGGUCCGUAAUGAUGUUGACAUUUCUAUCUGGAAAUACAUUAUUUUACAUGAUGUUAUUGAACUUAUGCUAAUUUGCUGCCAACUCUUCAUGCUUCCAUCAUGUUGUCGAUAUUAUGCAGCUCUUCUUUUGUCAAAUUGUUCUAGUACUAUUCAUUGCCUUCUACCAGCUCUGCAUCUCUUUCUCUAUCUUAUUUCACCUUGUAAUACAUUUCUGCUGUUUUUUUUUUUUUUGAAAUUUUAAGGCUUCCAGAAGGGCUGAUGACUGAUUCUUAUCUUGCUGUAAAUAUACAUUUCUUCUUCUUUUGCUGCUAGUACCAUAUCAUACCUAAAAUCUUCAAACUCAUCUAAGGCAAACAUUUGGAUCCCUCUAAAUUUUAAAAUAUAUUUGUAUGAAAGAGUCCAAUUAUGUGAGGAGAUAGGAUAGUCUAAAUGACUCUUCAUUAAUCAUGGCUAUAUGCCUAGCUUUCUCCUUAUGCAUAUGUACAUACCAAUUUGAAGGACUACUAAUAAAGUUUAUGCAAAUUUCUUUCCACCUUUCCAGAUAAUCUUCUACUACUUUUAUAAGUUUUUCAGGAAAUGAUUCUAGUUGGGAAAUACGGUUAAUGAAUAUUUAAUCAAGAUAAUCAAACUCUAAUAGUAAAGCAGGGGUAACUUCUACCAUAUUAUGCUUUUUCUGAUGCUCAUAACUAAAAUGACAUGGUCUAUAAUCUCUCAUGUUAAUCCUGAUCACAACUAUGUUAACCUCUGGUUUACAAAUAUAAUUCUCUAUACUAUCACAAAAACAUGGUUGAUAUAUCUUUGUAAUAAUAUUCAUCCCUAGUUUUGGAUAAAAAAUGGACUGAUACAAAGCGCAUUGUAACUGUAAUUGUAACUCUUUCAUGUACUGUGAUGCUCUGCUCAGGAUUUCAUUUUGCAUAUCUGGUGGCAUUGUUCUUAAUUUUGCAUUUGAAAUUUCUUCUAAUAGGAUAUCAUCUAUUAUUACGUCUAAAAAUAUAUUCCUACGAAAACUUUCAUAUUUUUCUUGUUUGUCUUUGUCACUCGAAAGCUGAUGCUGCUCCAUUUCAAUCAAUGUCUUCUUCUAAGAGCUCAAUCUUAAUUUCUUCUAUGGGUUCAUUAGCCUCUUGUUCUAUGGGUUCAUUAGCCUCUUGUUCUAUGGGUUCAAUAACCUCUUUUUCUUUAUUUUUAUAUUGAUCAAUUUCAAGACCUAUUUUCAAUUCUCUGUUCAGAAUGUCACUUGCUUUUGCUGCAUUCUAAGAGAUUGGAGUUCUUGGUUCAUUUUGGUAAACUUCCUAAGUAAUGACUCAUGAUUUCUAGAAAUGACUUAAAGUUUGUGCUCAAGAGAAUGAAUAUACUGCUGGCUUUGAUGGAAAUUAAAAUUAAAGCUAUCAAACUCUUGUUCUAAGGCUCUAAUUAACUUUUCAUGACCUAACUUCAUGGUUGGCUGUUUAAUUUGGAUGUUCCAAAAAUUAUCCAAGAGAACCUAUUGCCUAUCAGAAAACCUUAGUACUCUUGACCUAUACCUCAGAGUUGGAUUUAUGAUUCCUUCAACAAUAUUGCCAUUAAAGUUGAAAGUAGGUACUGGUGGUGAUGCUGGUCUGCUUAUGUUAUUUUGUAAUCCACUAAAUGGUGGAGGUUGAUGGUGCAUCAUUAUGCUACUGAAAGAUGCUCUUCUGCCUUGUGGUCUUGUGCUAUUCGAUGAUGGUCCACGAUAUUCCAUUCAUGUUCAACAAAUUAAUCUUGAUAAUAUAUCAGCUAAUGUAUUGUCAUUACCUUUUAUAUGUUCAAAAAUUGGUUUAAAACCAUUUCCUGUAAUUGAAUCAACAAAAUUAACCCAUCUUUGGGCUGCUUGUUUAUUAGCAUGUAUCUUAUUAUAAUGAGAAACUAUAUUUUGACAAUUUGUUCUAAUCGAAAAAUACUUCAUUAUGUAAAAAUAAAGAAAAUGCUUCAAAUGAAUUAAUUAUCCCUAAAAUUUCUAAAUCUGUUAAUGGUAAUCUUGAUUUUAUAUCACUAAAUUUUUCUGAUGAAUAUCUACAAACUUGUUCGUCAGACUUUGGUGACUUCUUAUGCUUUUUGUGGUAUAGUAUACCUGCCCAUCCUAAUAAUGAAGCAUGUGUUUCAACUAUUUUGUAACUAUCAUCUAACGGUAAGGUUAAUGGUUUAAGUUUAGUAAUUUCUUCCUUUAUAUUUUGAACUAAUUUAAUAUCUUCACUAUUAAAAUAUUUUUGUACUGUUUUGCUAGUUUUACUAUGUAAAACUGCUAUUUUUCUUCCUAAAUCCGAGAUAAAAUUUCUUGGAUAAUUUAACAAUCCUAAAAAUGUCUGUAACUGUUUUUUGUCUUCUAACUUAUUUGGAAAUUCUAAAACCUUUUUAGCUAUAUGAUCUUGUAAUUGUAUUGUACCUGACUUGAAAUACAUUCCAAAAAAUUCUAUAUCUUGCUUUUCUAAUGCUAUUUUAUUUUUGCUAAUCACAAUUCCAUUAUUGAUAAAUUCUUGUAAAACUAUCUCUAAGUGCUUCCUAUGUUCAUUUCUAUUUUUAUUAUGUACUAAAAUAUCAUUUACAUAAACACUACAAAAAUUAUCAUAUUUCUUGAAAAUUUGAUCGAUCUUUCUUUGAAAGAUCGAAUGAGCAUUUUUAAGUCCAAAUGGCAUAACAAGCCACUCAAAAUGUCUUUCUAGACAAGUAAAAGUUGUCCACUCAAUUGAUUCUUCUGCUAAUCGUAUUUGCCAAAAUCCUAAUUUACAAUCAAAUUUGCUAAAAUAUUUACUCUCUUGAAUUUUAUUUAUAAGCUCAUCCUUAUUUGGUAAUUUAUAACUAUCUUCAUAUGUAUUAUCAUUUAAUCUCUUGUAAUUAUGUUCUAGCUUUACCUCUCUUUAAUUCUGAAUGUUUUCUCACAAUAAAUGUUGUUGAUCUAUGUCUAGACUUAGAGGGUCUAAUUACUUUUAAAUUUAACAACUCUUUUAUUUGCUGCUCAAACUCUUGUUUAUCUAUUAAACUACAAGGCAUAUCAGUCAUCUUAAUGGUUAAAUCUGGGUUAAUUAUAUCUAAUUUGCUAGUAUUUUAUUUUUACUCCAAUGUAACUGUGGGUCUUUUCCUAUAAUUCUAGUUUGUUCUGCUAAUUGUAAUAAUUCUUCUAAACUCUUUGGUUUACUUAACUGUAAUAUUUCUAUAUGGUUUCCUUCUUCUAAAAUCGGAUAUUCAUGUUCAAUAUUUCUUCAUCAAAUUCUUCUAUGUUAUUAUGCUCAUCAUUUUCUUUUGAGUUUUCAAAAUAAUAACAUCUUGACUACUAGAUUCUUAUAUACUUAUACUUUUGUAUGCUUCUACAAUAUUGCUUUGAUCAGUUAUUGUAAUGUCUCUUUUGAAAAAUGUUAUGUUAGGGUUCAUAAAUAAAAACUCUUGCAAACUUUUCAAAAAAUUUAAACCUAAAAUGAAUGGAUAUAAUCCUACUGGUGAAAUAAAUGUUAAUGGUAAAUUAAAUUGUUGUUUUUCUACUUUAAUAAACUCAUUAUUAAUGCAAUAUGUUAAGUAAACUAGUCUCUCAUCAAAUUGUGUUAUUCUUAUUGGUUUUGUUAAUUUUUGUCUAUAUCUUUCUGGUACUAACUCUUUUCUUAUGACACUCUUUGUACUCCCUAUAUCUAUCAUAAUUAUUGUUUGUAUCUUAUGUUCUUUUGCUGAUUCUAUUUCACAAUUUAUGGUAAUUAAAGAACUAUUUUUUUGACUUCUCCAUACUAUAAACAAUAUUUCCUAAUAUUUCAGUAUUUUCUUGUGAUUCUGCUGAAUUAACUUCUAAUAAUCUAUUACUAUAACACUUUUCACAUAAUAUUGAAUAUGUAUUACAUAUUUAUUUGCAACUAAUUUACUACACUUAUGAUAUUUUUCUGACCAACCUAAAUUAAUGUAUUUAUAUUCUUCUUCAUGCUGUUCUUCUAUGAAUGCACACAUAUACUCUUCUAAAUCACUAUUUGUGCUACUUGAAUCUUCCGAAUCUGAAUCUAUCAUGUUAAUACUCUCUAUACUAUAAAUACUCUCAUUAUCACUUAAAUCAUCUAAACUGUAUUUUGACUGAAUAUCCUCAUCUUCUUCUAACUUAAACAGCUUUAUCAAAUGUGUUUUUUCUCUUGGCUGUUUACCUAAUUUUGGACAUUUAGAUCUAAUAUGUCCAGACUCUUCACAUGAAUAACAUUUACAACUACUCUUAUCUUUUGGUGUUUUAUAUUUUCUAAUCCAAGGUCUACCACUUCUUUUUCUAAAUUGUUUUGGAAUAUAUUUUCUCUUCUUAUAUGUUCUUGAAGGUCUUAUGCUGAAAUUCUUGUGCUGUUUGUAUGGUUUAUAUGACUUAUAUUUCUUUUUGUAUAUUUUCUUAUGCUUAUUUUUCUUAUGACAACCAUACUGUUGUGGUAAGUCUAUAUUUUUACAACUCAUGUAAAAUUGCUUCCUAAUUUGUCUCUUAGCUUUUAUUUGACUACUCUUGUCUAAGUAUAUCCUAUACAUGUUAAAUUCUAGGUCCUAUUGCAAUAUCAUUUUUCUUUGAAUGCUUUUGCCAUUCAUUCCAAAUUUUUUCUCCUAUUGGUCCUUUUAUUUUUGUCAUAUAAGUAUCUAAUAAAUUAAUAUCACUAAUUCUACCUGUUCUUCCUAAAUAUUUAAAGAAAUCUGUAGUAUACUCAGCUAUAUAUUGUAAAUCACAAAUUUGUAAUUGCUUUUAUUUGUUCUUAUUCGCUUAUGCCAUCUAAUCUAUUAUGAUCUAAAAAUUCUUGUUUAAUUAAAGUAACAAAACCAUCAAUAUUAAAAUGUGUUUUAGCUGCCUGAUGCUGUUCUGGAUUUUGGACUUUCCAUGACUGAAAAUAAUAAAAAACUAAAUCAUCCAAAGUAUGCUCAAAGUAAUCUAACAUAUUUUGUGAAUUACUAAAAUCUAACAUUAAUGUUGCAUGUACGCAGCCCUUUUCCCAUCUCUCAAUCAUUCUUUCCCAAUCUUGUGGAUCUACAUUAUCUAAAUUUAAUAUGUUACCUGCUAUAUUUAUUUGUUCUAACCCUCUCAAAUAUGGAAUCCUAUUUUUUCUACGUGGUUUUAUCAUAAUUUCUUCUAUGUAAUCUACUUUUGUUUUUUCAUUAUAUUGUUCAUUUGUUGGUCUCAAAAAUUGUUGAUCAAUCCUACUUGCGUAUCCUAAAUUUUCUACUCCUAAUGUACUACUUUCUUUUGCUGGAUUACAUUAUUCUUUCAAUUCUAAUAAAUUAUUAUAUUCUUUUGAUCCUAAAAUAUGUUCUACUCCUAUUUCUAAAUUAAAAUUUUCAUCUCUUCAUCUGAAAUUCUGUGUAGUCCUAAAUCAUAUGUCUUAUAUUUUUCUAAGUACUUUUCUUCAUCUAAAUGGUCAAUAUCUUUUAUAAGCUUAUCUACAAUAUGAUAAAAAAAUUUCUCAACUAAAUUAAUAUCUAGAUUAUCAAAAGCCAUAUGUAUACUCUCAUUUUCAAUUUCACUUUCAUCCUCUUCUAUUUUUUCUAGUUGCUUGUAGUUACUAAACCUAAUUAUUGUUUGACCUAUACUAGUUUCAUAUAUUUGUACUUUAUCUGGUUGUCUAUUUCUUGCUACUUGUAAAUUAGGUAAUGUCCAUUGAGUUCCUUCUAAAAAGUUAUCUACGGGUUUUGCUUCUAUCAUAUUUACAUGUUUACUAUCAAAUGUGUUGAUGUACAAAACCGGAUGGUCUUGGAACAACGUAAAUCCGACCGUGGAUCUGCAAUGAAAUGUAAAUAACACAAGAUGUAUCGUGGUUCACCCCAAGGUUUGGGCUACGUCCACACUGAUUAUGUAUUUAUUUGAGGGAAUAGAGAGGGAGAGGGUGAAAGCUUCUGAGAGCUUCUGAGGAUGAGAGAGGGGAUCUCAGGCCUAGGAAUUGGCCUCCGAGAGUGAGAGUGAGGCCCCCCUAAUUGUGAGGGUGAGGGGUCCUUUUAUAGAAUAAGGACUUCUCACUUAUUACAUAUCUGCCCCUUCCUUUAUCCCAUAAUUACAUUUAAGUCCCCUGAGUAUUUGUACGAGAUCUAAAUACGAGGCCCUAAAUAUGGUAUAAACAGUAGUCCCCCAAGUCUUCAGUCAAGAGAGUCUUUUGGCUGGAGACUUGAAAUUCAGUCCAUGUGUGGGCCGAAGUAACUAGAUGUCGUCUAGAACUAAUGCUUGAUAUGAGGCGGUGCCCAAUCUGAAAUGAUGCUCAACUAGAAGUAGCACAUGUUGCGAGGCCGUUCUGCUUGUAGCUUGUGUUGCCUUGGUUGGCUCGGCUUGUGGCGUUUGAAGGUGAGGGAGUCCCUUUUAUAGAAUAAAGGCUCUCUCCUCAAUACAUAAGUGAUGGGUUAGAGUUGAUGCUCGCAGUGAGACAGUUGCUCAGUAGACGGCGAUGCUCUCUAAUGGUGGUGAGGGAGUCCCUUUUAUAGAAUAAGGGCUCGCUCCUCAAUACAUAAAUCAUGGGUGAUCUUUCAAUGAAAGUGAGGGAGUCCCUUUUAUAGAAUAAGGGUUCGCUCCUUAAUACAUAAAUAAUGGGCUAGAGUCCCCCAAGUAUUUUUCAUGAGGCCCAGUUGAGGCCCAAUAUAUGGUACAUAAUGUAGUCCCCCAAGUCUUCGGUCAAUAGAGUCUGUUGGCUGGAGACUUCAAAUUGAAUCCAUGUAUGGGCCGAAGUGGCGGUUGUUCGGAGGCGGUAUUUGUAUACCUUGCACUUAAGAUUUGUAAGUGAAGCUUUGAAGCUAGAGCUCUGUAAAUGAAGCUUUCGAAGCUGGAGCUUUUGUAAAUAAAGCUUUUGAAGCUGAUUGACAUGAGUGAUGCUCAUGAAUGUUUAUGUUGAUUGACAUGAGUCAUGCUCAUGGAUGUUGUCAUGAGUGAUGCUCAUGAAUGUUAACAUGAGUGAUGCUCAUGAAUGUUGACAUGAAUGAUGGUCAUGAAUGUUUAUGUAUGAUUGUCAUGAGUGAUGCUCAUGAAUGUUUAUGUAUGAAUGACAUGAGUGAUGCUCAUGAAUGUCUAUGUACGAAUGACAUGAGUAGUGCUCAUGUAUAAUUUUGAAGUACUGGGUGUAUUUUUGAUCACUUGGUUGGUGAUAAUAGAGGCAAGUUGCCGAAUAAUUUUUUGGAGUACUGGGCAUACUUUUGGUCACCUGGUUGGUGCUAUUUUGGGCUUAUGGGCCUUCGUCCUCCACAACAUGCCAGCCCAUUUAUUUUGGGCUUUGCCUUUUUUUUUUUUUUUUUUUUUUUUUUUUUUUUUUUUUACCCUCUGAUGGGAUUUAUCCAUAUUACCCUCUGAUGGGGUUUAUACAAAUGUCUCCGAAAGAUAAAAUAAAUUACAUCAUUCUGGUGGGGUGUUUAUUCCUUGCUUUUGCUUUUGUUUCCUGCAGCUCAUUUGAUUGCUUUUGUUUUCUGCUUUUGUUUUUUUGUUUUUUGUUUUUUUUUUUUUUUCUGCUUUUCUUUCUACUUUCUGCUUUUGCUUUUGUCUCCCGCAGCUCACUCGUGGCCUCGGUGGAGCACGUGGCUCCUUUAAUGCUGAAGGGAUGGCCUAGUUGCUUUCGGCCUGGUUGUUUUUCUUUUGCUUUUGCUUUCCCCAUCCUUGUUUUUCUUUCUUUUGGCUGGCAGAUGGUAGACAGUCAUCAUAUCAUUAAUAAUAAUAAUAAAAAAUCCUUAUCUUCAAGAGGUCUUCCACUGCUUUUUUGUAAGAUUUUCCUGAAGCCAUCUCGAAUUCUUUGGGCUUGUGUGGCUAUCCCACCACCGAGAAUACUUGAGUCUACCCCAAGAUUGGAUCGUCGCUCGCCUCUCCUCGAGCCCACCGGACUUAACCGCCAAACAUUUCGACGGGUUCACUCUGAAACCCGGACCGCCACAUUCUCCACAUUCUCCACCCUCUCCAACGGCGCAAUCUGAAACCCGGGUUCACUAAAUUUUGAAAUUCUAAAUUAAACUUAUGAUUAUAUCUAUCAGACACUUUACCAAUAUACAUUAAGCUAAUACAUAAAUUUUUAUACUCUCCUUUCAUAUCGUAAUUUUUUGUUCUUAUGCUUACUUUAAUAUAUUUACUAAAUUCAUUAAUUGUCAUAACAUAAUUUGGAAUAUAACCUAUGACUGCUAAGUUUGAACUUAAGUCUACUUCAGCUGUUGCUAUUGCUGCUUGUUGGUGAUUAUCUCAUCUAUCAUCAUAUAUGUAUACUAAUGCUUUUGUACCUACUUGUGCUUUUGUUAAUCCUGCUAUUCCAAUUAAUAUUGUUCCUAUAUGAAUCUAACUAAAAUGUGAUUUUCUCAAAUGAGUAACUGCUUCUUUACUAAUUAAAUUAAGUAUAACUUCUUUAUUGAUACAGCUAACUUCAUGUUGACUGAUGCUACUUACAAUUCUACUUCUGUUUUCAAAUAAACCUAAUUGAUACAAAUUAUAUUUAUUUUUCUGUGUUCUCUCAAAACCUCUUCUAAUAAAUUCUUGUGCUUCUUCUUCAUUAGGAUAAAUAUCUUCAGCUUUAACUACUUCUUUUCCUUUUUUUCCUAAAGAGUUCAAUUUUAUAUUAUCAAAAGGAUUUAGCGUAGGUAUUCUAAUAUUAUUAUUUGCACUUAAAGUUAAAUUUUCUAAUUUAUCUAGCAAAGAUAGUGGAAGUGAUGAAGAUGCAUUAUGUAAAACUUGGUUUAUUUCUGCUAUUUAUUCUUCAACUUGAUCUAAUUUUUCAGCCAAACUUAAAACUAAUUGAAUAAUUAAAUUAUUUUGCCUAAUGGGAAUAUUACUACUAGAUACUUGUGUUGAAAAAUCUGUUAAACUUAAUGGUUAUUUAUCUAACUUACUAAUUUCUUUCAAAGCUUGGAUAUAUUUUCUGCUAGUUCUAGAAUCGGUCAUUAAACUAAUAAUUUAUCUAUUUUAUUAUGCAAGUUAUGUAUUUGUUCACUCAACUCUUUUGGCACUCAAUGAAUUUUUUGAACUUCUAAUUUUAACUGCUCAACUAUUUCCAGUGAAUUUUUUUGAACUAAUUGAAUUUUUUUGAACUUCUAAUUUUUGAACUUCUAAUUUGAACUUCUAAUUGUAUUUGUUCACUCAACUCUUUCGGCUUACUAUCUAUGAGGUCAACAAGCUAUUUUAUCUCUCUUUUGCUAGGAAACCUUUGAAUAUUUUUAUUAUUAUCUUUUAAUUGAGAUGUAAUAUAGUCUAAAUUUUGUCUAAUUGUUUUUAUGGAAUUUUUCUGAAAAUGCUCUAACAACUGGUUUAACAAAUGAUUAUGCUUAUUAUUUUCUAAUUUUAUAUUUUCUGCUUGACUAAUAAUAAGAUCCAUAAUACUAUUGGCUUGUGGAUUUUCUUCACUAUACAAAAUAUGAUUAUGCUUUUUAAAUGGAAAAUAACAAACUAAACUAUUUUGGUCUAAGGAUUUUUUUUUUUUUUUGAGGUUCACUAAUUUCUAAAUUAAGAUAAUCUAUCAUAAACUAUAAUCUAUCUUUCUCUAGAGUUACGGCUAACUAGUUUCUUAGAAACUCUCUUUCUUCUCUCAAGGUCUCUAAAACUUGAUCUGUUGCUCUUUUUGCUUCUAAAACUUUAUGCUGCAGUUCUGUGUUAUUAUAUUUACGAAUAAAUGAAGGAUAUUCAAGAUAACCAAGACAAGACUUCUGCUUCUUCAAAUUACUGGUAAUUCUUUUGGAUAUAUAUGCUAAUCUUCUCUUUAUGCUAUUUAUAGUUGGAUGUCUGGGACAAUAAAUACCUGGUGGUUGUGGCUGACAAGGUCUACAAGGACAAUAAUAUUUGUUGUUCAUACACAAUAAACAAAUGUGAUAUUAGUUGUGUUAAUGACUUCCGUCCUCAAGGUACUUUACUAUUAUAAUUAUACUAUUAAAAUGCUAAACUUAGCUCUGAUACCAGAUUCGCAACGGAAGCCCGGUUAAAUAGUCGGAUGAACAUUAUAACAACUAGACAUAAAACCCUGCACAUGGAACUCGACAUGUUUCAGCAUGACGGCCACUCAUAGUACAAGUAUAAGGCCUUAAAGGCUGAACUCCGAAGAACUCAGAGAUACCUUGGUUAAUAUCUAGUUACUUGUAUGACAAGCAUUCAACUAUAACAGGGUGCUUGAACAAAGUAUGAUCGUCAGUUUAGCAGGUUAAUAAUAUAACUACAAUAGUGUUUCCCUGUUUUAGACUAGAAGUCUAAUUAAACAAACACACUAAAGAAAGAAAAGAAAAUUUACUUAAGACUUGGAGAUUGCUUGAAUAUGUACACUUGAACUUUUAUUGAUAUAUAGAAUGUUUACAAAGAGAAGUUUACAAAGGAAUGUUUACAAAGGAUGCUUGGAAGGUUUUGGAUACUUGAGUGUAUGAGGAUUGAAGGAUGGUGUGUGUAUGGUGUGUCUCUGCUGUGUUGUUUCGUGUGUUCUACAUGGGAGAAAAAGCUCCCUUAUUUAGAAAUCUAAUUCCUAAACAACAAACUAACUUUCCAUCUAUUUACAACUUUUUGAGUAGUGACAGCACACUGUUUCUGAAAGCUGUCAGCACUGGUUCUAGAAUCUAGCUGACUUGUCUUUGCUUUAAUGAAGGUCAUGUGAAUCCAUGUUGUCUUGGCUGCUGCAAUAUUUGCCACCUUGGUUUUUGUAUUCCAAUGUGAUCUGAAAAUGUCAGUCUUCUUUUCUCUUUUUUUGGAUGCAUUCUUUGGAAAAAUCAUGUGAACUUUGCUAUGAACAUUGCUGAAUACUGAGCAAUCUUGUAUAUAUGUGUGAGGGGCAAGAUCGGCAUUUUUGCAAAAUUUUGUCCUAAUGAUUAAAAUGAAUUUUUUUUGGGGUUUUUAGUUAGUUUUCCAUUAUUUGUAUGGGAUGUAACUUUUUCACUCUCGUUUCUCUUUAUGAACUCAUAUUUUUCUUAAGCCGUUGAAAUUAGGUUAUUGAAAAAAAAAAAAGCCUUAUAAAAAAAAUAAACAAAGAGGGAACCCAGUGCAGAAAAUAAAAAUAAAAAUGAGGGUGGGAAAUCACUUUAAGUUUUUUUUAGUACAUAUAUUCAAUUAUUUACUUAUUAUUAGACUUAAUUACAAAUUUUGUCCUUCAAUUUUAGUUUUUGUUCCACUUUGAUCCUCCAACUAUUUUAUCCCACCUGAAGUUCGAAAAAGUUGACAUGAUUAGUGGCAUGCACAUUACAAGUCGGUUGUUUUCGUGCGAACUGACCAUGUACGGCGUCAACUAUAUUAACAAUGAAACUUUUCACACCGGCACCAAACUGUGAGUGUUUACUCCAACCACAAAGAGAGAUGAGGGAGAAAGAGAUGGAUGAAAGAAUUAAUUGGGUUCUAGGUUGAUAAAGUGUUUAGUGAAUCUGAAAUUUAGUCAGUUUUAGUGGCAGUUAUAAAACACAACUUCAUACCAAACUGGCAUAUUUAGGUUGACUGGUUGGUUGAUUUUGUUUGUUUUUAGCAUAAAUAUGUACCAAUUCGUUAACAUACCACCAAGCUAUUUUUUAUUAACAUAAUGACACCGAGCUUUUAUUGCAGCCUAUGCUACUGAAUCAGCGGCCGUGUUGAAGAGACAAUGAUUUCAUUUGCAAACAUCUAUCGGCGGAAUUAAAUAUAUCAUGAGGUUAUCCGAUAUUGUAAUAAUCAUUGAUCAGCAAGACGAAUAUAGAAGUGAUUCGUGCUAAUAGAUAAAAGAUAUUUUGGUCAAACAGUUGAGUUAUCGAAAUGUUCCAUCAAAAGUCGAUCACCUUUUGUUCCAAUCCAUCAAAAAACAAAAAGCAAAAAAAGUCGCUUUUCGUUCUUAUUAGAUACAUUGUUAAAAAUUCAGGCACCAACUUGAGAUGAAAUAAAGGAUCAAAGUGAAAAUAAAAAAAUAAAAAAAAAAACCCCUAAAAUGUAGGGGAAAAUUUUGAAAUUACCCCUUUUUUUUCCUUAAAAAUUUGGUAUGCCUGCCCCGCAUUACCAAACUUCCAUAACCGUUUCAUAGACAAGAUCCAGGUAGUCUGCCGAAAUAACCGUUUGGCGUGUAUCGAAUGAAAACAAUUCCAAAGGAGCGCAAUCCGAGGUUCUUCGUGGAAACCCUUAUGAGAACUUUUGAAUGUCUGUUUAUUUUUCACAUGUAAUUCCUUACAAUUGUUGCUGCAAAACUUUGUGAGGCAUUGGAACAACAUUCUUCACCAUUUUGCAUAUCGGUACGUUUUAUAAUUUAGUCCUUUUUAUAUAUUUGUUGAGUUUGUUGUAAUCCAUGCAUGCCUUAUAGGAGAAUUUCAAGGUGCAAAGACGUCCAUUCACAUUGCUCUAAUCAACUGGCUCAAUCGGCCUCUAUUGUUUGAGAAUCUUGCAAUGUAUCAUAAUUUGGUAUCAUUGCGUUCAAGCAUUUUAAAUUCCAGAUGUUUUUAACCAUAAAAAAUAAAAUUCUACGAGUUUUCUUGUCUUUUUCAUCCUGGAUUGUUCAUGAUAUCAAUGUUAUGACUUAGGAGCACUGUGCUAUAAUUAAACAGCAAGGCACAUUGUGUUAACCGUCACAAAUGUAUUCCUUCUUUGAAGAAGUCACGGAUAUUUCUUUACAACAUUAUUCCUCCUGUUAUUUUCAUCAUUUAAUCGAUUUGAAUUGGUGAAGGUGAUCAAGAUCUGACCGUCAUGGGGAAGAUAACAAUGGCGAAGAAGAAGAAGAACACGAUCAUGGUCACACCAUUGAUGAUGGUAAUGAUGACGAUGUAUGUAUUUGUUGGAGAUGCAGCUGAUACAAACAGUGUUUAUGAUCCAUGCUCAGAUGCAAAAAUCCAGAGAUUAGAUGGGUUUACUUUUGGCCUUGCAUUUUCAAAAAAAGACAAGUUCUUUUUUAAUCAGACUCAACUUUCUCCGUGUGACAAGCGGCUUUCGCUCACCGGAAAUGAUGCCCAGCUUGCUGUGUUUAGGCCUAAAGUUGAUGAGAUGUCUUUCCUAAGCAUCAACAACAGCACCUUCAGUCCGGUGUGUAAUCCAACUACUUAGCUUGAUUAUCUGGUUAGAAUUAAGAUAUGUAGCCUCUUUUUAUUUUGUUUAAUUGGUAAUUAUUGUUAUACGAUCAUGCUAUGGAAGCAGAGAUACAAUUCAUGUUUCUAUAGUUGCACUGAGAAAAAUCUCAACUGCUUUCUGUCACAUUCGGAGUUUAUCGGGCACCAAAUUCUGAAUUUGCAAUUAUAUGUAUGUUUGGAAUCGAAAAGUUUUUUCCGGUUUAUGGUAGCCCUAAGAUAAGGGUUGUGGAAAUGGAUUAUGAAAUUGCUAAGGCGUGUCAAAAUCUUUGAAUUUUCCUCCCUGCAAUUUUGAUUGCUUUAAAGUAAAAUAUCGCUUGCUUCUAUAAAGGUUGAAAAGACUCAAAACCUACUGGAAACCCUAAAUUUACAUAUAUGUAGUCCCCUUCUAUUGAGGGUUCCCUUACAUAACACCUUAUGGUAUCUAUAUAUACAUACAUAUAGCCUCUAAAGUGAAUGUGGUAGUUUUAUCUCCUGCAUGAGUCAAAUUAAUUUUGAUGAUUUUCCAUAAAUUCCUCUACAGAUCAAGGCUGGUGGGUACAUGGUAGCUUUUGCCGGACGGAAGUAUGCAGCAAGAUCACCCCCAAUAUUGGUUGCUGAUGACUCACACACCAUAACAAGCUUCACCUUGGUACAAUCUCUCUCUCUCUCUCUCUUUCUCUCUCUAAGCAUCAGCAAGCAUUGAACUUGUGUUUCGUUUUGCAGGUACUUGAAUUCGAAAGGGGGACUCUUCUUAAUUUGUAUUGGAAGAAAUUCGGGUGCAAGGCAUGCUCCGGGGACUAUUCUGUGUGCCUCAACGAUGAAGAUUGUGCUGUUCCAAAUUCAAAAUGUAAAGGCAGUGGUGGAUCUUUUGACUGCAACCUAAGCAUACAGUUGGCCUUCUCAGGAACAGACAAGCAUCUUCAAGUGCUUAACUCCUGGUAUGAGGUGAAAAAUCUUCGGAAGUACUCACUCUAUGCCCUAUUCUCCAAUCUUCUGCAGUAACAAUGCAACUUAAUAUGUGGUGAUGGGUUCAAGCUUGCAAGCUUGAAUGUGGUGGUUGUAUCGAAGUGUUUCGUCAAAUGGUGUCUAACUGCUUGUAUGAUAGAUAUUUACCAGUUCACAUUUUCUAGGCGCUAAAUAGUUAAACCUAUGUGCGACGUCUUGCUUGGUACUCCCCGAGUAAAGAGGGCCUAGAAUCCAAAAAACUCCGUGCUCAAAUGGUUAAGGGAUUUGUAACCCAGUUUUACAACCUGAUAAGUUUAACAAAUUUAGUCAUUACUUCAUGCUAAUUUGUCGCCUUUGUCUUUCGUUUUCAUUAUGUACCAAAAUCACCGUGCCAAAACUGUGUACUGAAAAAAAUAUAUGUAGGUAUAUAUGAAGUUAGUGUAUGUGGGUGUGUGAGUUUGUGCCUGUGUUCUAUAUAUUUCAUGGGAGUAGCUCAUUAAGGUUGAGAAUAGACCUGGCAGUUUAUGACACAAUACGAUGACACGACACGAAUAUAACGGGUUUUGGGUCAACACGAUAACUAAUCGGGGUCAUUAUUGGGUGACACGGUAAGAACCCGUUAAUAAUGGGUAUACACGCGGGUAACACGUGGGUAACUUGUUUCAACCUGAUAAGAAAAAAAAUUAUUUUGAUAAUUUUAAACUUUAAUUACUAAAAGAUUUAUUAUAAAAUAGAAUAGCCAUAUUAAUAUAUACAAUAUAUUCUACAUUAAAUAUAUAUUAUAUAGUUUUGUAUUAUUAUUCUAUAUAAUUUAAAACAAAAAGCUUUGGUCAUCAUUUAUUUUUAGGGUAAAUCGUCAAAAUGGUCCCUGAGAUUUGCAUAACUCAUUACUUUGGUCCCUAAGAUUCCAAAUCGAGAAAAGUGGUCUAUGAGAUUGUCCACCAUCCAUCAUUUUGAUCAUUCUGUUAAAAAUUCGGUUAAAUGUCCUGGAGCUCUUGGCCGGAAGUUUGGGCUAUUUUCAAAGCUUCGUAACUCAAUCAUUUCUUAACCAAAUUCAACCCAUAAUAUAUCAAAAUGAAGAUAGGAAAAUGUAGAAUAAUAUUAUAACUAUUUCAAAGCCCAAUAGUUGCCGAAGAUGGCCGGAAAAUAGCCUCAAAGUUGACUGGUCCGAGUAAAAACUUGAAAAAAGUUUUGGUCAUUAUUUAUUUUUAGGGUAAAUCGCCAAAAUGGUCCUUGAGAUUUGCAUAACUCAUCACUUUGGUCCCUGAGAUUCCAAAUCGCUAAAAGUGGUCCCUGAGAUUGUCCACCAUCCAUCAUUUUGGUCCUUCCAUUAAAAACUCCGUUAAGUGUCCCGGAGCUCUUGGUCGGAAGUUUGAGCAAUUUUCAAAGCUUCGUAACUCAAUCGUUUCUUAACCAAAUUCGACUCAUAAUAUAUCAAAAUAAAGAUAGGAAAGUAUAGAAUAAGAUUAUACCUAUUUCGAAGCCCAAUGGUUGCCAGAGAAUAGCCUCAAAGUUGACUGGUCCGAGUGAAAACUUGAAAACUCGCCGGAAACUGGGUAAACUUUAAAUGUUCAUAACUUCUUCAAUACUCAACAAAAUCAUACUUCUUGAUGAGAAAAAGAGAAUGGUACCUUUUUUGGAGGCUAACUCGCUGUGGUUUGGCCGAAAAACGGCUCAAAAGUGGCUAUCUUGGUCUCGAGUUAGCCACUUUCGAGCCGUUUUCUGGCCAAACCACAUCAAGUUAACCAUAAAAAAAGAUACCAUUCUCUUUGUCUCGUCGAGAAGUAUGAUUUUCGUUUCGAAUUACUUGAUUUCGUUGAGUAUUGAAGAAGUUAUGAGCGUUUAAAAUUUACCUAGUUUCCGGCGAGUUUUCAAGUUUUCACUUGGAACAGUCAACUUUGAGGCUAUUUUCCGGCCAUCUCUGGCAAGCAUUGGGCUUUUAAAUAGGUAUAAUCUUAUUCUACACUUUUCUAUCUUCAUUUUGAUAUAAUAUGGGUCGAAAUUGGUUAAGAAACGAUUGAGUUACGAAGCUUUGAAAAUUGCCCAAAGUUCCAGCCAAGAGCUCCGGGACACUUAAUGGAGUUUUUAACGGAAUGACCAAAAAAUGAUGGAUGGUGGAUAAUCUCAGGGACCACUUUUAUCGAUUUGGAAUCUCAGGGACCAAAGUGAUGAGUUAUGCAAAUCUCAGGGACCAUUUUGACGAUUUACCAUUUUAUCUCCCUACUCCCGUUACCCUCUCUCCCAACCCGCCGCCUGUUCUUCCUAGCCCCUCUCUCCCGUCGUAUGUUCUUCCGGUAACCUCUCUCAGUAUCUCUUUUAUCCUCCUUCGUGCAGUGGAUGCUUGGACGGAAUCAUUCUUGAUCUUGUCAUCUAUACUCUGGUCGUCUCUACAUCUUUGCAUUCUCCAGAUUCCACUCCAGGUUCGAUUUUGUUUCUACAUCUCUACAUCUCUGUUCUUUUCAUUUGUUUAAUGUUGUAUCUUCAUAAAACUUAUGUUUUUAUUUCUUAUUUUUCAUUCGAAAUUAUGAAUUUUCAUUUCUUGAAAAAAAAACCCAUGUUUUGUUUUUAAAAUCUGAUAAUCUUUUAUUUGUUCCAACAUGCAGUGAUUUAACUUUGGAUUAUAUGACUUGUUAAUUGAUAUGGGGAUUCUGGAUUUUAGCUACUGAUAUCUGAUUUACUUUUUCUGUUGAAAUCUGCUCAGGGGGUAUUUGAAUUUCUGCAUUUCAUUUGCUGAGUCUGUGUUUACUGCUUGUUAAGUACAUGAUGUGCACCCUACUGCUUGAUGUAAAUUUGUUUAAAACACAAGUGUUUUACCAAUCUCACAGUCUUGUGUUGGACCAAUUUGGCACAUCUCCGUGCAUAGUAGCUCGUUUAGUUUUAUCAGUAUCAUACUUAUCCCCUUAUUUGGUUUUUCAUUUCAGAGAUUUCUUCCUUCUAUGAGUACAUUUUUCAUGAAUUACAUAGCCAUUAUGUGGUCAAUUUGAAAUGAAGCAGCAAAACAUUAUAGUGUUGUUAUAUUUCGUUUGCCUAUGGAUAUUGGUCUUUAAACAUUUACCUUAUAUGCUGUAUUGAAUUGGAAGACCAUAAGAAGGUUAGGUUUACACUGCAUGCCCCAGACCUAGAGUCUUGUUUGUGUCGUAAACUGAAGAAUUUUGUGACAUUUUUCUUGUGCCAUCUUUUUUUAUUUGAUGUCUCUUCAUUCAUACGCUGUGAACUCAAUCUAUUGUCCUUUUUUUUUAACAGGGAGAGUUCUAUAAUUAUUCUGGAUGCGGUAACAUAUUCAAUUGCAACCAUCCUGUUGUGCGCCAGUUUAUUGUAGAUGCUUGAGGUAGAAUUUCCUGCAUGUUCAGUCACAAUUUUAUCAAAUAGAAUUUCUUAUCAUUUGAAAUAUGCAUUGGUGAAUUUGAUGUGGAACCUAUUUAUAGCUCCCUGAGAUACUCUGCAUUGCAUAAUUACAUUGUGAGCUCUGAGAUCUAAAGUUGUGUAAUAGUCAUGUAAUAGUGUCAUUCCAUAACCCAAGUGUGCUUCUAAAUCAUAUCAUUUUGUCUAUAUGACAAUCUUCCUCUGUAAUUAAUAAUUAUUAUGGAAAGGAACUAGCAAAUUGCUGUUCUUAUAAGCUCAAUUAUUCCCACUGGGGGUGGGCUUGCAAACCUUUUUUUCACUUAAAAAAAGUAUUAUGUUUUUUAUUUGAUUAUUUAUUGGUUUAAAAUAUAUUUUCCUUAACAGGUAACAUGUUAGGUCAUAUUACCCGUUAAUAUUAUCGGGUCGAUUUCAGGUCAGGUCAUUUUACCCAUUUAUUUUAACAGGUGUUACAGGACACGACCCGUUAAGAUAUCGGGUAUGACACGAAAACAACAUGAACACGGGAAACACGAUAUGAAUGCUAAGUCUAGUUGAGAAGGUUCACCUUUUUACACAUUACCAAUGGGUUCCCAAGCCUUCGCUUGAUGGCAGCAAUUGCAGUUGCAAAUGCCCUGACAAAAUUAUUAACGUGCUUUUUUUUGUCGAACAAAAUUAUUAAUGUGCUUAAUGUGGUCUUCUUGUCAGUUUUCCUCGAGGUACAUGGUGCAUGUACAAUCUUUUCAUUCAUUGCACGUUUUAAGAAAGAAUUGGAACUUAAAAAAAGUGUUACUUUCAACAGGUAAGUUAUGAAAAAAUUUACCUCGUGUAUAAGAAAUCUCCACAAAACUGCCCUUGGACCAAGUAACACUUCUAGCCCUGUGUAUGAUGACCAAGAGUUUUUUGCCUGCAAGGAAAUAUGUCAUCUUGGAACAUAGUUUAACAAGAGGACACUUUUGAGUCACGAAAAAAAUCGAGGUAGUUUUUCCCGCAAAGGUAUAAAAAUUGUUGUACUCUUCGCCAGCUUCAUUUUGACAUAUUAUGAGUCAAUUUUGGUAUUGGUCGGUUUCCUGCAAGUUGUGGCUGUUGGUCGCCGCAUAGCGGUGGCGCAUGGUCACAAUGACCUACUUUGCCUUCUUAGGCUAUUUUCGAUGCCCUGAAUCUGUUUUUGGCAUCUGCUUGACGUAAUUCCACUGUUUAAGCCUAGUUUCGUAAAGGUCCUUCACUUGACCUUUGUGGUAGAUGAAAUUCCAACUGUUGGAUCAUCAUGAAAUUAUACUAUGUUGUUGUGCAUAUUAUUGGAGGAUCUUGGGAACUUGUGCAUCAUAAAUUUAAUGUGCAGCUCAUCAAGAUUGAAUUACGUUGGGUUGUUGACCUUACCAUUGAUUCAGAGUUGAAACUUUUGGUCAAUAUAUCCUAAAAUCAUUAUUGAAUGUUGUAGUUGACGUGUAUAACCUAGAAUUAAGUGUUUUAUCAAUAGAAUUCUAAGACGAACUUGGACUUUGUUUAGGCGGUAAUUGUUUGUAAGCGCCUUGAUCUUUGUGCUAGCAAAGAUUUAUAAAUGUGUUUUGCUAUGGAUAAUUGAAAUGUUUGUGAAAUAAGAGGGCUAGUAGAGGAUUGUUGACCCAUGGUUAAGGAGAGUUGUGAUACCAAACUCAAUCCUAUCUAGUUCCUUUGAGUUGUUCAAAAUUAGGUUUUUAGAAUGCUAGUUGGUUCCGUUGAGUGCUCAAGAACCGUCUUCCGCUUUUGCCUAGAUUUCGUUGAGUGGUCCAGAAUCCCUAUUUCUACGUGGUUCCGUUAAGUGGUCCGGAAUCGUGUUAUGUUUAGAUUCCAUCGAGUGGUCCAAAAUUCCUUUUCCUAUCUGGUUCCAUUGAGUGGUCCGGAACCGUAUUAUGUUCGGAUUUCAUUAAGUGGUCCAUGAUCCCUUUCCCUAUUCAGUUCUGUUGAGUGGAACAUUGUUUUGUUCAAAUUCAGUUGAACGGUUCAUAACCCUAUCUUCAUUGGAUUUUGUUGAGUGGUUUGGAAUCGCUUUCCCUCUUCGGUUUCAUUCAGUGGUCUGGAAACCUAUCUUUGUUGGAUUCUGUUGACCGGACCGGGAUCCCUUUUCGUGUUCGGUUUCGUUGAGUGGUCCAAAAUUCUGUCUUUAUUGGAUUUUGUUGAGUGGUCCAGAAUCAUUUCCCUAUUUAGUUUCGUUUAGUGGUUCGGAACCCUAUCUUUGAUUCGAUUUCGUUGAAUUGGUUUGGAAUCCCAUUUCCUAUUGGUUUUGUUGAGUUGGUACGGGAACCCUAGGUUCUUGUGAGUAAAAAUUGCUCAAACCUAUGCUUAUGUGUGUAACUUAAGGUUAUAAUGAUGUUAUUUGGAAUCCUAAUAGAGAAUUACGGCAAACCUUAUGGGAGUUUAGGUUUAUUAAACUUAAUGAAAUGAUAUUUGAUCUUAAUGGUUGAUUAACAUAGUUAAAUGUUUGUGCAUCUUUGAUUUAUUGAAUCGAUUAUCUAUUGUGGUUAUGAAAUUGUUGUUGGAAAAUAGUGUGAUAUAUGUGAAAGAUGAAAUGGCAAUCUUGAUUGUUAAAUGGUUUCGUUAAGUAGUCUAGAAUCAUGCUUGUCGAGUUCUAUUGAGUGAAUCUAGAACUCUAUGUUCUUUUGCUACGAAGCACCAUAAGAAAUGUCGGAGUUUAACAAAGGGUGAACUACAAAUGGCUUGAUCUCGUAUUGGGGUACGUAUGUAGUCUAAUAUAGAGGUUAGAUGCAAUCAUGAAAUGAAAGAAAAAGUUACUAUGCUUUUGAAGCAUUGGGUUGUCUUUUAUCAUGUCUCGAAAGCGAGGCAUAAUAGUUAAAUAGGUAUUGAUGUCACAUGUCGGUCCUGGAGGUUUCUCAGGAUCGAGGCUUGACAAUACUCACCUACUUCUUAAAAUGUUGAAAACCUCAUACCUAUACCUCGUGAAAUAUACCCAACACAUCCUAGAAUGAUCACCCAUGAAGGUUAGGACAUAUCUGUUUCCAGUCACUAUUGCAGUUUGUAUUGGACCACAAAUAUCUGUGUAAAUGUUUUCAAAAGGUUGUCUAGCUCUCCAAGAUUUUCCUAUUUCAAAGCUAUCUCUAUGAUGCUUGCCAAAAGCACAUCUUUCACAAUUUUCCUUGUCUUUUUGCAGUUCUGGUAUUCCUUAAACCAUUUCUAUUUUCUCCAGAUCUCUCAAGCUUUGGAAAUUUAAGUGACCAUAUCUUAUAUGCCACAGCUGAUAGGAGCAUAUUUAUGCGACUUAGUUAGCUUGUUUUCUUGCAUUUAUGUUGUUAGUUCAUAGUUAUUUAUGUAUUUUAAGCUAUUUUCGUGUGUUUGUAGAUUCAAAAGGCUAAAGUAGCAAGAAAGUGCAUUUUGGUGCCUUUUGGAGCAUUUUUUGGCUUGGAAUAGAUAGCACAUGCUUGGAGAAGAAGGAUGGACGAAAUUGAAGACCAAAGGAGGUUAGGAAUGAGCAAAGAGAUGAAGGAAAUAAAUUCAAGGCAAAAGAAGACAAGGAAACUCAGCAAGAAAAGAGGAAACAUUAAGUCAAGUUACCUUAUUUUGAUUUAACCUUUCCUAAAUCCUAAAUUACAAAGGUUCCAGCCACAAGGAGAGUUCCCAAAGAUGUUAGGACACCUAAUGUAAGGUUCUAGAAGACCUAAUCCCAGCAACAAAGGGAUGCCGCAACACCUUUCCCUUUCCCUUUCCCUUGCUGUGCAAGGCAUGCACUUUCCUUUCCUUUUCCUUGUUGCACAUACCCUUUCCUCUUUCCUAAACCCUUGCCGCAUAUCCUCUUUCCCUUUUCCCUUGGAUUCUGAUUUGACUUAGCCUUUUUCCUUGUGGAUUUAGAGUUAAAAUCCUUCUACAAUAAUUAAAACUUUAUUAUUCCUUUCCUUUUAUUUUCUGCCGCACCCUAACCUUAAUUCCCUAGGGUUUUGACAUACUUUGCUAUAAAUAAAAGCCAUUGCCGCACCAUUCAAAUCAUCCAUUCACUAUCAUUCACACUUUUAGCCAUUCUUCCAUACAAUUCAUCAAUUCAACCUUCACCCACACCUUGCGCCACAGCAAAGAAGAAGAAGGAGCAGCCUUGGACAUAUUGGCUAUUCAAGUUGGAUUGCUAGACGUUCUUAGGUGUAAUCUAUCUUAGUUCUCAAUGUUUAAUUUAAAUUCUCUUUGUUUUGCUAUGAACAUGAGAGGCUAAACUCAUUUUAGCUAGAGGAGACUUUGAAACCAUGAUUAUAUAUGCAAUAUGAGUUGGUUAUUUCCAGUUAUAAUUUGUGAAUUGUGAAUGCAAUUGACUUAAAUGUUUGAUUCAGAACUUAUUCUUGUAUGUUUAUUAAGGAGGCCUACUUAGUUUGCAUGCAUGAAUUUGAUGCUAGGAUAUAAGGGAGUUUCACAUAAUCGUUACAAACUUAUAUUCACAAGUAGUGAAGGUCGCUGGUCACGAUCGUGUUAAGUUAAAUUCCUGACAUGAGUAUCAUGAUGUCAUAGUUACGAAUGCCUUGUCAAUGCUUAUGAUUUUCACAGAGCUAAUUGAUCUUUGCUUGUGUCUCUAUUAUGCAGUUCAUGUAGGGAACUUGGGAAGAAUAAUUUGGUUGCCGAUGCAUUGUCCGUCCAAUUCAAUGACUUAAGGAAAAUCUCAGGGUUAAUUAGUGAUGACACGGUUAAUCUGGGGCAUUGUUGUUCAUGGUUUAUUGAAAGAGUAACUGGAAAUCAAUUCGUAUGCAUAUGUGUCAUGUGUGGAGAAGGACCCUCUAGCUAGCCCAUCAUCCAUUAAUUCACCCAAUUUCGUCCAAACUUUGUUUAAGUUUACAAUCUACUUGUUUUAACUUUAAUUUCGUCCAAAACCCAAUUCCCCUUUACUUUAUUGUGUCAAGUUAGUUAGAAUCUGUCCGAUUUGUGUUUUUAAGUGUUUUGAGUCAAGUUAAAAUCAAUUUUCGUCCAAAUCACCUCUUAGUGUCUAGUUUGAGUUUAUUUGAUUGUUUUGUGCUAUUUUGAGUCUUUUUAGUUUAUUUUGAGUUCUUUGAGUCUAAUUAAGUGUUUUCGAGCCUAAUUUUAUGUUUUUUUAAGUCAGUUUUAAGUAGAUUAGCAAUCACUCCUAAUCCCCGGCCUAGAACGAUCCCUACUUACAUCUUUACUACAAUUGUCAAUAAGAGGGUUUAAUUUGAGUGCUGUUUUAUAUCACAUCAACAGCCAAUGGUCUCUGUGACACUUGCUCUCACUGAUAGAAUUAUGAUAACUUACUACCAGUGGGAGGCUCCUAUUUUCAGUCAUUUCAACUCUAGUGACUAAGUUUUCCAAGCUUUUGUCAUCGAAGAUUUCAACCAUUAAAUCACAAAAUAGUAAGAAGCCAUGCAGUAUCAUUUGGCGUACAUUCAACAAAUUCUCAUCAAGUCCAGGUAUCACAUGACUUCUUUGAUGUAUCUCUUGUCUUUCUUUGUUUCAAUCACCAAGGUACCUCUACCAGUGGUUCUCACAAGUUGUCCAUUACCCAUUUUAACUCUACCAGUGAAGUCUCUGUCAAUAUUGAUGAGUAAAGACUCAUGUGCAGUCAUGUGAUUGCUGCCCCCACUAUCAAUGAACCACAUAUCCUUGUUCUUCUCAAUUGUAGUGACGUUGCAGGCAUAGAACACAUUCGUCUCCUCCUCAGCCUUGUGUGCGUAGUUCACGAGUUGACUUCCUUUUAGAGCCAGAGUUUUUGGACAAAUGACCAAAUCUGCUAUACUUGUGAUAUUUGGUUUUUCCCUUGAACCAACAAAUACCAAGAUGACUUUAUCACAGAUUAUGCAGAGAGGAUUUGUACCUUUUACACUAUUAUUUACAACAACAUGGUUUCUUGCAGGCAAGCUUGGUAUUUCUUCCGACUUUUUACCUUUCCUUUUCACAUCCUCUUUGAAAUUACUAGACUAAUUGUUUGAGUUGCCCUCUCUAGGAUUGGUGCUGAGAGACCGAAAAGCCCUUUCUGUGGCUGCAUCAACAUGCAUUUGUAGUCUUUGUUCAAAAGUUUUCAGGGAAGCCAUCACUUCUUGCGCAUCAAGUGUGUCUGUGUCUUUAUUUUCUUCUAUCAUAUUCACUAUUGAAUCCUAGGGUCUUGUCAAACUAAUUAAAAGUAUAUGUACUAAUCUCUCCUAGGUAGUUCUUCCCCAAGAGUUUUCAUUUGAUUCACAAUAUCAAACAGUCUAGUAAAGUAAUAUUUGAUGGGUUUAUCCUCUCUCAUGUGUGUAUCUUCAAAAUCACGUCUAAGAGAUUGGGGUUUUACUUCAGUCUCCUUCUCAUCACCUCUGUAUUCUCUUUGCAGAACUUACCAAGCAGCUUUAGCUGUUUCUUCGCUUGAUAUCUGGGAACAGUUGCAUCCGAAACUGCUCCUUGCAUAAUACCCAGAGCUUUGGCAUCUCUCAUCACAUUCUCUCUCAGUGAGAUUUUCUGAGCAACUGAGAUUUCUUCUUCCUGUGUUUCAUCAUCCGACUCUGACAAUUCAUAUCCAUCUUGAACCAUUUUCCAGAGAACCUGGGACUCGAAGAUGGUUGUCAUCCUUAUCCUCCGAAAAUCGUAGUUUUCUCCAUUGAACUUCGGAGCUCCAACUUCAUUGCUGCUCGACCGAGACAUCCUUGAAGCCUUAAAUCGAUUUCUGGGAUUUCAAGUAUUUGAAAUCUCCCCUGAAAAACAGCUUUCACAAAUGCCUGGCUGUUGUUAAUCGAACCUAGGCCUUUGACGCUAUGUUAAAGUUUUUAAUUUGCGUGUUUCUGUGCAAAGAAAUUCGGCAAACAGAGAAUAAGAAAUCGGUGUAGAGAAUGAAGGAAUGAAGGUCACAGCUGCUAAACAUUGCAGCCUUAGCACUAUAUAAUAUAUAUAUAUAUAUAUAUAUCAUUAAAACAGUAUUGCUUAGUCCCAUUUUCAAAUCAUCAAUCUUUCGGUUUGGAGUAGUGGGGUUUUGAGAUUCUGUUGUUGGCGGGAGUGAUGCCAAAUGCGAAACAAAUCACUUCCCUGAUUGCAAUGUGAAUACAGAGGCAAUCGCAUACAUGAAUGCUGCUGCAUUCUGUUUAGCACCUGCAUUGAUUCUUCUGUUUCACCCUCAGAAACAGAUAUUACUGUUUUGGGUUGCACAAGGGUGUCAAAUGAAUUGGGACUGAGCAGGCAAUACGGAGUCUUCCUGUCGAGGGGUCUAGGGUUCUUGUCGUCCUUUGUCGAAUCUAUUGAUAACAAGACUGAUCGACUUUAUAUGUCAUUCCGGAUGUUGUUCGAGUACGCACAAUUGGCUAGAGUUAUACGAACACUAUAUCUGUCGACCAAAAAAAUGCAUACACUAUAUUUCGAUGUGUUCCUUGUUUUUGAUAUUGUUUAUGUUCGAUGUAGUUGACAGUUGGGUAAUUGGAUUACUUAAAUAGUAACGUAAAAUGACAAGUUCAAUGAUCAAUACUCAUUGCUGCAUUAUGUAAUGAUGAAUGCACCAUCACUGGUCAUAUUUUCUUCAAACACAAAUUAUACACAAAGAAGACGACACCUGUACCCUACAACUACAAUUUUGUACAGUUGAAAUGCGAGAGAAAGUGAAAACACCACUAUUUCUCACAUUCCGAAAAGAAUUUUCAGAAAUUCUACAAAAACCAAUACUACAGGGCAACGCCUGAGAAAAUUGAGUCUCGUAUCUUGAAAUAUACCUCGGUAUAUUGAGGUUUGUGAUCAUUGGGAAGAUAACCAGCUACCAUCAAGAGCAAGGAUGACACAAAUAUAUCGAUCCACUAUACAGUUUGAUCAACACCCAUCUUUUGAUGAACAUCAACAAUAAGAUCCCGCAGCUCAGGAAAAAUUGAAACGAGUGACAGUUCAAGUAUUGCGUAUGCAAGUUGCUUUAUGCAGAUGGUAGACUGCACACCAGAAUAAUUCGGAACCAUCACGUUUGGCUUGAAGGAAAUGACGAACUAAAUUUCAGCAGACAAUAUAAGAGGAUGAGAGACUAACCUGAAUGAAAUAAUAGAUGUCUCUUGCACAACGUCUGUACUGCUUAUGCCCAAUUAAGCUAACCAAGGGCGCCGGAGUUCCAUCUGUUAAAGUGGGGAUCAGUUUGUUGUUUUUCAUGUAUUAGUCAAAGGAAUUUAUUAGAUAAUUAAUUACACACAUAAUUCUAUAGUACUCACACUAGUCGAACAAUCAUGGAAUACUAUAAAUAUGAUUGUGUGUGUGUGGGUGGGUGUGUAAGAAAAAUGCAUGUACACCUGAAUCAAGCCAGAAAAAAUGUAUAUACUGAGAAAGUAACAGAAGAUUCAUGAGUUAUGUCAAAUUGUAAAGUUUCGCAUGGAAAGUGAUGAUAAAUUUACAUCUAAAAGCAACACCAAUAUUUCUCAGUUGAAAAAACAGGGUCGAAAUCUCAAACCAUACAACUCUUAGAAUCCGAAGUUUUAAGCGUACAAAAGGGCUGCUAUUUUAAAUAAAUAUAGUACAAUAAGUUACAGAGAAAACAACAGAUAGUACUUACCUUUGAUUAUGUAAUCACAGAAAAAUAGUUUACCUGAGCCUAAAAAUUAAGUACCAACUUCUGGAACACAGAUGUUUGACUAAUAAAACACAAGGCAGUAACAUUACCAGGAAGACUAAGGCAGCCACUUCAAACUAAAACACAGGAACACUAACCAGAAAAUAGAUAACGUCAACUACUCACCAAAGAGCAUUUUCUUGAUAUCACUAGCUCUGCGAGCAGCCUCAAGCUGCUGCUCAAAAGACCCCGGCUUACCAGCCUUACUGCCAUCAAAUUGACUUAUAUUUUGAAAAGGGUUUUGAUUGCCGUCUUGAACAUUGCCGACUCUAAGGAAGAAUGUGCCAUUUGGCCACAGAACCUAAAAAAACACAUGGUUUUAUUUUUUUGUCAGAAAAAAACACAAGAUUAGAAAGCAAAAAUAAGCAACUCUUUUCCUUUCAAAUUUCUAAAUAUUGUUUUUCCCUUUGACUGCAAGGAUAAUUAUACAUUGAAAAGAAAUCUAGGAAAGACAUGCCAAAGUUAUGAUGAUGAUUAAGAACUCGGAAUUCACAGAAAUUAAAACUGAACAAACAGGAGUACAUUAUGUCCCUCAUUUCAAAUGUAAGCAAAAAGUCUUCAAGCUUUGAGAAAGACAAUUCUCAAGAAACAAAGAAAUAAAUAACACCUCUAUGUGUGAUUUGUGCAGACAAUACAGACGGUAAAUUAAAAACAAAAACGGACUUUCAGUAGGAGUUUUAUCUUUUAAUGCUCAGCAAUAGUCCCUUUAAGCAAUGUAGAUUUAUUUUCUGUCGGGUUCUUAAGUCACAUACAACCAAAAUACAAUAUAAAUAAUUAAUAGUGGGGCAUAGUUUUGCACAGGGACUGAACCUGAAGAACGGAAUCACCCAACGGGCCUCACCCCUCUCCCUUUCAGAAACAUACUGAGGAAUGCCCAAGAAAAGGCGACUCCAUUCACAUAUGAAACACAGUUACCAUGAUAUAAUGUGGUAGACAAAUAAGCACCAACAAACGAUUUGUAUAACUAUUCUAUUGCAGUAUUCAUUUAAGAUUUGAACUGUUACACCACUAAGGUUGUCUAUGUUUUUUCAGUAAAAUGAAGAUGUUUAUAAUUGGUUCAGUCCUUACAUCUUUAAGCCAAUAGAUUCCCGAAGCAAUAAUAUCCUCCCUCCGAAGCCAAUGAAUCUGCCUCAUAAGCCAGUCAUCAAUAGCAUCGUCCAUCAUUAACUGCAAUAUUUGUUUUGACAUCCAAAAGACCUGUCGUCUGCAUGGACAAAAGUAAGCAUGUGCGAAAGACCAGUUAUUUAAUCUAAUUACACACGUUCCAGCACUACUCUUUAUAUAAAAUUCCACCCGUAAUUGGGACAUUGUCCGCAUACUAAAAGGAAUAAAGAAAAUAAGCUUAUAAAGCUAUAAACAGCUACUCAUAUAUACCCAGGGAAAAGAAUAUAAUACGUUCAGCAAACCAUAGUUAUUGAAUAAAAGAGAAAAAGAAAAGUAAAAUUAAAGAAGAACCACGCUAGAACAAACUCAGGAAUAGAACAUACUAAAGAAUUAUAGAAAAUUGUUCAUACACUAACAAGAAAGCAAAAAGUCGUUAACUUGAAAGAAUAAAUUCAAUAAAUGAGGAAAUAAUUGGGUGAGAUGAGCAACCGAAAGAAAUAUAAGCACAAUAAAGAGAAAUGGGACAUCGAAUAACCAAUCUACAAAAACUUUGCCCGGAUGGCAUAUGGUGUUGGUUACUUUCAACAUUUUCAAGAAAACAGGCUGGAUGGCCGAAUAUUUUAUUGUUUAUUGGAAAAACGGGAUAACAAUCAUGCAUGUUCCUAAUCUUUUAUCCAAGAUCAAGUUACAGGAGACGAUGACAUACCUGAAGUACAAUCAGGCAAACUAAAAUGAUAUCAAAAGCAUUGAUCGAGUCAAUAAUGAAUACAGAAUCAUGCCUCAUCAGGAUUUUCCCUAAACCAUCAAAGUAUGAACAGCUCACCUCAGCCAGCCCCUUCUCUUAAGUUGAAAUACCUUGUCCACUAGAUUCAACAGAGGCACGCUAACAUUGGGUGGAGUCCACUGAAAGAAAACAAGUUGUAAAGAUGAAUAUCAGAGAGAAUCAAAGAUGUCUCUAAAAGGAGCUGUGAUAUGUAAUUAAAAAAAAAUAUUGACUAAAACUGUGAUUGUCAGAUAAACCAGUAGCUUUCACUGAAAGAUCUAAAAUUAAUACAUGCAAUUCACAAUUACUUUGACAGCAACCUUUCACUAGUCAAGAUAUUAUUUUCUUAUGAUUUACAUGUCCAUAUAAAUUUACUGAAUCGCAUUUCUAACUUCGUCUUUAUACUGAAUUUCCAUGGGCAAUCGUCAGUUAGAACCUUGAGUAUGGUUGAACCCAUCUCAAGGUUGGAAACUUUGAGAAUCUAGGUGAACUAGAUUAAUUAUUCUGGUCAAGCUGUGAAAAACUUGUCUAGCUGUUAAAUUCAAUCUAUUAUCUACUGGGCUAAAUUUCUUGGUAUACUUAAUAUUCAUUCAGUAUAAACGUGUCCUAGGUAUUUACAUUAUAACCAAAGAUAGAGAAUGUGUUAAAAUAGGAGAAUGAGACCUAUACUUUCUAACCAAAGAUAGAGAAUGUGUUAAGCUUAAAACAGGAGGAUCCAAAGUCUGCAUAGAGAACAUUGUUAAAAAAAAAUAACAAAGUGAAAAAGUGGAUAACAAGAUAAACCUAGUAAAUAAUUCAUGGUAUAAAAUGAUUAAAGCUAUGAAUAAUUUGUGAGAAAAAGAAAAUGAAACAUGCCAUGAAGAGGAGAUGAUGAAAAUAGGAGAAUGAGACACAAGAUAUCGAGAGUGAUGAAAAAGGUCAGACAUAAAGCCAAUGCUAUUGCAUAUAGCCGGAGCUUUUUUCCUAACAAAUUGAGUCAACUACGGCAUACUUCAAGAUGAUUUUAACCUGAUCUAUGUUGUACCUUAACAUUCAGCCUUAUCAAACAAUAUUAGCACUCUAGUGGCUUACAUACCAAAAGAAACUUGAAUCAAUAAGAAAUUACAUACUGUAAUCAACUAACGUAUAUUCGGAUAUCAAGUAUCAUGAUAGUGACUAUAAUUCUUAAAUAGAAUGAACUCGGAUGACAGUAGUAAUACCUCAGGUGGCAUUCCAAUUGGAUCCUCCAGAAAGCCACCCUUGCCAACUAAAUCAGCUUUCUUCUCCAAACCUAAGGUCCUUGUAUGUACAACCCGAGGUGGAUAACCCUUGUAGUUCAAUUCAUUGUCUGAAUGCCACCCAUUUUCUAGGGUACCUUCCUCGUUAUCUGAAAAGCUAUUUGUCGACUCUGCUGUAUUUUGCCUAAAAGCAAGGACACCUGUCUCAUCUGCAUUCCCGGACAAGUUCCAUCCAGGAAAUAAAGACGAGGCCUCAGACAUGGGAGAACCAACAACCUUACGCAUUAACCCAUCUGAAACCCCUUUGAACUGGCGUACAAUGUCAUCCACAGCGUCAUCCACAUUGACUGCUUGAAUCAAAUAAAAUAUGAACUUAAAAAAUUUACAAGGCAAUAAGAAAAUAUGAGAAAUCUCAAUAGUAUUAACAAAACUGCUAAAGAAACAAGCACAUAUAUUACAAUCUAGGACCAUAAGCAUUCAGGAGUGUCGACCAAAAGUUUUUGGAAUCUUAGAAAAUGCCUUGUUGAAGUUCUUUAACAUAUGUCAUAUAUUGCUUUCUGAUAUGUACUUUGGUAAUGGAGACUUUUGUUCUUAGUUAAUAGAAGAGAAAAAGUUCGAACAAUUGCCUUCUAAAGAAUAUCCUAUAAACAAUGUUGAAUGGUCCACAACAUAUGAAUUAAAAACCGUUCUGGGCCUCAGAAAAUUAAAUCUUGCAGGUAGCACAGCAACUCUCGGUUAACCCCUAAUUUAUGAGGAGCCUGUUCAUCUCAGAUCUCCAUCCAUGUAAAGUCCUCCUGAUUAACCCCCAUUAAAGCCUGAUUUACCUUCUAUACUCAAUCACUAAUUCGCACUACCAACCUUCCUCCACAAGAUAACUUGAAACACCUUUCAGCAUGAUUACCCUUGCGGCCUAAGUAACCAUAUAUUACAAAGCACUACACCUUUUUCUCAAAUUAUGGACAGCCUUAUAAGUCCUAUGUAUAUAUAUAUAUCAAAGCACAACUUAGUUUUUAUACUGGGACUGACUACUAACAAUCUAUCAUAAUGUAACUGGGUAUAACUUGACAACAAUAUUUAUUCCUUGGGACAUCGCUUAAUUUCUUAAUGUGCCUCAAGCUGGCAAUCAUUAAUUAUUUCAAUAACUUUUAAUGUUUAAAAAAAGAAAAGGUGAACAAAUUUCUGUAUCUCUCAUCCAACUAGCAGAAAUUGAUAGGGAGCAUCCAAAAACUAAAAACAAUUAUAUUGUAUCAAGAAUCAAACUAAGUUGAUAACUUGCAUUGCCAGCCACAAUAUGGGUGUGGGUGUGUGAAUUGUGUAUAUGGAAUUGGGUGUAGUGGGUACAAAUUUGAGAGUAAAAAGAGACAACCCCAAAAAAUAUGAACGUAGUAUGCAAAACAAAAAAUUAAAAAAAACCACAUACCUGCAAGAGUUCUCAUCACUGAAGGAGAUUUUCCAAAAGAGUAAUUCUAAAAGCAACACAAAAGAAAAAAAGAUACUGCUGAGAGAGAGAGAUAGCAGAGACGAUCAUCUACUCAAAAAUUCUAUGUCAAGAAGAUGAAUACCUUUGAUGAACCACUUAAAAAAUCCCAGACUUCAUGCUGUUCGGCAACAUUAGCUAUUGACAACAGAUCCUGGGAAAAUACAGCAAAUUAAAGCAACGACAAGAGAAAAGACAGUGAGAAAUGGGGGAGGGAUAGAAAAAAUACAGUGAAGAACCUACAUCAUACCUGUAGAUAUUUGUCUAGCUGAAUACAUCGCUGAUGAACAAAAGCAUCCUCUGUGCUUGACGAGAAUAUUCUUUUGGGUGGUAAAUGUAAAGUGUAAUUUGGAAUGUCUUUAAGAUGGCGAUGCAGUCGUUCAAAAUUCCUAUAUCUGCAGAGAGAAAUAAAAAAUCAAAAAUCAAAAAUCAAAGGAUAAACAAGAAAAAAUCAUAUAUGGAAUAUGGACCAAGUAGAAAUAGAGACUUCAAGAACUUUCUUAAACUAUGUAAGAACAAACAGACACUCGUCUUUCUCUAAUGAGGAUGCCUUCACUUUAUCAAAAAUAAGGACCAAAUAAUGGUACCCAUCCAAGCAAGGAUAAAUUAACACUUAUAAAUCCCUUUAGCCAUCUAAUUGUCAUCAAUCAAAUAGUCAAAGACAGUAUUCCUUGUGAAUACAGAAAUGAACACGAUGAUCUAGGGUCUAAAAGAUUCUGUAUAGGAAGUACGUGUUUGCAUCAUGGGAUUACACUGCAAGGUGGGGUCUCAAUAAUUUGGUCCUUACUUUUCUCUAAAUGAGGACAUCCUCAACAAAGAUGGAUUCUGUAUACGAACUAUGUGUCCGUAAUUUGUUUUUGUAAAAGUGAGUGCAUGCAUGUGUUGUGCAGACAUGUGACUCUGCGUAAUAAAAAGAAAAUUGAAAAAAAUAAAAUAGAUGAGAACGAAACCUUCUUUUCACAAACCAAGUUCUGUUUUCUGAAUCUGUAACUGCAAUUGAAUAAACUGCAAAAGAUUUUGACCCAAGUUUCUCAAAGUAGGCUCCCAUAACCUACAGACAUACAUAUUGAACAAAAAGUCAACUCAGAUUCAAAGAAAACGUGUGAUUCAACAUAUUCCAGCACUGAAGAAGCUGCAAUGGUUGGCAUCAUGAAAACCUACGAUAUCUACUAAAAAUUUUAAAAUUUACAUAAAUGUAAAAUGCUUACCCGGCACCUGAGCUUGGGAACUUGUUGUCCCACACAGUGGACUAACAUAUCCGAGGCACUCUUACUAAUAUGGUCUUCUCUAUGCCUGCCAAACUCAGGGCUAUAGAAUUCUGAUAUGAUAGACCCUCCACCUUCUGUCAAUGUUCUUUUUGUGUCUGGCUGGAUUUUCAAAGCAGAAGUGCUAUUUGAUCUUUUAAGCCUGCUUUUAUUUCCAUCAGCAGCAAGGUUUCCAAUGUCCUCCAAUUUAUUAACAAGAUGCCCUUGAUCCGCAUAUGAUUCUUCGCUGGGAUCUAAAGAGUAGUGUAGUUCCAUUUUGGUCCCACCACUUAAUUGAGUAUCUAAACUUAAUUCACUUCUUAGCUUCACAAUAGAUCUAUCUUCCAUUCCUGUAGAAAUUUCAUGCCUGUCGGCUACCAUUUCGUUGCCCAGAUUUUUAGCAGGUACAGCACUAUCUAUUCCAGAACACUCAGAUAUAGGUUCCUGAACUCUUCUUAUCCUUUUCUUGUGCUCUUUUUUUUUGUAAUUUCUCCCUUUUGUCCACAUAUUUUCAAGAUUUUCAGGAGCAAGAACUUCAGUCCUUCUCUGUGUUGCAGCCUCUAAAACUCGUGCCCAAUCAGCAGGCCGUGGCUGCAAAGGAUCUUCCUGGAAUUUAUUAUAAUCUGAAUACGCUUCUCUCUGGUGGUCACCUUUAGCCAAUGUCAUAACAGUGCUUUGGUUAAAGGUUGCAGAUUUCCUCAGUGGAGAAUCUUGAUCAUGUACAACCCCUGCAGCUGAUUGGUCCCCACUUACCACUUUACUGAUUUCCUCUUUAAUGGCUAGCAAAAUGUAUUCAAUCAAUUCGUUGAUAUACCUGAUUAAAGAGAAAUUGUAAGUUAAAAUGGCUAGGUUUCUUUAACAGAGGGAAGAUAAAUGUAAACGUAUGUAACAUUUCAUCCAAUUAAAUUGAUGGCGAAUUUCAUUAUUACAAUGUUUCUACGCAUGCACAACCAUUGGUAUGAUCACAUGUUCCAUAAGCUCUAAACAAUGACAUAAAUAGUUUAGGAGGAUAAUAACAACAAUAAUAUUACAACACAAGAUUUGUACCACAGUUUUGUAACAUAUUUUAAAAAACCAGGACAAGAAAUAAGGAUUAACCCAGGCCAUCGUCUCAAUAGAUACUAAAUGCUAGAUACAAAAGGUCAGUUUGAUGCUUGACAAUCCCUUUAAAAGAAUUUAACACCCUCUAGGCAAAAAUAAUAAGAAAACACAACAAAAGAAUGAUAACUCAAUCAUAAAUAUAAUAUAACAUACCCAGGGCUUGCAAAACUCAAAACAGGUUGAAUUACUAAGCUUGUUAGAAGUUCUCUGGCAAUAGAUCUAACCACUGGACAUUGAGCUUCUCGUGGUCUUAACACCACAGCUAAUACCCCACCCAUUAGCCGCUGAAGAACCUAUUGAAGAUAUAACCAUCAGCCUAUGGAAGACAUAUGCAAGAGAUAAAAUCCAAAAAUAAAACUAAUUUCUGUUAGAACAAUCCACUCACACCUUGUACUCACUCUCGGGUGAAAUCAUUGCAGGAUGGAGCUCCUUCGAAGCCAUGAGAUGAUGUUUUAACCUUUCAUCUCUCUCCUCUGAAGACAACGUUUUCAUAACAUCAACACCUAUAGCAGCUUGGUUUUUUCUAAAAAGUUCUAUAUGAUCCCCUAUUAAAUCAAUAAUAUCCCUGAAACAUAAAACAACCAUUAAUUAUGUUGCCUUAACGAUAAAAGCUUCAUAACAACUUGCAAAUGGUUCACUUCUACAAGAAACAGAAGGGGUACCUUGUUAGCAAGUCAACAAGGUUUAUCUCUUUAACUCUUCCGGAUACUUCACCCAGAGCAUCCAUGAUUAUCGCGCGUAUCUGCUCUGGCGCCUCCUUGUCCGGAGUAAUAUCUGAAUACCACAAAUCAAUCACAAAAUCCUUCAAAAGUUUGUCAAUGAAAUCUUUAACUGCAUCCUCUACGAUUGGAGAACCAAUUUUCCUUUUCCAUUUUGGUGGUGGAGUCCCAGUAGAGAGUCGUGGAUCAUUCAAUGACAACUGUUUCUUCUCCAAAUGAGACAAAUAUGAUUGUGGACGAACAAGUUUUUGACUCUUCCAACGGAAUUCCACGUUAUUCAUUAGUAUCCGUAGCAUUGAAACCAAUAAAAUUGAUAUGGGUAAAUUCAUCCACAUUGAUUUACUCGAAUCUGCAAUGAAGGACAAAAGAAAUGGAGUCAGGAAAAACACUUCUGGGAGUGAAAAUCCAACCACAUUGAUUUCGCUAAGUUUACUAUAUACAUGUUGAAGAAAUCAGGAAAAAUAUAACCAAAAUCAAUGCAUUUUCACUUAAUUUUUUUCUCUUCGAAGCGAAACGGAGAAUCGUCAGUUAGCAACUGAUUCCUAAUUCUUGGAACAAAAAGAUCUUUUUGAACCACACAACUUCCAUACAAUGAGAAAUCAUCAAACUCCUCCCCCUCCCUUCUCGAGAAAGCGUCAAAUUUCAUAAAUUACAUCAAAUUUGUAGAAAAAUAUAAACACAGAAUCCAGAAACCCAAAUUCUAUGAAAUUGGAGCACUUACAGGAAAGAAAGUAUGUAACACAGAAGACAAACAGGGCCCACCAAACCACUCGAAUCUUAAUCUCCUCGACCAGAUCCUCUAUGCUAUUCAAGGCCUUCAUCUUUGUUCCCGGAAACCCUAGAAUCCCAACCCUAAUCCACUAAAAGCACAACGAAACUCCGACCAAAAUCAAAUUACCGCAAAAUCCGAGUCAAAUCCCUUGAAAAUUCAAAAGCUUCAGCGCCAAGCAAGGUCGAGCGUGGACCCAGGCUGCUAGGGUUUUGUCUGGUUUGCCGAGCUUUCAGAAAUUGCUUACGGAGUUACAGAGAGAAUAAGAAGAAGACGACGACGACGACGAAGAAGAAGAAAGACUAACCUGGGGGAUUUUUGUUUCGUUCAAUAAUUUUGUUUUCAAUUUUGGUCAGCUGUUGGUGAGUUCGUUAACCGUUGGGCCGUAUGUGUGUAACCGUCCUGGACCGGUUCUGGCUUCUCUGUGCUAUCCGUGUUGCCAUGAUACAAGCAAUUGGUGGGACAAACAAAAGUGUGGGCCCCCCUUCAUGCAUUUUAAUGUGAGUUUAACCAUUAAGACCAUCUAAAUAUACUAUAAUUUUAUACCAUCUUAUGCGGUAAUUGUGGAUAUUUACGAUUUUACUCAACGAUUUUUAUUAAUAAAAUAAUUAAAAAAUAAUAACAAAACCUUCUUGCUCCAAUUUUCAAGCCUCACCGUUGGAACUCCUCCCUCUUCGCUCUCCAAUUUCACCAUCCUUCACCGACGAUUGAUGGUGCUCGACCCCCUUCAUCACUGCCAACUGGCCGAGUAUCACUGGGAGCACCAUCAGAAAAAUUCUUUUUACAAUUCUGACCUUCAAAAAAAUUCAUUUUUAAAAUUUUGAAUUACACACUCAGUGUGUGUACUGUGUACUGCUUCUAGUAUUAUUAAUAAAUGAAAGUGGUCCCUUCAUCCAAGGAAAAUGGAGUGUUAGUGGCAAACAAAGUCAAGGGUGGAGAUUAAUCAACAAAAAAAAUCUAAACCAUCCAUGUACAAAUAAAUUAGCCUCUCACGCACUAAUGUGCGUUUUUGCAUCAGGGGUACUACACGCCCCUAAAUGUGUAUUGUGUUAGUUUUUUUCCAUUGUAAUUGUCAAUGUAUAUGUUCGCGUCAGGAAUUUCCGUCGGGGAUGUUUCCUGGCCGACGAGCACACAGCUCCCCGGGAGGUUGGCGCCGUUUGAGGGCUGCUGUCGGGCUUCUGCUUCACUGUCGGGCUUUGUCAGGCAAGUCUCGUCGGGCAAGUCUCGUCGGGCAAGUCUUGUCGGGCAAGACUCUUCGGGCAAGGCUCGUCGGGUAAGGCUGAAAGAGAAGGACAGAGUUAACUUUGAGAAGUGCCUUUGUGGGGCCUUAGGUGUAGGCCUUGAGGCUCACAAUCAAGGUUAACUUUUAGGUGCUCAGGCGUGCCACUGCCAUCUUCAGCAUGGCAGAUGUAAAAUGGAUGUCGAGUUUUAGUUGUAUAUAUGUAUAUAUCUGAGAAACCGUGUUAGUUAUAACAGGUGCAUUUGUGGGGCCUUAGGUGUAGGCCUUGAGGCUUCCCAUCAAUAACUAAACCAGUGCUCGAACACAUCAUAUUUGUUCUUGUGAUUGCAGGAGUUUUAUAACUAUUAUACUUCUGAUUACCCGAGUCCGAGAGGUAGAAUGAACCCAAAUAGGUGCCUUUGUGGGGCCUUAGGUGUAGGCCUUGAGGCUUCCCAUCAGAAUUCGUUCUUAUACUCAAACUCUCUAGAUCGCAAAACGGAAUGAAUCCAAAUGGGUGCCUUUGUGGGGCCUUAUGUGUAGGCCUUGAGGCUUCCCAUCAGAAUUCAUUCCAUGCUCAAGCGUUCUAUGAUAAUCAUAAUAUAAUAGAAAUAAAACUAAAGGGUAGGUCGAUUACUUGCGCCCCAAGUAACUUCGGACUUCUCGUUUAUCAAGGACUGUCGUGGAUGGGCUGACUACAGCUUCGUUUUGAAGGCAAAUCUGGCUUUAAGCAGAGUUUAUGCUUGCAUUUGUUUGUUUGAUUGAGUGUCCAUAAUCCUUGUGCUUGGGCUCCUUUAUAUAGAGGUCUGGAGGAAACCCUCCUGCUGAGGUUUUGUACUUGCCCGAAAGAAACUUGGGCAGCUUGCAUUUCAUUGCUUGGGUAGCUUGCAUUGCAUUUGCCAACUUGCAUGUAGAAACAAUAUUAAAAGGGGAAUUUGCAUCUCCACCACAUGUUUUUAGCACAUAUUUUCCCACUUGUAAUAGACUAACAAUUAAAAGAAGCAAGUUGGCUUCUUUCACAUGUUCUUUGCAUCCACAUCCGUAUGUUGCCUUCCAACCAUUUUGCAAGCAUGCAAUUUGUUGAUUAAACAAAGGCUUGACAAACCUCCACCACCCAAACAAAUUGGAAGAACAAUAUUAUAGUGUCAAACUCCUCCACUUGCAUCUAAAUAUCUUUCCAAAUUAGCUUUCUUGCAUAUUAAUCCUCCAAAUGCCAUAUUUUACCCAAAUUGCCCAAAUAAGUAAAAAUGGGUAUAUUUUGAGUGCAAACAGUAUAUGCUUUAGAAAGUAUGAUAUUAAGUAUGAAAGUGAAGCAUGAAAUCUAGAAGAUGGCUACACAUAAUUAGAAGCAAUAAAUUUGAAGCUGUUGACAUGGAUACUCUCUCACACACAGCAGUGCCUAUUACGGUGUUCUCACGUGCGUGCAAAAGAUACUUUUUUAAUCACAGUUACACAUUUUAGAUGUAUUUAUAUGCGAGGAUUGGUUCAAUGUAUAAAGACAUAAAAUAAAGGCGAUUAUCAUCUCUAAUAAUACAGGCAGGAAUUAGAAGUAUUUUGUCUAGAAUAUGUUAAAAAAAAAAGUAAUAAGUAACAAAGAAGAUCCUUAUAAUUUAGUUGCAACUAAAAUCUAAAUAAAAAGUAUAAAAACAAUCCAAGAACUUCAAUUGACCCUGAUACACUUGACAACAAAACAUAUCAUGAAUUCAUAUCGUUCUGUCCUGUUGAAAAUAUAAUGUGUUUGGUUAAAAUCAAAUAUUAGCAUUUUUUGUAAUUGAAUUGCAUUAAAAGUUGAAAAAGGGAAUUAAACGUUGAAAGAAAGAAUGUAACCUUAUGUUGAAUUCGAGGGAAGCAAAAUAUCUUUGUACACAAUAUUUCUUGUGAAGACUCCUUCGUGACCGUGUAAUUCUCCUUUCUUUACCAAGACUUUUGUUGUAAACGCUGAAACUCCUCUUGAUAAAGCCACGUACAAUUGUCCAUGACUGAAUACGUGAUAUGGUAGAUAAAUACCCACAUUUGGUAUUGUCUGCCUUGUGAUUUAUUUAUAGUUAGUGCAAAACUCAAUUUCAUUGGAAACUGUUUUCUCAUCAUUUCAAAUGGGAGUCCUGUGCUUUAUGUGGUCUUUAAAGAGAUUCUUGGUAAAAACACUCUAGUUCCAACAAAUUGUCCAGAUAAGAUUUUGGCAUCAAUUAGAUUAUUGUAAGCUCCAUGGCAAGCCAGUCUUGUACCAUUGCACAACCCAUCUUUGGAUUUUUCAAAGUUAACUAAUGAAGGGGCAUUCCACCAGAUGAGAUUGAAUUCAAGAAUUCUUGUUGAUACAAAUUUCUCACAUCGUCCUCAACUGAAUCGAAAGAGUAUAAGAUAUGUUCAGUCCCCGAAAACUUAUCGAUGAUCAUUUUAUUGAGUUUGUCAGCAUCCUCAUUUUUUGGUGUUAUAAUUGCUCUUUCUACCAAGUAUCUUGCAUCACAUACAUGACAUUCUAAAUCAAGGAAAACUUCAUUAACCAAUUGGACAAUGGAUUCUUCACCAUUCCAUGGAAUGACCAUAGAUGAUGGUAAUUGCAUCAUGUCGUCUAUCAUAGUUUCUUGUUCCCCAUUACUGACAUGAAGUAAGAACUCUGAAAAAUCUUAAUCAUUGAUGGAUCUCAUGUUGUGCCUAAGACGAAUGAUUUUCACGUAUUCCCAAAAUGAAGCAUUAAUCAUACUUGCUUACAUCAAUUCAGACCUUGUACCUUUUGGAACAACUGGAACAACUUGUCGAAAAUCUCCUCCAAAGAUCAUGACCUUUCCUCCAUAUGGCAGGUUAACGCCUAUUAUAUCUUUGAACGUUUGAUCGAGAGUCUCAAAUGCAAACCUGUGUGCCAUUGGUGCUUCAUCCCAGACAACAGCUAAUGUUUUUCUUAUCAAUUCUGCCAAAUCUGGCUGAAUACUAAUAGAACACGUGGAAGAUGCAUCUAGACUGAGGGGAAUUUUAAAUCUAGAAUGUGUUGUCCUUCUGCCUAACAAUAUGGUUACUGCAAUUCCAAAUGUUGUUGUUGCCAAUAUAAUAUGACCUUUGCUCCUUAAGGUUGCUAACAAAGCACGAUAUAAGUAUGUCUUUCCUGUCCCUCCGGGACCAUUCACAAAAAAAUAUGGCAUUGUCUCGUUGUUCAAUAGCAGACACAAUCGAGUUAUAUGCUGCCAUUUAGUCUUCAUUUAGAUUUUGUACCACAUUGUGGUCUGCUUCAGAGAUGUCAAGUGAAACUUCAUCUUGUAUUAUCCUUGGAAGUGUGUUGUCUUUAACAUAAUCUUGUGUUAUUUGGGGUAGAUCAUAAUCAGAUACAGACUUACUAUGUUGCACUAAUAGCCCAUUCAAGUCUUGCAAAAGCUUGUUCAAGAUAGAAGUAUUAUUUGUAAUACUUGAAACAUAAUAAUCUUCUACCAUAAAUGAAUGAAAUUCAUCCCACAAUCUUCUUACUCCAUGUGGAUCACAAUAAACUAAGAUGGUAACAAACAACCUUGGCAAAGCUGACGGCAUUCGAAUGUUAGAGGCCUCACAAAGACAUCGUCUAAUGCUAUCAUCAUCUUCUAGCAAACCUCGUUGUUGUACUGCCUUCUUAAAUGUUGGUUGUACGAUGUCAUUAACUGUUCUUAAAUUCUCAAAUGAUGUUGAUCCUCUAACAUGAUUAAGAAGGAUGCGUAAGUGGAAUUUUUCACCCUCAUUCGGCGAGACUGCAUAUAUCCAGCCAAUAACUUUAUGGUUAUUCAUCCUCUCACUCCAGAGUUUAUCUCUUUGACUCCAUUUGAAUUGUUCAGGGAACUCCCGGUAUAAGUAUCGUUGUGCUUCCGGGCAAGUGGUAUUCUUGGUAAAAAAACUUUGUCAGCAUAGUCAUCGAGUUUGUGUCAUCUGCCAAAAUAUCUACUACUCUUUGGUGAGGGUAAAAAUGAAUAGUUUGUCCUUCAAGAAGAUGAAUUUGUAAUCGUUCCACUGAUGGAUAAAGUCGAUUAGUUACAAAUUUGAAUAUUCUCCAUAAAGCUUCAGGUGCACAAACCCAUCUUGCAUCAACAAACUGCUUUAUUUCAUCUUGAAUAGGUUCAUGAUGGACUUCAAAAGCUACUCAGUCAAGACCUUUAUAAACAUAUUUGUACAGAUACUUAACACUCUUAAUGCUGCAACAAAUCUCAACAUUAAUAUGACAAUCGUAUCUGAGGAUAGCCAUGAGUUAUACGGAAUGACCUACCGAUUAUCCACCAUUAUACAUGCAUUAUGAUCUAAUGGGACUGGAUCAUGAUUGCCUCUUCUACGAUAGACUGGAUAAGAAUCAUUUCCUUGAACUGUAGUUGGUGCAAAUGGCUUAGGAUAAUUUCGUUUACAACUACCACGUUUCAUACAGGGUGACCGUGAAUUGUGUAUUCCACAUGGAUCAUGUAUCAUAUGCCUUAACACGGCACCAUACAAUUUAGGCUCUUCAUUUGGAUUUGGUAUUUCAGCCCGUACCACCUGAUCAUAAUCAUCUGAACUAUUAAGCUUAUCAUUUUCUUCUAACAUGAGAAGCAUGUGAAUAUGGGGGAGACUGCACUUUUGAAACUCAAUGACAUAUACAUAUGCAAGAACUCUACCUAAAACACCUUUUUUUUUAUAACAUCAUUCUUCAACUCUUCAAAUUUUGCACGAAAAACCCUUGUAAACAAAUCUGGUCGAUCUUGUGGUGCUUGGCCAGGUACUAGUUCAUCACUUAUUUCUUCCCAAGUUAGAUUACAUAUCAUUGUUAGGAAAAUAUCUGGUCUUCCAUAUUUUUGAACCAAAGUCAUUGUAUCUUGAUACCUUUGAUACAUGUCACGGGGACUACCAACAAAAGAUAUGGUAAUAUAGUCCUAGAACAACCAACAUCUCCUGUAUAUGUUUUGUUAUAAGUCAUUAAUAAGUCUAAAUAUGUUUGUUUUGUUUCAACCCAUUAAUAAGUCUCAUUUAAUGUGACUGAACAUGAACAUGAAGAAUAUAUGUUUUAAUUAUAAACUGAUUAGCUUCCUACCUGCAUUAUUUUGUCCUGCAAUUAAUGAGUCUUGUAGUCCUCGAUAAAAUUCAAAUUGAAUUGUGUGUUGAUUAUCACACAUCCAUCUAAGCUUUUGUGAUUCGAUCUUUACGCAGUUGUCAACUACAUAUACCUAUAAUAGGCGGCCACCACAAAGUAGAAGCGAUUUAUCGUGUUGACGGAUCUAAAAUGAUAAAAUUCAUUGUUCAACAUAAUAUAAGUUUUAAAAAUUAAUAUUGUAUUGAUAGAGAUGAAGGUCUUAGGUUACCUGAAGAACAUACGAAUAAUAGUCACAAACGUCACUUUUUUGCGGUUGUUAUUUCAAGUAUUCACAUCCCAUCCAUACGUUCCAUAAGGUAACAACAAUGGAUAUUGUAAGGGGUCAUAAUAGCCUACACAGUCUUUGAUACUCUUAAGUUGACCAUCUGUAGUUUGCACAACAAUGUCUCAACCUUUAAUGUUCUCUGAUCCUUCACCACCUACUAUGAUUGCAGCAACCUAAGAUGCAGACGGUAUACAAUAUUGUCGUUGAUUCGCGGGCUGUUCCUUGAUAAUCAAUCUACAACCUUGCAAAUCUUGACGUUGCACAAGGUGGUGAAAUGUUUGCACAAAUGGAUUAUAUUGAUUCAAGAUUUGUUGGAUUUUUUCAACCACAUCUCUGUUUUGUGCUUCACUUUCUCUCAUCUGAGUCUAUUUCAUGAGAUGUGUCAUAUAUAUACAUUUGUAGGAAUCUCGGUCUACUAUCUCUAAUAGGCAAGAGACUUCCAAUCUUUUGAUAUAUGGAACCUUAAGCACGAAAUGUGUAAAUACCCAUCUUCCUGUUGCUAGGUUUUCGUCAACAUGAACUCCCAUUAAAGUGAAGGCAAAAAUGUGGUUGUAAGCUCGGAUAUUCUGCCUAAAAUGUCUUCCCUCGGCAGAUUGGUUGCAAAAGAGCUCAGUCAUCUCAGGAGGGGACAAUGUCAAUGGUAGAGCAAGCUUUCCACGUAAGCAACACAUUUCAGAUGUUUCAUGAGAGAACAAACGAGCAUGACAAUCUGGAUGAUGAGUCAAUUUCAUAUUGUAUAUUUUACCCUAUUCUUAGUAUGUUUUGGUAAUUAUUUGGUAGAAUUUUGAUACUUUGAUUUAUAUUUUCAAUAUAGGACAACCGACUUUCUCUGGAGCAAAACAUGAUUGAAUAGAGGAAUUUUAGAGUAAUUCUAGUUGGAGGACGUUCGUGAGUCAGUUAGCUUGAUCGUAUCAAAAUAUCAGAUUUGUCUACCAAGCGAUGAUUUUUUGGCAAUAAAAUAAAGGAGCAAUGCGCAGUGUUGGAAUAGUGAUAUUUUGGGCUUGACUUGCGGUUUUGGAGUCCAAGAUGACCUCGGAUGGGUUCGUGGCCUUCUAGAGAUAUGUUCAGAAUGUCCCAAUCUUCAAAACAAGCUAUCAUGGGCCAGAUUUGGAGGAUAUUGAGACUAAAACGUGGCUGGACAAUUACUUGGCAGAUUCUCCUAGCUUAAUUAGAAUUUUAUUUUCUAAGAUAUUUUAUUAUUAUUCUUAGUUUCCUGGUUGGAAUAAAGGACUUGGUUUUUAGGGUUUGUGUGAUGGCAUAGCAACAUAUAUUGCUUUGUCAUCCACAGUUUUUCUCGACGCUUUCUUUUAUGCAACUUUGGAGACAGAGAUUAAUUGCUAGGGUUCUUGGAGAUUUUCUACUUUAAGGUGUUUUCAUUCCUUUUAUUCUUAAUAAUAUUUUAUAUGACUUCAAUUAUGAAUAUGCAUCACUAAUUCCUUUUGCUAGGGCUAAGCCUGGAGCCUUAGCAUGAAUAUGUAAUUUUUAUUUAAUUGCUUAUGAUUGAUUGCUUGCAUACUUUGAAUUCUUAAUCACCGUGGUUAAAACUAUCUAAUUGUCUUAAUAUCUUAUCACCAUUAGGAUCUUUAGAAAAGUAAUUUGAUGCAAUUUUGGUCGGAAGGUUCCCUGAAAUUGACGCUGGCUUCUUGUGGUUAAUAAUUGUAAUUUCACUUAAGAUGAAUACCACGUCUUAAAGGUUGUAUGGUUUUUCAAAGGGUUUUCAUAAACCAUAAUGAGUCUCUCAUGUUCAAAUUUGAUCCGAACGUCCGGACAGGUUGCAUGGUAGAUAUACGUUCUAUGUUGGAGGUUCCAAGUAGAAUAUAAAUUAGGAAAACCUAACCUUCAAAGUGGCAUGUGUAGAUCAUAAGUGAUUGGUAAAAGUUCAUAGGAUUGCUAGGUGAUAGUGAAACCCUAGUGCUUUCUUAAUUUGAUUUCUCCAAAACUUUUCUUUUUCUUUCACCUUUAAUAUUGCAGAUUGUUUUAUUUUUAUUAAUUAAAUUCGUUUUAUUAAAUUAGGUCAUAAAAAUCAAUUAUCUCAAAUAUCUAUUUUACAAUAAUUAAUUGGAAUUUGGUUUGUUUCGAAUUAUUUAAUAAUCCCUGUGGAGAGCGAUAUUGCGAGAUCCGUUUAUACUACAAUAACCUUGUCAUUCUUGCAAGUAAUAUAGGAGUUUUUAACCCAUUUGCGUGUGUGGUAAAAUCCCUAACACUGGACAUGUGGUUGGAUUUGGCAUGUGAAAUCUUGGGAUUUCGAUGUUUUCAUUAAGGUUUCUAGCACAAUUAUGAAUUGGCAUUGUUCUCAUAGUAUGCUAUUGAGGUGGUACGUCCUCGUUAGGCUGGAUCUCAUUUUCAUUAAUGAGAUUCAAAUCAUCUGCUUAAAAAGGAAACAUUAAAGGUGUUUUAUGAUUUAGUGAGCAUAGUUGAAAUUGUAGGUAUUAAUAUUCAAAAACUGAUACCUUCAUUGAUGAUGGGUGGAUAAAAAUGAUUCAUUGGAGUAUUCAAAUUGAAUGAUUGCGUUGUUGUAUUUUCUGUUAUAAUAAAAUGAAAUGGAAGGUAAUAAGUGGUGUUUACAGUAAUGAUGAUACUGCUAGUUAUCUUUUUCAAAGUUGUACUAUGGUAGUUUAUGCAAUUACCAUUAUUAGUGAAACUUUGAAUGAGUCCAUCCUAAGGCAAGUGUUUCCUAUUUGAUCGGGCAAUUUGCCUUAUAUGAGUUAAGCGCAUUGUUCUUGGAACUUGAUUGUUGUUGCCUUCUCCAAACGGCACUAUGUUGAGUCGUUCAACAUGAUUGCUACUGCCUUCAUUGAAUUGUACUAUGUUAGGGUGUUGAACUUGAUCGGUACCGCCACCAAAUAACAUUAUGUUUGAACGAUGAAUUUGUUGAACACGAUAAUUGGAUCGUCACCAUGCUAAAUAAACGUGUCUUUGCCUUGAACUCAUUGAAUUAUGUCUCAUACGUUGUUGAUCCUGCCAUUGCUCUCGUUGGCUUUGUCUCUCAUCAGUAACAUAUGCAUGUUGUUGCUGUAAGCCAAGAAACGUAAUGGUGCACGAAAAAUAUUAGUAAGCAUAAUAUUAUUUAAGUACCUACAUACUUUUUUUUUCCUUUUGUUUUUGUAAUUGAAUCAAUGAUAUACAUUACGUUUUUUUUUUUCUUUUCGUUUGAUUGAGAAGUUCUAUUUUUGAGAAAUGGGGCCAGCUUUUCGCGAUUUAUAAGAUUUGGGCGAAGGAGGGGCCGAAAAAAGAAAGAAACUGGUGAAGGAGGGUAUGUCCAUGAUGUCUCUCCACGAUUCAAAUUCCUCAUCCUGCGUAACUCACAGAAUAAGGUGAUUAAACUUAUCUCUGAAUCUAGGGUUUACUAAAAUUUAGUGAAGGGUUUAGGGCAAAUUAAGUAUGUAGGUAAUCUAAAUAAAUUCAAGGAGAAAUUAGGUUCAAAUCCUUCUUUUUAUUACUCUAUUGAUUAAAAUUCUAUUCAUUUUUAAUUUUUUAUCAAGGUCUUUGGGUAUUAAUAACAUCAUUAAUUAUUUGAAUAAUAAAAUAUUUAUAUUUUUAAAUAUAUUCUUUUAGUGUUAAAAAUGUUACAAUUAGUAUAUUUAUAUUUAUGGCUAAAUUUUUUAUCAUAUAUUUUUAUUUUUAGUUUGUACCUAUUUUUAAUUUGCAAAUAUUUUUUUAAUUUGUACCAAUUUUCUUUUUAUUUUUAAUUUGUACCCAUAUAUUAGUUUCUUUUUGUGCCCAUAUUUUUUUAAGUUUUAUUUGUAUUUGUACCCAUAUAUAUACCGUCACGUGACAUUGUAUAUUUAAUUAAUGAUAGAAAAAUUAUAUAUGGUAUAUUUCUGUUUCAUGCCUAAACUUUGUAUCAUAUAUUUAUAUUUUUAGUUUGUACCCACUUUUAAUUUGCAACAUUUUUUUUAAAAUGAAAACUAAUGAAAAGGGCUUCAAAACUUUAGACUUUAACCAAAAAUCAUAUAAUAAGUUUAUUUAAUGGUUAGGACAAAGCCCAAUACUUAAUCAGUCCAAUCAACAUGGCCCAGCAAAAAUAAUCUAAUGUGUUUCCAAUUUUACCCCCGAUGAUUUUUUAUUUUUUCUGUUUGUUAUUUGUCCGUUAGUUUAUUCAUGUCAUGAAACUAUAAUUUGCGAAGCAUUCGAAAAUCUCAUAGCUGGAUCAUUUAAGAGAGGAGAAAGAUAACAAACAACUGCUAAAAUUGCCGCCGAUUGCAACCAACCCAUGUAUGCAAUUAAAGCCCUUCAACUCCUUCAACAUUGCCUUCAUGAUGAGCGGCGCAUUCUCGAUCCUCUUCUUAUGCAGCUUCCUCGAAUUCCGCACCUGACCCGUUUACCCAUUUAAUCGGCGCAUUUAGGAAGUGGGGUGCCAAAGUGGGUUGCUCCCGUUUGAAAGAGAAGCACAAGCAGCUGCAGUUCUGCAACAAAUUCACUGCGAAUCAGAAUGGGGGGAGUCGAAACUGGAGCAUGUUAGCGUGUUGGUGAAGGUGUGGACUUGGAUUACUGAUAAUUUGGAUAAUUUGUAUUCGUGUCCGUGUGGGUUGAGCUGUUUGUGGACUAAAUCUUAUGUUCUUGUUAACAAGCCUGAUGCUUUGCUGUUUGAGACCACUACACCUCCCCUUCAGGUACUCCAUUUUGUUUUCUUAAUGUUUUGCAGUAGGUUUCGAUUUAUUCGUGUUAUAUACUAGUACAGAAUACGCAUGAACCAUGAGUUUUUAAUUUUUCAUAAUGAGAAGUACAAAAAGUAAAAUUAUAUUUGCGCUUGAGGUAACGAGUUUGUUGCUGGAAUAUUUUUGUAUCCUUUGAACCCCUUUUUCUUAAGCUUGAUUACAUUAUCUACUCUUUACUUACCAAAUGUAUUACUCGUUGAACCAAGCUAAACAACAACCGAGGCAUAUUUACUCAUGAAAAAGUUUCUUGGUUUCGACUUUGUGUAGCUCAAAGAAGGAAGGGAUUGGAAGAUGUGCAUCAGCUGCAUAAUUGAAUUGAGGAGAGAGAGACUGAUUUCUUGCCUUCUCCAAUUCCUUCCUUCUGGGAUUUGUCUUGGUAUUCUGCAAGGAAGGCUGAGAUGGAAGUUAUCAGGUCCGAAAUGCUCGAUAGGGAAAACAUUCAGAAGUUUUGGGAUGAGAAAAUGAAUGCAGAGAAAACCCGUGGUCUUGAGGUGGAGAAGGCUUAUCUUGCUGCCCUUAGUGAUUUGGAACAGGAGAAGAUUAUCCAAGAAAAGAAUUUUGCCGAGAUUUAAGGGAUAAGUCCGCUAUGGACUGCCAGAGGCAAUUACUUCUCAGUCCCAAGGAAGAGGUCAUUAAGAUGUCCAAAAAGCUUGCAUCUGAAAAUGUUCAGUUUCAUAAAUAGUGUUGUUUCGGUUUCAUAAGUAGUGUUCAGUUUCAUAAAUAGUGUUGGCUUAGUUUCAUAAAUAGUCUUAGUUGCAUUUGAGUUGUAAAUCCAUGAAAUUAUAUUCGCAAUUUGAUUUCUUUCAAUUGACGCGCUAUAAUACUAUAUUUGUUAUAUAUAAAUUAUACUAUAUAUUAUAUGUAUUAUUCUGGUUUAGAUUCAUAAAUAGUCAAUUUCAGAAAUAAUGUACCCGUGUUCAGUUUAAUAAAUAGUCAGUUUCAGAAAUAGUGUACUAAUGCUCAGUUUCAUAAAUAGUCAGUUUUAUAAAUAUAGUUAGUUUCAGAAAUAGUGUAGUCAGGUCUAGAAAUUGUGUACCCGUGUUUAGUUAGUGUACCCAUGUUUAGUUUUUAUAAAUAGUCAAUUUCAAAAAUAGUGUAUUCGUGUUCAGUUUCAUAAAUAGUCAAUUUCAGAAAUAGUGUACCCGUGUUCAGUUUCAUAAAUAGUCAGUUUCAGAAAUAGUGUAAUCGUGCCCAGUUUCAUAAAUAAUCAGUUUUAUAAAUAGUGUAAUUAUUUUCAGAAACAGUGUAGUCAGUUCUAGAAAUUGUGUACCUGUGUUUAGUUAGUGUACCCAUGUUUAGUUUUAUAGAUAGUCAGUUUCAGAAAUAGUGUACUCAUGUUCAGUUUCAUAAAUAGUCAAUUUCAAAAAUAGUGUGCUCGUGUUCAAUUUCAUAAAUAGUUAGUGGACCCAUGUUCUAUAUGUCUUUUUUCUUCUUCUGCAUUCUAUAUUUUCAUUUUCUUUUACUUUAUUCAAUCUAAAGAUUAAAUUUCCUAAUGGGUAUUAUAACAUGAGCUGGAAUCAUGGUAAUGAGAUACACUCAAAUGCUUGAUAAGCUUCCCCUUCUCUUUCCCAUCAUGUAUAUCCUUCCUGGUGUAUCCUCAAUUAAAUGGUUAUGCAUGCAGAGCAUCCUAAUGAUGAUCUCGGGUUUCUUCCGCUUGCUACCAGAUCUUCCUCAGCUGUUUGGGAUACCAAUAGACCACUCCAAGUGGUGGGACUCGGCUGCUAUUCCCAUGUGGUCUGCGACAUUACCGGGGCCUUAUUAUGCGUGGACAGAGAUUUGUAGACUAUGAAGAAGCGACAUUGAGGAGGAGAAAGAAGGGAAUGAGACACGUUACAUCAAAUUACCAAUUUGAUUUCAAGUUCUUGAACUGUGUUCCUUCUGUCCCUUCCCCUUUGGAAUAGGCUGGCACAACACAGUCUGGCAGGUCCCACACACCACAACUGUUUGCGAGUGACUGAGCAUAGUGGUUCUGCACAAACAUAUUCGAUUACAUUCACUUUUAAACAACAAAUAAAUACUCUUAUUUCCUGGCACAUAUUUAAUAAAUACUUAAACAAAAACAGCAAAAAAGGAUAAAAAUUCACAUGUUGAAGCACCCCUGGCACUUGACAUCCUAUUCAAGUUCAAAACAUUCGAAACUAGUAUCAUCACACUUAACAUUCAAAACUAAACAAACUAAAUACAAAACUCAUCUUUCGACAAAAAAAAAAAAAAAAAAAAAAAAAUACAAAA